rnacentral:lncRNA from 1 species
UUUAAAAGUCCUAUACUCAAAUUUUAAAGAUUAUUCAAUUUCUACCUUCCAUUUUUACAUAAUUUACUUACUAAGUAAACAAUGUCGAAAAAAAUUAAAAUUUUAUUCCUAAAAAUUUCAUAUAUCCCAGAUCAUAUUUAACGGUAUGGAUUAUUAAUUAGAAUACCCUAAAAUUAAAAAUAAGACUAUUGUACUGGAGCUCCGGUAUAUAGAUAGUAUAGUAGCCGAAUUCUAUAUUUAUAUAUCUCAACAGGGAAAUUUGUUGCACAAAAAUAGGGGGAAAAGAAAAGUGCCUCUCAAUUUAGCCGUUUUCACAUUUCCCAUUUUACCCCCUAAACCCCCUCUUCUCCCUCUUCGCCUCUUCCCCGACCAUCUCUCUCUUUAUCUCUCUCUCUCCUCUCUAUAAAAACCGAGCGCUGGAACCCGAAGCGUCCGCGAACGAGCUCGCGAGGGCGCCCCCAAGCGAAAAGAAGAAAAACCCUAAUCUCCCCGCCCCUUCGUCGUCGUCGUCGUCGUCUUCGUCCUAGGGUUCUCUCGCGGGAAUGGGCGCGACGAUCCUCCCCGAGCUCCUCACGGAGAUCCUGAUCCCGGUCGCGGCCGUGAUCGGGAUAAGCUUCUCCCUUGUGCAGUGGCUCCUCGUCUCCCAGGUCAAGCUCUCGCCCGAGCGCCAGGGGGGGUCGCCGCAGGGGGGGAAGAACGGCUUCGGCGACUACCUCAUCGAGGAGGAGGAGGGGCUCAACGACCACAACGUCGUCGUCAAGUGCGCCGAGAUCCAGGCCGCCAUCUCCGAAGGUGAGAGAGAUCGAUCGAGAGAAGGGGAGAGUUUGCAAUUUGAGUCGAGCUCUCGCGGUGUUUUUACUCGAUUUGAGCGUUGGUUUAGGGGAAAUUUGUGUGGAGGGUUUGUUUUUGGGUCAGAUCUCGUAGUUGCUGAAGUAAAUAAAAAAGAGAUUUUUUUUUUUCCUAUUGUUUAUUAGAUCUGCUGUAGCUACCGGAGUUUUCUACUUUCUGUUGUUUUUAAGCUAUUUUUUGUGAAAAAUUCCCUUUUAUGUUUUCCUUUAUUCAGAUUUUACUCUUAUAGCUGCUCUGAACUGAUUUCCUAAAAUUUUUCUGUUUUCAGAUUAAAAUUGAUAUUUUGAAAAAAUUUUCGUGCUCUAAUACAAUGCGCGCUUCUAUGAUAGUUUGAUAUUUUGAAAUCUUAGUUGCUGAAAUAGUCUCACUUGUUUAGUAAAGGUCAUAUUUUUAAGAUACUCUUAGUUUUUUUUUUCUUUUUAAUUUAUAUUCUAUUGUUAUAUUUGAAAAGUUUUCUUCUUUUUUUUUUUUUUUUUUUUUUUGCAUAUUUUUGUUUUCCGCCAUCUGGGAUUUUUCUGAUUAAUGCCCUGUUAUGUGGAUAAUUAUUGUGGGUGUUCGUUCUCAUUUAAAAGUAUUCUUAUGGGUUUUCCUUUAAAGAUUUUGUUUUAUUAAUAAUUUUUUUAUAUUAGACAUGCCGAGAAGAUAAUAGUUGCUGAUUUAGUCUUUGUUGAUGGCUUUGAAAGAGAUUUUACAUCAAAUUUUUAUGUUUUUCUAGCUCAUAAUACCUGCUCUGAUUGUUGACUUAUUCUUACUUGAUGAUUGCUUAUGACUUAGUAUAUUUGAUGACAUAUUGAAUGUGUUUAUGGAUAUUGAGUAAGUACGAUACGUCGUAAUGAACACUUGGAUACUUUCUAUUACGUUCUCAUUAGAUGCCAUACUCAAAUACUAUCUAUUCUGUGGUCAUUGUAUACUUUUUCCCCAGUGGGAUGAUUGGAGAUGGUCAUUGUAAACAUUUAUGAAGUAUAACCUUGUACUCUUUUUCACAACAUGCUAGUAGUAUUUUCUUUUAAUCUCUAGGUGGGAUUGGAUUGAGGUCAAUUUUGUACUGUGUUUUCCGUGAAACUUGUCUCAGGAAUUUAGGCUGUAUAACAAGUUUGUUUGUACAGCACCAUCCUCCUAAAUCUGCUGAAUCGCAGAUGCAGUUGCGAUACAGUGCUGAUUGGACUCUUUAUCUUCUUAUUUUUUACAGUCAUUCAUUUUUCGCCAAAUUGUGGUGAUUUACUUGCUGUUCAGAUCUAAUCUGGGUGGCAUGUGUUUUAUUUUCUAUUGGCCAUGAAAGAAGAAUUUCGUAGCCGCAGUUUGGUCACGUGCUUGUAGAAAUCAUGCUUUAUUUCCCCUCCUUUUCGUAUCUUUUUUUCUCAUGCUGCAGUAAUUUUUUUAUCUGUCCCCCAUCUUUCUUGAAAAUUUUUAUUGGUAAUCUUGUAUCAUAUUUUUUUAUCACAUUUCUGUAUAAUGCACUCUGUUGUUAUUUUGACUUUAACUAAUUAUCUUGUAAGACAUAGGGAAAAGCAGCUUGGAUGGUGAUUGAUUACUGAAGAUUAUAGCUGUUUUCUUUAUUCUUUUUUCUUUUUCUUUUUGUGGCUGAAAUUGUUGCUUCUUUCAAUUGGACUUCUUAGGUGGAUCAGGCUUGGGUGGCCCUCAUUCUUUUACUAGUCAUUGAUAAUCUUGCCUUAUUCUUAAGCGUUUGGUUAGGGGAUGGGGAUAGGAAUAGGCCCUUAUCCCCCCUUUAUACCCAAACGCUAAUUUUUUACCCGAGAAUAGUAGUUCUCGGUUAUCCCCACCAACACCUCCAUUUUCUAUAUAAAACUACCUAAAAUUGUUCUUAUUCCCGGGAACAACCCAAUUUUCAUCCAAACACUAUUUUUCUUAUCCCCAUACUUGUACCUAUCCCUGUAAUAGCUAGUUUUUGCUUAUACCCGAACCAAACGGUACUAAAUCUUAAUACUUACUGUUUUGUUGUGUUUUGCCUUCUAUAUUGAAAUGCAGCGAAUUAACAACUAGACACUCACAUGUUGCUAUCUGGAAUUAAUAGAGUUCCUUUGGUUGGACGUCAUUGCUUGCGAAUUCUAUCCCUGCUUUAGUAUCUUCAUAAGUACUACCAUUUGUCCUUUUCUGGUAUCCUAAGUUUCUUGUUUAAAUAGACGGCGUCUUAUCCUUAGACGUCCAAAUGUGGUGUACAAUAUUUUAAAAAAAAAAUUAUCCUAAACGUGGUGUAUAAAAUACUUGAACUUACCGUAUUAGCAUUUUUACCCACCGUAAUUUUUGUAAACAGGAGCCACAUCUUUCCUAUUCACGGAGUACCAGUAUGUCGGGAUCUUCAUGGUGGCUUUUGCGAUCCUGAUCUUUCUCUUCCUUGGCUCUGUGGAGGGUUUCAGCACAAAGAGCCAGCCCUGCACCUACAGCAAGGACAAAACCUGCAAGCCGGCCCUCGCUAAUGCUAUUUUCAGUACUGUGUCCUUUUUACUCGGUGCGGUUACCUCCGUAGUUUCUGGCUUUCUUGGCAUGAAAAUCGCCACAUAUGCCAAUGCUAGAACUACUUUGGAAGCUAGAAAGGGGGUCGGAAAGGCUUUCAUUACUGCGUUCCGCUCUGGCGCGGUGAUGGGUUUCUUGCUUGCUGCGAAUGGGCUUCUCGUGCUUUACAUUGCUAUCAACUUGUUCAAGUUGUACUAUGGGGAUGACUGGGAAGGGCUUUUUGAGUCUAUUACUGGUUAUGGACUUGGGGGUUCUUCUAUGGCCUUGUUUGGUAGAGUUGGUGGAGGUAUCUACACCAAAGCUGCUGAUGUCGGGGCAGAUCUUGUUGGGAAGGUUGAAAGGAAUAUUCCUGAGGAUGACCCUAGAAACCCGGCUGUAAGUUUUUCUGUCCUUGCCUCUGUUGAACCUUUGUUAAUGUUUAUGUUUGUUCAGGAAUGCCAUUUAGUGUUAGUAAUUGGGCUUUUCCAUAUGUCAUUUCGGUACCCAUCUUAGCACAUAUUGCACUUUCCAUUUAUAUUUUCCAACAUAUUCUACAUUUUCUAGAAUUCGUUCGAUGUUGCUGUUGAGGUUGACAAACAUUUGUUAUCUUCCUAUAGGUCAUUGCUGACAAUGUUGGUGAUAAUGUUGGUGAUAUCGCUGGAAUGGGAUCAGAUCUUUUCGGCUCGUACGCUGAAUCUUCAUGUGCUGCCCUUGUUGUUGCCUCAAUUUCUUCCUUUGGGAUCAACCAUGAGUUCACUGCAAUGGUGUAUCCCUUACUUAUUAGCUCGAUGGGUAUCAUAGUUUGCUUGAUCACCACUCUUUUUGCCACUGACAUCUUCGAGAUCAAGGCGGUGAAGGAGAUCGAGCCUGCUCUUAAGAAGCAGCUCAUUAUUUCUACUGCCCUUAUGACUGUUGGGAUAGCAAUUGUCAGUUGGCUAGCUCUCCCGUCGUCCUUCACCAUUUUCAACUUUGGCGCCCAGAAGACUGUGAAGAACUGGUAUGUGCCAUGUUUUAGUUAAUUCAUUUUGAAAUAAUUGCAUAUUUAGCUCGGCAAAAAUAUCACGGUACAUACAACCUGAAAACCUGAAUUUGCAUCUGUACCCACUUUCCCCACAAACUGGAUGAUUCCCCAACUUUUAAGUUUUUGUGGGUAUGUGAGAAAAUAUGGAUUUUGAAGGGAUAUAUGUAUGCAUAUAUGAUUUUCGUAAGGGUAAAGCCAACUUUGGCAACUAAUUUUUUUUAUUGCUCAUUAUUUUCUUUUUGCUCAAUUUGGCAGGGAACUAUUCUUCUGUGUUGCAAUCGGUUUGUGGGCUGGUUUGGUCAUUGGGUUUGUCACCGAGUACUAUACGAGCAACGCUUAUAGGUAAAUAUUAAGUCCUCUAUGUUUUUCAUAUUUCUGACGUCUUUCCUUUUUGCGCAGAUUUAACCUUAAUUUUCUAUUACAGCCCUGUGCAAGAUGUUGCUGAUUCCUGCAGAACUGGAGCAGCCACUAACGUGAUCUUCGGGCUUGCUUUGGGAUACAAAUCCGUGAUCAUCCCUAUUUUUGCCAUUGCUGUUAGCAUUUUCGUUAGCUUUAGUUUAGCCGCCAUGUAUGGUAUUGCAGUUGCUGCUCUUGGCAUGCUCAGCACAAUUGCAACUGGCCUUGCCAUCGACGCCUACGGACCGAUUAGUGACAACGCCGGAGGCAUUGCUGAGAUGGCGGGGAUGAGCCACAGGAUCCGUGAGCGAACUGAUGCUCUUGAUGCUGCAGGAAACACCACAGCAGCCAUCGGAAAGGUAUGUUGAGCUGCUUUAUUAUUUUCCUGCUGCUCUUUUACAUCGGCGGUCUUGUGUUUUGAAAUUAGCGCCUGCUCCUUUGUUCUCAAUCUCGAUCCCAGAUUCUAUAAAUGCGAUGCUCAAAUUUGAAAUCUGCUCAAGAGAAUUUUUCCUAGAUGUUGUUUUUCCUGCACCUCAUUAGCAUUUAUAUUCUUUAGUUCAUACGGUGGGUUAGCAUGAUAUUUUAGUGCCCUCAUUAAACCAUUUAGACAUCUUCUGAGAUAUCAAAUUGAUUCACCAUCAGUAUUGCUAAUUUAACCAAAUUCUCACAUCAAAAGAAAAUGCAAUCAACUUACUAUUUUUCCUCUCUAGGGUUUUGCCAUUGGUUCUGCGGCCUUGGUAUCCCUCGCACUCUUUGGUGCAUUUGUAAGCCGAGCUGCUAUCUCCACCGUCGAUGUUUUGACCCCCAAAGUGUUCAUCGGGUUGAUCGUCGGUGCCAUGCUUCCCUACUGGUUCUCAGCCAUGACCAUGAAGAGUGUCGGCAGCGCAGCCCUGAAAAUGGUCGAGGAAGUCCGACGGCAAUUCAACACCAUUCCCGGCCUCAUGGAGGGAACUACUAAGCCCGAUUAUGCCAAUUGCGUCAAGAUCUCCACUGAUGCCUCCAUUAAGGAGAUGAUCCCUCCCGGCGCCCUUGUCAUGCUCACCCCACUCGUCGUCGGGAUCUUCUUCGGCGUCGAAACCCUCUCGGGAGUUCUUGCGGGCGCUCUUGUUUCUGGUGUUCAGGUUAGUAACAUUUCCUUGGAUCCAUUUUUCUUUGAAGAGUUAGUUUAUCACUAUAUUUAGGUUAAUUGUAAUUCUCAUUUCCAAGUUAUGCUCCAGUUUGAGAACUCCAAAUUGAAAUAAAUUAGAUUCUAAAGUUUGUUUCUUGCAGCAAUUAAAUCCUUCCACCAUUGCUCUGGAUGCGAGCAAUGAUGUAUCAUAUUUUUCUUUUUAGAACGGGGAGAGUUGUUACAUGAAACGAGCUUCAAAGAACAUAUUAUUGAAACUGAAACUCUUAGCCAUGCAACCAAAAUUUGAGUUCGAAGAUCAGGAACCCGCAAUUUUACUUCAUUUCUGAUUUUUUUUUAUUCUUUUUGUAUAUUUUGCAGAUUGCUAUCUCUGCAUCCAAUACUGGUGGUGCAUGGGAUAAUGCGAAGAAAUACAUUGAGGUAAUGUUAUUAUUGUACACCAAAUAAUUCAAUCUGAGGAGAAAUAAAAGAAUUCUCGGUGCAUCAAUAAACAUUUUUCACUUGCUGUGAUUUGCUUCAGGCUGGAGCUUCGGAGCACGCGAGGAUGCUCGGCCCGAAAGGUUCGGAUCCCCACAAAGCUGCUGUGAUCGGCGACACCAUCGGAGACCCGCUCAAGGACACAUCCGGGCCGUCGCUCAACAUCCUGAUCAAGCUCAUGGCCGUCGAAUCGCUCGUGUUCGCUCCCUUCUUCGCCACACACGGCGGCCUCCUCUUCAAGAUCUUCUAAACAGAGGAAGAAAAAGAAAGCGAAGAAGACGAGUCGGGCCAAUUUGCUCUCUCUAUAGUAUCUCUCUCUGGUCCUUAAAUCCUGAACUUAUAUUCUCUCAUUUUUAUCGCCGAUUUCGAAACUGUAGCAGUAUAAUGAUGAGUUGCCGGAUCAAUUUGGACAAAUAGUUGUUGAAUUUUUCCUUUGGUAGGUAAAUUAUGAUGAUGAUGAUGAUGACGACGACGACAAUGAUCAAAUUUCAGAAUCAGUUAUAAUCAGUUUUCGUCAGAAAUGUUUAUUUGGCUAUUUUAUCUCUGUGCUCUCAAUGUUUUUGCAUUCAUUAAGUUGCUUUUAUGUAUAUUUCAUGAUAAUUGGAAGGUUAAAAUGCAUUGCAACCCCCUCAACUGUAGCAAUUUUUUAAUUAGAUCCUCCAACUUUGUUUAUUUUUGUUGUUUGAUUGUUUAAAUUUUUUUUCAACUCUUUGUGACUAGAAUUGUGAAACAUAAUUGCUACUAAAUUCAAAAAAAAAUAAUAAAAAUCUUUUGAUGAGUGGGGAUCGAAAAAAUUUGAAGCUUGGGGUUUAUUUUGUGGUUUUGAACUUGGUCAAAAUCAAAUUGAAAGAGAAUUGUAUAUGUUUUAGUUUUUUAUUAUAGUUAGUAGAUAAAAUAGGGGUAAAUUACACUUUUGGUACUCAAACUAUGUGUGGGUAACACUUUAGUCUUCAAAACUUUAAUUCGGUGCAACUUUUGGUUCGUAUUUUCUGAAUUGUUGCAAUUAAGUUUCACAACCUAAUUUUUUGGACUAAAAGUUUAUAAAUUAUUAAUGUAGAAGUAAUAUAGCAAUGUCGUAAUUGAUGAUACGACGAUAAUUAAGAUGUUAUAUCACUUCUAUAUUAAUAAUUCAUCAAUAUUUAGUCAAAAAAUUUAAAUUGUGUGAUUUGAUUGUAAUAAUUCAAAAAGAAAUUACAAUGAAUUAAAGUUUUGAGGACUAAAGUGUUGCAAGCCUCAUAGUUUGAGGAUCAAAAGUGUAAUUUAUCUGAUAAAAUUGCAUAAAUUGCACUAUUAGUCCUCAAACUUUUAGCUACAUUUCAUUUUGGACCUCAAACUUUUGUUUUCCAUAUUAGAAUAUCCCUAAACUCUUUAAAGAGUUUUAUUUUAGUUCCUACACUUAUUACUAUUUAGAAUAAACUAAUUUAUUACUCUCGGUGCAUCUAUAUAUUCAAUGCAUCUGUGUAUAUUCGGUGAUAACUUAUUCAGUAUAAUAUUAUCACCCAUGAUUUGGUACAAUAAUAUAUUUCUUAGUAAAGUGAUUUAACUUAUUUCGAAAAAAAAAAUGAUAAAACUGAAUAUGCUAUUUUGUUUUAGACAUUUGACGUAAUCUAUUCUGAUAUCCAAAUACUGAAACCUGAAAAAGUUUAGAGACGUAUUUACUAAAGUUUAAACGUUAGGGGGAUGUUUGUAUAUUUUCCCCUCACUGUUGCAUAGAAUUCCUUGUCCUGUACCUGCUAAACGGACAGACUGCACACAUCAUAGGAACUAAUAAUGUUCUCAGGCUGCAGGCAAAACAACAACUGCUAACUCUCAAACCUCCUGCUAUAACACCAAACUCCACUCUCUCUCUCUCUCUCUCCUUUACUUGCAGAAGAAGCAAAAUAAAAAGCUUUACAAACAACCAACACAACUCUCUCUCUCUCUCUCUCUCUCUCUCUCUCUCUUUUCAAGCUCUGGGUCUUUUGCUCUUAUGAUUUGUGUUUGUGAGUGUACUACUGAUGGAUACAUUGAAUCUCCAUAUAUAUAUAUAUAUAUAUACUCCUAUUGUUACUCUCUAGUUUUAUAUUUUAUAUGAUCCUUCUAUUAAGGUAUAAUAUUGUAUAUGAGAAGCUAUUCUUAUCAGAGUUUCUGCCUUUCGUCCGUAAAAUUUGAGAUUUGAUUUAUGCUUCAGCAAAACUCUAGAUUUUCUUAGAUUGCCGGAUGCUUUAGUAUAGAAACCAGACAGCUGAAAACAAAACCACAAGUAGGGCCAAACAGGAACAUGGAGGUAUGCAUGCAUGUCACAAGGUGCGCCUUUUCCUUUCCCAUGUUUGAUCAACCCUUCAAUUAUUGUACCCUCCAGAGUUUGGCGAACUUAACAUAGUUUCUGAGGAAUAUCACAAUCCAGCAAAAUGAAAAGUAGUUUGAGACAUGAGAAACCGUCAAUCCGCAAAACAGGAAGAGAAGCUCCAGGGAGUGAAUUUGAUCUUGAUCGCCGCGGUUCAAAGGAAACAAUCAAUGAUCAAGGAGUUUCGAGCGCUGCGGCGGCGAAUCCUAUGGCUUUCGAUCCCCGUAAGAUGAAGAGGAACUCCGCGAUCGAUGUCCGGCGCGAGUUGUGUGAAAAGAUCCAUGCCAAGAUGCAGUUUCUUGAAGAGGACACAAGGCUCAUGAAGGAGGCUAUUUUGGAUUGUGUGAAGGAUAGGGACAUCCUCAUGAGUGAGGUAUCUCACAAGCUUCACAUGAUAAGAGAGCAUCUAAGUAUAAUAAGCUCAGAGUGUAGGCUUGAUUGUCCUCCUAGGGUUUGCUCAUUUGAUCCACUCAAGGUAGUACCUGAUCUUUUAAGGAAGUUUCCUAUUUAUAUAUAUUUUGUCAUUUUAUUCUAGAUAAAUUUGCUUAAUUAUAUGCAUUUCAAGUAAUGUUAGUUUGUUAUGACAGCAUAUGCAUAUUUUUUGCAGACUCAGUGUGCAGAAAAUUUGUGCAUACGGCUGAUCUGACCGUCUAUCUAAAAUAUGAGAGUCAUCUCCGCUAUUGAUGAUGAUCUAAUAAACAACCGACAAAAUAGUUUUAAAAUGACUUCUGCCUUAAUAUGUAUGGUUAAAUCAAGCGAUGCGUAGGAAUUUCUUGCACAUUAGAUCUGCAGAGGAUGUGAACCCUUAAAAAAAAAAAAAAAAUCUAAGCUAAAGUGUUAUAUUUUCCAUUAACUACCACUUUUCUCUUUUUUUUUUCCCUAUAUAUUGAGCUUAUUUAGAAGAGUCUUUUGAUUCUUCUAUCAGUUUUUACCUGUCACAAUUAAGAUCAUUCACAUAACAGCAUCUGGAUUUUUUUUUUUUUUUUUUUUUUUGUUUCUAUCUCCUUCCUCUCUCUUUGAAAGUUUUCAAAUUUUGUUUUUUCUUUUUUCUAAUUCAAGCAUAAAUCCAUCCAUACAUUUUCCUAUUUCAAAAUAUUCACCACUAUUUGAAGCACCCUAUACUGAAUCUUAUGCACAAUUUUUUUGUUGUGUGCACUUAACACAAGUUCCCUUCCACAUGCUAUAUAUAUACUUAUCAUCUUUGCAGUUGCUUCAUUAACUGUUUUGAUAUUAGUACCAUGCAGGAUGAUAGAAAAGAUAUUGGAUUACUGGGAGUGCUACACCAAGAUCUAACUCCAACACUCGUCGCGCGACGAGCGAAGAAAAUCAACGUCGACGCUUUCGACAACUAGCCUGAGCUGUUUAAACAUGUAAGUUAGUUCACUGAAAAAUAGGGGACUCUGAUCAGAACAUGGAACUUCAUUUGUAAAGCUAGCAUACAAUUCAAUGGAUUGGUAUUUAGUAUUCCAAACUUAUCAGAUAGUUUACAGCAUUUUUUUUUUAAUGCUAUUAUUCUGUAUAAAAAUUGACAUUGUAUUUGUAAAAUUGAUUUUUGAAUAACUUUGGAAUUCAUAUUUUGUUUUGUAGCCUUACAUAGCACAAAAUAGUAAAAGGAAUUUGAUUAUUCCGCACCCUACAACGGAUAUACGAUUUUGACAAAUAUAUUAGAGUUCUCAUAAUAAAAUAUGUGGGAACCCCAGUUGUAUUGUGCCAAUUUCGCCAAUUUCAAUAAGAAAAGUAAAGCACUCUCAGAAAGAUUAUAAAUUAAAAAAAUAAUGGCCUUUAAAAAGAUAUCAUCCUAUAAUCAAACACGCAAAAUGUACUGAAUUGACAAAUAAUCCUUAUGAGAUACGCUGAGACCACUAUUUUUCUAAUGAUUUUAUCGUUGCAACUUACAUAUUUUUUAACGUAUGAGACCUGUUUGGUGAAGCGCGCUAGUGCUGCACCACAUUCACUACUGCAAAAAAGCUCUAAUUUAAAGUUUUUACUGCAACAUGCUCUGCACUCUGUCUGCACCACAAACUGAUUCUACAUUAUCACAGUUUGUUAACUUCUACAUUCAACCAAAUGCUUCACCUGAAACCCCCCAACCAAGCAAAAAACCAAACUUUUUGUACCAAUAUUUUCUCCUUUUUCUUUUUUUUUUUGCUCCUCACAAAAAAGUCACAGUAAGUAAAUAAGAAGCCCAUCCACACUCAAAAAUAUAAUAAUUUUUUUGUUUUACUGUCGCAUCAUAUGCUAAGACAAGCUCUGGAACAAUAAAACUCAAACAGUAAACUUUCCUCGGGCGAGGCAGAUGCAUAUCCAGUGGAUCCGAAAAAUCAGCAAAUUACAAACAAAGUUCCAAGAAAAUUAAAAACACUUUUUGAGUCCUCAAAAUGGCUAACUCUCAAUCAAAAGAUACGGAAAAGUGCAACUAUGAUUCACUCAGGAUCUUGUUUCACCAUUCUGCUUACCACAAGAUAUUGGUAAUAUCCCAUAAUUCUUAACAAACAAACCAUAAAUAGAUCAACUUGGCAGUUUUGGUAUCCAAUGCGGCGACAAAUGAAUGUGAAAUAUCAAACUCGUAGAAAGACCUCUCGAAACAGAGUCCCUGCCUUGUGAAAUGCUUAUAGGAAAAAAAAAAAGACAAUUUAGCCUCUUCGAGGGCUUAAUUUAAGGUACAACAAAAGGAACCCUAAUCUGGUUCGCGGAGAUUGCAUUGAGCAUUUGAGAAGCAACUUUAGUCACAAAGGCAAAAUCUGAUGUACCAACAAGAAAACAAUUAGGACUGCUGAUUUAAAUUAUGUCUUUAUGCAUGCUUGACGAUGUGUGAAAUAUUUUACAACGCAGAUUCCAAGGGCGCUUUCCGAAGUUCAAGUUACACUGAAAUCCUACACACGGUGGUGCGCAACAUGAACAACGCCACCUAUAAUUUUGUCAUAUCAAAAUUCCUAUCUGCCCGCUAAGAAGCUGCACCUGGGUCGUUGAUAACACCCAAGAAGUCAUCCUUUAUCGUCCCAAUGCAGAACUGCACAUAUAGAAAAAGAAAAAACAAAAAAAAAAGAAGAUACAAUUAUGUAUGCAUAAUCUAGAAAUACAUUAAUAAUCACACCAUUAAUUAUCUUUAUUUUCAUAGUAUGCCAGUCUUAAUGAAGGUAACAUUAUGCACCAAACAUCAAGUAGCUCAUAAGUACUUCGCCAAGUCAUAGGAAGCAGAAAAAUGAACUAUCAGAAUCUUGGAAGCAAAUCUGUCUAUCCGAUAAUCAAAUAUCAAAAUAUAAAGAGCAAAACACUACAGACCAUAGUUUCAAAAUAAUCAAGAAAAACUCGCUAUGGAAUUGCACAUUAUUCUAAUAACUCGGCCAUAAAUCUUUCUUUCAAAUGAAUCUAAUUAAGCCGACUCCGCACAGGUGCUUUAGCAUCAACAUGGAACUUCCAUUAAGAUUACUUGAAAAUUAUGAAAUUGUCAGCAUCGUUUUAUGUACAGAAGUAGCAUUUUAAUGGAGAUCUCCGAGACCAAGCAAUAGAUAUAAAAAUAUUGAACGUGCUUUGAGGUUACAAACUUGCAUAAACUCGUAAAUAGAGUUCUUCCGGCAUGAACAUUAGCCAUGAAACUUGACUAAAAGGAACAGGAGACGUACAAUCUCUGUGGCAUCAACACGAGUCCCAAUAAUCUUUAGCCGGACCUCACUAUCCUUUUGUAUUUUCACCUACAAACCAUCAAUACAAAGAGGUUAGCAAAAAAGAAAAGCAUGCUGGCACAUUUUAUUCGCAGCCUGAAAAAAGAGCAAAGAUCCAUUCUAAAAGAAAAGUAGUUAAGGUAAAGAAAUUUGUUAUUAUUGAAUCUUGACUAAAUUAAUGCAUGCAUUAUCAAUUCAUACAUCUGCAUACAUGCAUCUUAAACUUCUAAAUCCACAUUAUGUCAGAACUUCAACUACCCAAUGUAUCAUUAAUGUUACAGAAUGUUGCAAAUGUUAAAUAUGCUCUUCAAAAUUGUAAAAUAUUGCUUGCGUUUACUUACAGAUAAUUAUCAAGAAAUAAGUGUAAAGCCCUCUUCUUUAACCUACCUUUCUCCCGUAUUUUCUUUUCUUGAUCACUCAACCAAUUCUAAGCAAAUGAAAAGAGGUAUCUAAUUUUUUCCAACUAAGAUCCUCCCUUUCAUGUUGGACAUGGUGACUCUCAGGCAUGCACCCAAUCAACACACCCAUACCCAAAAGGAAAAAAGUUCUCUAUCCAGGUAGUGGUGGCCUUGGGUAGAUUUAGUGAGCGGCAGAACUUAGGCCCAUUUAUUCCAAAACUCGCAGUGGCAUGAAGUUCUCUACCCUGACCCAGUAUUAUGCCUCUCAAAUCACUCCAAACCAGGCCGAUUCUGUAGCAUGAGUAUUGUCAUCCUUCAUUCAGUUUUGUGACAGCCAAUCCUGCCACAAUCUACACGUUCUGAACAAUAAAGUACUCAACAAUCAUAUCUACAUAUUACAAUAAAAACCUCUGUUGGGUUAGAUUGUAAGCAAUAGGGCAUCAACAAUCAUCAAAAUAUGCAUAGCAAGGUCAAAUACAAAUUGUCUUGUUUCUUCUUCUAAUCAUUCAGUGAACAAUUAGUCUAUUACCAUAUACCACUGAAAGUAUACUUUCGAUUCGUCUCAAAAUAGUCACAGCCACCAGUAGAACUCAUUAAGAAAUAAUGAACAGAGUGAACUAUAAUCCAUGCCUUCUCACUCAGUUAAAAAGAUUGAAAGCCAUAAUUCAGCCAACAUGCUAGAACUCAUAUUUCAGUCUGAUUCCUGUUUUUAGUGUUUCACUUGUAACUGUGAACAUAUAAGAAAUGUAGGAAAAGGAACAAAGCAUACCGAUCCAUCAGAUGUUGUAUAGUUUGGCAUAUCUCCAGACUGGAACUCCAUGUCAUCAGGGAUCAACUGAAAAAAAAGAAAAACAAAGAAACAAAAAACAGACAGCAACAAAGAAGGUAUCAGCAACAAAGAGGGAAAAAGAGACAUUAAAUUCCAUCAUAUCAGACAAGAGCCUACUACAACUUGAUCUACAGGGGUUUCUCGACUUGUACCAUGCCAAUCUUAAUUCCAUACCUUUCAAGUUAAAACCCAUGAGGCUACAAACUAAAUUUAUGUGUUUUCUCAACUAUUUUGUACAGAAAAAUUGUAUAUAUAUAUGCUAUUCUGAAAGAGACCCUUACAUUCACUUUUUUUCUGAUUGAGCACCACCUUUUGAUAUGUUUAAUUUCAGUGGUUGAAGCCCCAUCAUGAUCUUUUGAUUUAUAUAACUUUAGUCAAUCAAAUUGGGACAUUUUGAUAAUCUAAAGUUAUCUAACAAUGAUUCUGCUAAACUAAAUGACUUUAACCACUGUUUAGUAAAUGAAACUGCAGAUUUCACUAACAAUUAACGGCUAAUAGCUACAGCUGACGCUAAAUUUUAAAAAUUCCCACUUUAACAAACUAGGGCAACUUGAAUCCAGAAAAUAAAGUCGUCAAUUUCAAACCAGCCUAUAGUUUUAGGUGUUUCAUCACAUUUUCACUUUUUUUUUUCCUUUGUGUGUGUGUAUUCUACCAUGCACAUACCUAAACCACUCAAACAAAUUACCAAUUACAAGAAAACAACAGAAACAAAAAUUCUUACAUGAUUCGAAACGAAAAUCUGCACCGGCCCUGCCUCUGCGAAGAAACCCAUCUGCGGAAACAUUAAAACAAAAAAACGAAUAAAUAAAUAAAUAAAUUCAUCAAUCCAUCCAUCCACCACGCCUUAAAAUCCCGAAAGAAACCCUAAAUGGAGAUAUCGAGAUCGAGAUCGAGAUCGAGAUCGAGAGACCUUGUUGACCAUGGUGACCACGGCCUCGAGGAUCUCGCCCUUGAAGGGGCGGAACACGACGCACUGGUACUUGACGGGGAAGGUGACGAAGCCGGUGCCCUCCCUGAUGAGCCCCUUCCCGAUCUCCUCCACCCCGGUGAUCGCCACCACGAACCCAUGCCUCCCACUAAAACCGAAGCAAAGAAGAGAUCGCCGAAGGGGGUUUAGGGUUUAGGGCAUCCUCUGUAAGAGUUAGGGUUAGGGUUAGGGUUAGGGUUAGGGUUAGGGUUUUACCUGCAGGUGCCCUCGACGUCCUUCAUGAGCUUGGAGACGAGCUUGUCGCGGAGGUGGGGCCCGAAGUGCCGCGGGUGCAGCUGCAUGUUCCGCUCCAACACGAUGUGGAAGAACAUCUCCUCUCUCUCUCUCUCUACUUUCUCUCUCCUCUCUCUCUUAUUACUAUUUAUAUAGGUAGGAAUAAUUUCAUAUGCAUCCCUACGGAGUUUUAAAAUUGCUGAUUUAUCCUUGCAAAAUUUUAAUUAGAGCAAUACUUUACGUGGCGUGGCGGGCAAUUCAACUCGAUGUUCGCGAGUCUGCUCAUGUUCGAUUCGAAAUAAAUUCGAGAUCGUUCGAUUCGUUUAAUAUUUCACCUCGAAAUUUUAAUGAGCAAAACACGAGAUGAGAUAAGAUCGCUGAUGAUCGGUUUGAUAUAGUUUCGAGUAUAUAUAUAUUAUAAAUUUUUUCUAUUUAGAUUUUAAACCAAUUCAUAUGUGAAAAGAAUUAUAUUUUGUGCAAUUUUUUAUAGAGUAAAAUUCUAAUUUUUAAAUUUACUUGCAGCUUUUCAUCUAGUAGUAGGGCUAUUAUUUUAACUUGCUAUCAAAGAGCUGAAUUUUUCACCUCGAUAUUUUAACUACUCUGCUUGCGCUAGGCUCGUGUAAUAAACAAGCAAACGUGGGCUCACUUGUAGGAGUUUUGAGCUACUAAACCUACAAAAUUUUUAAAUAUAAAAAUAAGUAUUUAAAAUUUAUAUUUAUAAAAAUAGUUUGAUAACUUUAAAAAUGGUAAAUGAUUCACCGCUUUUACUCUAAUUUGUAUAUUUUCUACCUCCAAACUUUAAAAGAUGUAUAGUAUUAAAUAUUAAAAAUAGUUUCAAUUUUUUGAAAAAAGCGGUGAAUGAUUUACCGCAUUUCGAAAGUAGUAAAUGAUUCACCGUAUAAAUCUAAUUUUGUAAAUAAAUUUUCAGAUUACUAUUUUUAUAAUUAUAGUAUUUUCUUAGUCUAUUAAUAAAAAAAAUUUCUCUCAUGUUCAGCUUGUUUGAUCCAGUAGAUUCCAGUCAUGCUCGAUAUCAGCGUUUUAAAAUUUUUUAGAAAACCUUGACGAUACAGUACUUGACUAAUUGAAUCGAUGCCGAAAAUGUCAAAUCCUCUGAAAGAGAAAGUAGGCAUUGCGUAUAGGAUCGAAAUAGCCGCAGCCAUGGAGAACGGUAGUGAGUGUGGUGGAAAUGGACUUAAUACCAUACGUGGGCAUAUAGGAGAGGAGGUUAGGCACUAAAGUAACGAAAGGAUAAAGAUUAGGGACUAACGGUGCAAUUAAUUCUCAACGCUAAGGAUCUGAUUGCAAAAAAGUAAAGAGUUGGGGAUGAAAACGAAAAAGUUAGCACAGGAACUAAACUGCACGAAACGUAUAGUAUAGGGACCAUAAAUACAUUUUACCUUAUUUCUUCUGUUCUUGUUCUCUAUAUAUAUAUAAUAUAAACCCUCGCGACCUCGUCGUUCUCUCUCUCUCUCUCGCUCGGCCCCGAAAACGAAACCCUAAUCGAGGUAGGGGACGCGAAUCCCUGCGAUUUCUCCUCUAAUCCCUUCUCAGUUAUUAUCCUUAUUAAACCCUAAUCGGUUGGAUCGUUGUGGUUGUUGCAUAAACCCUAGAUUUCGAGCCCUUGAUUCAUGGAUCCGCAGCAACCCGAACCUGUGAGCUAUAUUUGCGGAGGUAUAUGUCUCUUUCCUUGUGAUUUAUCUUUUGUACUGAUCAUAAUGUAUUGAGACGCCCCCUUAACUUUAUUUUCUUUUGAUUGAUACCUCCUUGCUUUUUUUUUUUUUAUUUGAGUUAUUCUACUUGGUUAAAUUGGGGAUUUUGUGAAUUUAAUAGUAGUUGUUGACUGAUACAGUUUUGUUUGCUAAAAACCGAUCAGUGCCAUCAAAUUUUACGGAAUCGCUGUUUGAUUUAGUGAAAUUCUCAAAGCAUUUGGCUAAAAGCACACAAAUAAAAUAAAAUUGGAAGUUAGAGGGGGUGUUGAUAAAAAAAAAAGAUUGACGGAGACAAAAUGGCUAGUAGUUGAUGGGGUCUAAAUACAUUUUCACCAAAUAAGUUUAUAUUAGUGCCCAAUUUCUAUGAUAAAAUGAUUGAACUGGAUUGAUGACUAGAUUGUGGGGCGGAGAACACGCUGAAGCCCGGCGAUGUGAUUCAGUGCAGAGAGUGUGGAUACCGCAUCCUUUACAAGAAACGCACCCGCAGAAGUAUGCGUACAUUGAAUUUCUUUUUUUUUUUUGCUUGUUGAAGUAUGGUGGUAUUUUGUUUGUUCCUGUUAUUUUGAUUCAGUUCUUUGGUUGGAUGUUGCUGCUGAUGAUGUGACAUGUCUCAAUUUCAAGCAUGCUUCUUGCUCUCUAUUAAACAUCUAGGAAAGUUUCGAGCCUCAUGCAUAAUUGCACAAGUCCUCGAGGAUUGGCUCAUCUUGCUUCGAGUUUCUGGCUUAGACUAUCAUUCCAUUAAAAGGAAAUAUUGUGUGAAAAGCAUAAGACGUCACCUAAUUGGACGAGCUGUGUUCAUGGGGCAAUUUUUUUUUUCCUUUUUUUUUUUACGAAGAAGCAUAAAAGAAAUUUGUCUACAUCACAGUGCAUAUGUAAGUACUAUUAUUUCAAGGAAAUUACUCAUAGGUUCAAUCUUUGAUGCAAACCGAGAGGUUGCCAAAAUUGAAUUUUCAAGUUUGCUUUUGUUUAAAGGUAUUUCUUGAAAUAAACUAGCUUCAAUUUAUCGAUUCCGGCGAACUUUACUAUAAUUAAAGCAAGGAAGCAAAAAUUUCAGCAAGAUGAAAAAUUAAAAUCGAAUUGAAGCAAAACUAAGAUAAUGAUAAACCUUCGAUAUAUGAGAUAAUAACAACCAACUGAAAAUAUAUAUAAUAGUUUCAAAAGGUAAAUUCGGCUUUAUCGGACUUAAAGCUUUAGGUUUGGUUGUUUGGCAAAUAUGGUUGAUAAUGGUGAAAGGCUAGAUUAAAAGGGGAUAAUAGGAUGUCAUGAGAUGAGAGAUACAAAAAGUGCACCGUUCACACGAUUGCGGGGGAUCCACGAUCGACGAGGAGGGCGGUACACCACGGGUAGAACUUCGGCAACGGGGAAGAAGAAGAUGAGGUAGUGACUUGGAAGAAGAGGAGAGGUAGAAGUAGAAGCCGAUCUUGUCAUGAGGAAGAAGUGACAACGAUCAAGUUGAGGAAGAAGACGAUCUCGGCGCGAGGAAGAAGCAUCGAUGAUCUCACCGGGAAGUAGAACACCAAGGAUAAAGAGUAAGAGUAGAAUUUUCUAUUCAUCCAAAUAUAUCUCUCAAGGCUUCAAGAACCAUAUAUUUAUAGUGUUGAGAGCCUUCUGAUAAUAAAUUAUUGUCUUUUCGUUUUCAACAUAACACGGUCACCCAAGAGUCAUGAUGCAUAGAAAACGAAGCAAUUUUGAAAAUUUCAAAGGUCUUUUUUUUAUUUUUUGGGGAAUCCCAAAGGUCUUUUUGGUAUUGUUUUUUUGUUUAUGGGAGAAAAGGGUUUGGGUUAGCCAAAUCAACUAAAACUAAAUGAUUUAAGUCCGAAUCAAACACAAACCUACAAAAUAAAAGAAAAUUGCAUUCGAAAAUAAAACGAGAUUUAUGCUGCAUCAAUCUUUGAUGACCAGUCCGAUGAUCAAGCAUUAUGUUUUGCUAUGUAUUUUCCUAUAUGUUUAUUUCAUGUAUUACGGUACUUAUAAUAUCAAGGAAUUAGCGAGGGCGAACUUGGUCCUCUCCCCAAGAAUCCUAGGUGAGUUGAAUCCUAGAAGAGUUGCGGCCUCAAACUAGUGAUUGCAUACUAUACAUGUUAGAUUUAUCCAACUGCUCAUUCUAUUCCGCACCAUACUCUUGACAGCUCAUCUUUUAUUCUUGUCGAGUCUUUAGAGGUGUGUUUUUGUCCCCUUUUUUUUUCCUAUUCCUUUGAAGUUUGGACUGAUGCAAUUGUUUUUCUUGGGCCUAGAUGUAGAAAGACAUAAACACUGAAAUCACGUUGUUUUCAUUUUUGUCCUUCUAUGGUAGCCGUCCCCAUUUAAUGAGUGUUUGGUCGGAAGUGAAUGUUUGGACGCCGGAUGUUUAAGUUCUUCAUUCUUAUCAUAGAAUCACGACUCUGUGUACAACAUAUUGUGACGCUGUUUAGUAUUAGGUUCUGAUACUUUUGAGUUGAAUGGUGGCCUGUUUGGGCAAUUCAGUCUUCUUUGAUAUAGGAGCAAAAUGGAUAUUUGAUUGAGCCACAAUAUAUUCUGUUAGGGCAACAGGAUAUGCUUUAAUCAUUUCAAAAUGGACUGUAGUCCAGACCAGUAUUUUGAGCCCAUCCAAAGGGGUAUUAAUGCAAACUACUGAUACUGUGAUAUCAUAAUGUCUUAAUACUUUGUUUUGAAAUUGCUUCGUUAUCACAAAGUAAUACAUGCCGUGAGCCCGUGCUGAUUUUCAUCUAUUUUAGAUUUUAUUUCUUUAUAUUCAUCUGCCUCGCCUGUUUUAAUCCGUUAACACUCCCUUGGUCUCCUACUAACUUCUGUCAUCUUUGUUCCAGUUGUUCAAUACGAAGCACGCUGAGGAUGAAUGCAGAUUAAUUUCGCCGGUGAGAAACGCUAUGUAUGUUUUGUCGAACUUGUGAUCUAUAACGUAAUAUUGGACGUUUAUCAGUCAGAUCAAAUUCUUUUCUUGCAUUGUUUACAUGGUGUAGCCGUGGUUGCAUGAUUGUUCUGUGAUGUGUUUGCGACUUACACUCCGAGGGAGUUCGGUUUGCUAUCUGUUGCUGAAUCUAGAUAUAAACAUGGCAUCGCACUAAUAUAAAUCUAGAAUUAUUUCAUGCUGUAGCAUAUAUCUGAGGAUGAUCGAGCUUUACCUCAAAUAGUGUAGUCUUUGAGGUCUAGAUCGUAAUUUACUGCAAGGCCCUUGGCAUUUAGGGGGGUGGUAAUUAAUAGAGCAUGCAGGACAGUUGAGGUAUGAGCUGUUGAAUAGUACUGAAUGUUGUGCUGAGAUUCGCAUGGAUGCUAUUCAAUGAAUCAUAGAGUCGUACUCCUGUUGUCCUAACCAAAUUCUUUUCCACAUUUAUGUGGUUUCAUUAGAUGGGAGUGUUGAUAUGGGCAGUCACUUUGCAAAAUUAUCGUCACUCUUUCUCGGUAGUGUACUUGAAAAAAUCUUAACCUCUAUUGUUUGAUGCGAUUGUGAUAUGAGUUGCAGGUAUGACGGCGUCGGCAUACACCAAAACUACACUUGAAAUUUGUAUGUUUGUUCUACCCAACUUUUGCUUCCUCUCUCAUUUUUCGCUUUUCGAGUGAAAGCUCGCAGGCAAAUUUUAUUAAACUAGAGAGGUUUAGUUGUACAAGGAUGUAGGCAAUGCCAGUGUGUAGAGUUAACACUGUCUCCAAAACUCAAAUAGCUGUGUGCUGAACCAUUGAAGAGAGAGUGCAAAGUUACAGACCACUUCAAACUAAGUAUCUUUAGAUUCAAAACAGAGAACCUGUGAGAUUAAUGCAUGAAUAAAUAUGUAAGUGCUAUGUUAGAGUGACACCACCAAAGUUCUUUACAAUUACUGGAGCAUCCUCUUGCAACAAAAUUGACUUUCCCUAGUAUCAAAAGAAAAAAGAAAAAAAAAAAAAAAGAGGGAGAAGCUUGAGUAUCAUUAAAUUGGUAAAAGUGUAUGAAAUUGGCAUCAACCAUCAUCUAUUUUGACCUCAUUCUUUAAUCUUUAAAAGUUUUAAUUUUACUAUCUAAUCUUUUAAUUUUUUUAAAAAAAUGUGAGCCUGUUAAUGAUUUUUUAUGGCUUUAAUUGAUAUAUAUUAUAUAUGAUUUAUGUAAUUAUAAAUUUAUUGAAAUAAUUAGUUAGCUUAUAUUUAUGUUAGAAGAGUUAUCAAAUAAAUUAAAUCAAAUAAAUAGAAGAAUCGUCAAAUAAAUUAAAUCAAUUAAGUAGAAACUUUGGAUAUUAAAAUCAAACAUUUUAAAAGAUUGGAUAGUCGGAGUCCGGUUAUAAUACUAUCUAUAACAUCAAGCAUUUGGCACUACCAAGUUCUGCGGUUAGAUCUACCCUUUUAAACAAAUUAUGUCCGUUAGAUCAUACUAUCAAUCAACUACUCACUCAGCCCUAAGGAAUCACUAUCAUUCUAACCGCACAUCCCUUCAUUCAAGGGCCGAAAAUCUAAUAGCACCACUGACUUAGUUCUUUUAAUAAUAUUUUAGCCUAGUUCAAAUAGUCGAAGCAAAAUGAUCUAUAGUUUAGAUAAGUUCUGUACAUUUUUACCCACUGAAUAUCGCAAUUGUAAAAUUGAGUAGCAUAGUUGCCUUCUCUAGGGUAUCUAAUCUUUUAAUCCAUAGCAUUAUGGAGGUUCAAAUCUUUACCUUCAGUCUUCAGAUCAGAUUCCAAUUCCAGCGUCCCAUGAUGAUCAGAUUGGGUUACUUUUUGUGUAGUUGAUACAUUUUUUAGAGGCUGUUUGGUUAUAUAUAUCCACAACUUUACUAUAGUUAUAAUUAUUUAUAAAUUUAAAUACGGUAUUUGGUUUGAUAUAUUUGAAUCUAACUAUUGUUAGAGCUGCACGGGAAGGUUUAACUGCAUUAUGUUUAAAUUGACCGCAAUUCUAACUGUAGUUAAACGAAAAAUAAUUCUAUCUUUCUAAUCACAUUUUACAUAGAAAAUAAUACUUUUUCUGCAUGAGAGGUAACCUCAGAGUGAUGAAACUUAUAAAUGCAAAAUUUUCAAAUGCAUGCAGCCAAAUAAAUUAUUUAUGAAUGCAGCACUUUCUGCUACAUUUAAUCAAACAAAAUGCAUAUAGUUAAAUGUUGUUGCUGUAUUUUUUUUUUUUUUUUUACUUGGUAAAAAUGUACAAAACUUACUUGAAUUAUGAAUCAUUUUGAUUUGACUAUCUAAUCUUUUCAAACUUUUGAUUUUAUUAUUCAAGCUUUUAAUUUGUUUGAUUUGAGUUAGUCGACGACAUUUGACUUUAAAAUUUAAGAUACUUGAUUAUUUUAAUGAAUUUGUAAUUGCGACAAUUACAUAAAAUAUGCUAACUAAAUCUGUCAAAAUAAAUAAUGCAAUUCAAAUUUGAAACUCAAAGUGUCAUCGACUGACUCAAAUCAAACCGACUGAAAGGUUAGUAAAAUCAAAAUUUUGAAAGCUUAGAUAGUGAACUAAAACUGGUUCAUAGUUUAGAUAAGUUCUGUACUUGUUUACCUUUUAACUAUAUGCGUAUCCAGUUACACCAUGUUACGAUUAUAUCUAACCACGGCACCUCAAAGGGGGCUUUCUUGUUAGAAGUAGGGAUGCAAAUGGAUCCCGGUUAGUGGAGCUCCCAUUUCGAUCCGCACCGAAUGGGGCAGUAAGUGGGAAUAAAAAAUAUUAAAAAAUGUAAGCCGUCCAGAUUCGUUCUGAUCCGUCAAGUAAAUGGAAUGAGAGACAGAAGAAACCACCACCCUCCCUUUUUUUUGCAAUCAGAUUCAUAACCUCUAGUAUUAAUUUCACAAUGGUCCCUAACCUUGACCUAUUUUUUUCACUUUGGUCACUAAACCAUUCACCUAUAAGCAUGCUCAUUGCAUCAACCCUAAUCUCACCAAAAGCCCAAUGUAACAUUCUCCGCGACUGCAACCACCUUGAGCGCAGCUACAACCACCUCGAUCUUGCACAUGAUGCCUACUGCCUCAUUCGCAACAUCAAAUUAGACGUGCCACCGAGCUCUUUCGAAAACUUCGAAAAAGUCGGCGCCAAAAUCAACCGAAAAGCUACCGAUGAUAACCGUGAUCUCCACGCUAUCACGACUUCAGCGUUUUUGUUCACAAAGUCCGUACGGUGCCCGCAUUCCUGCUCGAAGAUGGACAAGCCUAACUCUUUGUUGUUAGCCUGGACCUCAGCCUCGUUCUCUUUUUUUUUUUUUUGCGUACUCAGUCAUAGAACGCGGAGAUUCAGGCUAGCAAUAAGGAGUUAUGCUUGUCCUUCUUCGAACAGAAAGAUAGGCAUCGCACGGGUUUUGCAAAUAAAAAUGCUAAGUCGGUGACAAAGAGCUCACUUUCUCAAAAACAGGCCCUCUGCCAACAUCAAUAAAAAUUGAAUAGUUGGGACCUAAUUGAAUCAGGAUAUAGUGGUCACACUACGAGAGAGAGAGAGAGAGAGAGAGAGAGAGAGAGAGAGAGAGAGAGAGGAGGAGAAAUGUAGACCAAGAAGUAAUCCUUCUCCUAAUAACAAUAUCUGUAGGAAGAAUCCCUACUCCUUAUCAAAGUUGAUGAUUCCGAGGAGAAUAAAAUCGCACUUUUGGCCAUCUUUCCGAAUAAGGUAAAAUUACAUUUUUGGUCAGCAAACUAUCGAGUGCGUCAUAUUUGUCCUUAAACUUAUUUGUAAUUACUGACUCAAAUUUUUAAAAUUGUUGCAAACAAGUCCUCUGUCUUAAUUUAAUUGAGUGAAUGAUAAUGUACCAUUGAUGUGUGGCUGCCACGUCAUCAACAAAAAACUGCCAUAUUUCUAUCCUAUUUGCCAUGCGUCACCAUUCACCCAACUUAAUUGUACCGCAAGAUUUUAUUGCAAUAAUUUAAGAUUUUAUUGCAAUAAUUUAAAAAGUUUGAGCUUAAAAUUACAAUAAAUAAAAGUUCGAGAACCAAUACACAACUUAAUUGUACCGUAAGGCUUUAUUGUAACAAUUUAGAAAGUUUGAACUUAAAAUUACAAUAAAUAAAAAUUUGAGAACCAAAAUACUCCGUGCCUCAUUGUUUGAGAACCAAAAGCAUAAUUUAAGCCUUCAAAAUAAUCUUAUCAAAAUUGUUUGAGUUCUCGUGAAGUCUUAAAGUCAAUAAAUAGAGUCCUAACAAUCACAUAAAUCAGUUUCUUAAUACAUUUGUCAGAACAGGAGAGUACCAAGUACUUUUUCAUCCUCAAAGCUCAAACUUGAAAAAUCUGUGUAAUGGAGAAUUUGGUGCCAAUAAAGUAUCAACAGUCAAGUGUCAGCACUGAAACAGGUAGCAGAUUUAUGCUUGCUGAUAAUGUAAGACAUGGUAGAGAGACUGGAAACUAAAAAGCCACUUGAAUUACACAACACAACAAAAUGUCCACAGCAAUAUGAUAUUCCAAGAGUUAAAAGAACACAAAAUAAGGGAAAUCUUAAGAGGUGCAUUCACAAUAAGUCAUUUUCCUAUUUCCCCUACUGUAACCCCUAACCACACACUACAACCCCAACCCCCCCCCCUAAAGACUAUUCCUCCAACCAACAAACUCCCCCCAUACUAAAACACAAAGCUGUAAGGAACCCUAAAAUUUAAGCAACCAACAUUCUUUCCCCCCCCCCCUUUUUUCAGGUCAUUUCCUCUUCUUAGAGGGUGGCUGGGGCAGCUCCUCAUCUUCUUCGUCGUCCUCAUCCUCCUCGUCCUCGUCCUCACCCUCCUCAUCAUCGUCAUCGUCGUCGUCAUCGUCGUCUUCUUCGUCGUCGUCGUCGUCGCUCCCCCCUUCGCCGUUGGCCUCAGGGUCAUCGUCGUCUUCACCUCCUUCAUUCUCGUUCCCCUCGUCACCCGAUUGCUCAUCCUCGCCCCCAUCAUCGUCCUGAUCCUCCCCAUCAUCGUCUUCCUCUUCAUCCUCGUCGUCGUCGUCGUCCGACUCGCCGUCGUCCUUGUUCUCGGGAACGGUUUCGCUUUUGCUUUUGCCUAGUAUCCUUCUAGAACAAUCAUGGUUUGAUUGUGAGAAUUGAACAAAUAUAAAAACUAACAUACAGCGUUUGGUUGUGAGACAGAUGAGAGAUAUGGCAAAAGAAAAGAGCGAGAGAGAAAAGGAAUUUACCUGUAAAUUACUUGUGGCUCUUCCGGACAAGGAACGACCUCACUCGGCAACGAUCCCAUCUGAAAGAAGUUGCAUAGUCGUGAGCAACUAAACAGUAAAAUAAACCGGAGGAAAAAUUAGCAAACUAUUGAUGACUAUAAUGCAAGAACUCUAAAAGAUCACAGUAUACUAACAGAGAAGAGGAACAACAAAGAAAGACAACAUUAUGCAAAUACUAUGAUAAAAGUUGAUAGCAGUACAGCUAGUUUAAAGGAGCAUGUAAAAAGAAAAAUCUAUAAGAGCAACAAACAAUGUUAUUAAAAUGUGGGAUAAUACGCUUAAAAGAAACAAUAAUCUGAAGCUGAAACAUAGAAUUUUAUUAAAAUUUUUUAAAAAAACAAGAUCUUAUAAAUUCAUAAUGCAUGAAAGAAAGAAAGAAAGGUGGAAACGAAAAGCAGGGUAAGAAAAGGAAACAAAACAAAUACAGAAAUAUGACGCCAAUGGUAAGUUCAAUAAUGCAGCUACAAUAUGUAUACCAUGCACGCUAAGCAUCUAGAAUAAAGGUCGCAAGAAUGUUAAGGGUUUAGAUAUUGGAUACGCAUAAAACUACAAGCCAUAAAGGUAGCUUGGCAAGAAGGCUUUUCAAAAAUUAACACACAAAACACGUGCGGGUGCGGGCGGGCGCAUGUUUAUCUGCAUAUGCACAUGCAUACAAACGCACGUGAGGAUGGAAGAAACCUCCUUCGCGUGCUACCUUUACGCUUUAACGCUUUUUGGCCCUUGAUGUUUACGUCGACCAUCAUGUUGAAUGCUGACUUGGACUGGUUAACGACAACGAAUCACAGUAUCAAACCAACAACGGUUUUUCAGAGGGAGGAAAGGCAAUGCAUGUCCAGAUGCGAAAAAAACCUGUAAGAAUAAUCGAUAACAACAGCAGGGAAAUCAUAAAAACGACGUCUUUUCACGGGCACUUAAUUUUCCACCCCAACUUAUUAUCUAAAAAUGAAAAUAGACAACAAAUUUGCAAAGAAUCCUUGAAGGAUUGCAAGUGCAAAUCUUGUAAUAUUUUUAUAAACACUAUAAGAUUUUUAUACUUCAGUGGGCAAAGUGUAAAUUGCUACAUUUUAGCCUUUUAAUAAAAAAUAUGUUUCUUUUCCCACUAAUUUCACAACCAAUUCCUAUAAGAUCCAAACUGGAUCUGAGGACAAAAUAUCAAUUUCAAAUAUAAGGCAUGCUAAAAUAGAUUGUAAAAACACUUCCAUAAAUUUUAAUCUCUACUGAAGAGAGGAAAUAAAAACACAAAAAAAAAAAAAAAUUCAAGCCAAACAUUGAAGGCAACAAAGAACAAUAAUGGAGAAAAAUUUACUACCAUUCAAAAUAAUUAAGAAACAUCACAGAUCUAAAACUUCAACAAAUGUCAUAUAAUUUGUUGAUUUAUUAAAGACAACAAACAGACUAAACUAUACCAAGUCCCAAACCCUCGUGCCCCAAAGUAUGGAAGUUCAAAUGCAUCAUAAUUUCGAAAAAAAAAAAUUAAAAUAACCUCAAACCCUAAACUAAAAUCCAACUAUUUUCUCAUACAUAAGCAACAAGGAUCUCAAAUCCCAUGCACUGAGCACCUUAUUAGACCCAAAAUUACCUCACCCAGAUCACAAAAUCAGAACUCUUAAGCACCAAAAAAAAAAAAAAAAAAACCUAAUUGUUACCCAAAUUCACAGCAAAAAAACGCAAAAAAAACCCAAAAAAUCGAGCUUUUCAGGGCGAGAAACAGGGAAAACCCUAGCGGGGGACGAAAAAGGAGAGGGAAACGCACCAGGAAUCGAUCGGAAGGGUAGAGAGAGAGAGAGAGGAGUGGGGGGGGCGAAGGAGCGGUGUCGCGAUCUCUACAGUGAGUGGGAGAGCGGUAGGGUUUGCGAAGCUCGGGCUAUAAAGAGGGGGGCGUUGAGAGGGUCGGGGUUAGGGUUGAAUUAGGGUUUUUGGGUGGUGUUAGGGUUUAGGGUUUGGGUGAGGAGGGGUCGGGUGCGGCGUGCGUGUGUGUGUGGUUUAAAUUUUGUGCGUGCGCGUUUGUAGGGUUGUCAACGCGCAGAACGCAAGUGAGCUGAGGCCGACUUGUUUCAUAAACACGUCGAUCUUAAACUGGCUCAUUAAAAUACUGAACCAAAAACUUCAGCUCAUAUUCAACUCAUUUAUUAACGAGCCGAGCUAGCUCACAAAUAAUAAAUUUUAUUUAUAUAUAUAUAUAUAUAUAUAGAGUGAGGCUACUAUGCUAUCGGAAACACGGAGCCUUCCGUGCUUCCAGCUCGUUUUCGAUGUUGCGACUUUCGAAUCGUCGAUCGGCUCCGUUAAACUUGAUCUAGAGUAUUUGGAGUACCUAGAAAAUAAAUUUUAUUAUUUUUCGAUAUCAUUUGCCUAGUGAUCGAAGGCACUCAAGAAUCAACAAAUUUCAAAUGGCCAUAGUGAGCCGUUUGCAAGUUUAACGUGUAGAAAUAUCCAAAUCAUGUGAAAUUUUGAUAGAAAAUCUUUUAUACUAUAUAAAACAAAAUCAAAUCUUUGAUUUAAAAUUUCAAUGUCAUAUUAUUACAUUUUGUAAGAUUUUUAUUUUCAGCCGUUGAUUUGAGCACUUCGUUCACUUAGGCAAAUGAUAUCGUAAAAUCAUAAAUUCAUUUUCUAGAUACUUCAAAUACUCUAGAUCAAGUUUAGAGACCGAUCGACGAUUCGAAAUCGCAAACAUCAAAACGAGCUGGAAGCACGGAAGGUUCCGUGCUUCCGAUAGAAUGAGUAGUCUCACUAUAUAUAUAUAUAUAUAUAAUAUAUAUAUAUAUAUAUAUAUAUAUAUAUAUGCUGGGCUACUAUACUCAUAUGAGUAUAGAGGCUCUUUGUACUCAUAACUUUUUGCCCGUUCAGAUAAAGAAUGUGCGGCCAGGAUGGAGUGAUUACAGUUAGAUUGAUAGUGGGCCCCCUAGGGUUAGUGGGUGGUUGGUUGAAUAGUAUAAUUUUAACGGGUAAAAAUGAUUAAAGGGUGGAUCAAACGGCCAAAAUUAUAGAGUACAAGAGCCUACUACUCAUAGAGUAUAUAGUAGCCGAACUCAUAUAUAUAUAUAUAUAUAUAUAUAUAUAUAUAUAUAUAUAUAUAUAUAUAUAUAUAUAUAUAUAGAUCUUGACUGCGGCUACUAUCGGUAGUAAACUGUUCGGUUUACUUACCGAUUUGAUUUUUUGAUGAUAGAGCUUCCAAAUCGACGAUCGGCACCGUUGAACUGAUCUAGACCCAUUUAAAUUAUCAAGAAAUCAAAAUUUCAUGAUUUUUCGGCAUCACUAACUGAACGAUCAAAGGGUCACAAAAAUAUAUAAUUUUAAGGGCCGAUAUGGUGCGUUGUGCUCGUUUAACGGUAUAGAAGAAUUCAAAUCAACUAAAUUUUUGUUAAAAAAUUCUUUAAACUAUUUCAAAUUAAGAUCUAGGUAUCUAGACUCUCAAAUAUAAAAAUUGUGAAUCCUCACUUUUUGAAGAUAUUUAUUUUCAGGCCAUUCAUUUUUUUGUUCACUUGAUGGACAAGAGAACAAUAUCGAAAAUGUGUGAAAUUUCAUUUCCAGAUAGUUUAAAUAGUUUAAAUCAUGUUUAACGUGCGAUCAUCAAUUGGAAGCUCUAUCAUCGAAAACAAAUCGGUAGUAAACCGAGCCAUUUACUACCGAUAGUAUUCUAGCCAAAACUAUAUAUAUAUAUAUAAUAUAUAUAUAUAAUUAGGCUAUAUAUAUAUCUAUAGUACCGAGCCGGUACUAUAGUGUUUGUUUUCGAUCUUACGGGUGUUCAAUAUACGACCACACCGUUAAAUAUGAUCUAGGGUGAAUUAUUGUGAGAAUAAAAUUUUAGUUUUUUCGAUAUCGUUUACUUAGAAAAUAAAUUAUAUCAAAAUAGACGUGGAAAUGAAUAAUCUUUAAAAAUUUGAGCAUAGGACCUUUUAAAUUCAAGAUCAAGAAUGUUAACCUUUAAUCUAUAUAGUUUAAAGUAUUUUCUAUCAAAAUUUAAAGAAAUUUAGAUUCUUCUACACCGUUAACUCUAAACUCGUCAUAAAGCCAUUGAAAAUUGAUCAAUUUUGAAAUAGUUUGAUCAUAAAGUAAACUAUAUCGAAAAAAUAUAAAAUUUUAUUUCUAAAAACUUUAAAUACCCUAGAUCAGUUUUAAUGGUGUGAUCGUUGAUUUGAACGCCCUAAGAUCGAAAACCAACACUAUAGUACCAGAGCUCGUACUAUAUAUAUAUAGAUAUAAUAAUAUAUAAUAGAUAAUAUUAAUAUAUAUAUAUAUACAUAUAUAUAUAUAGUAGGUCUUGUGUGCUAUUAGGAGCACGGAGGCCUCCGUGCUCCUAAGCCGUUUUCGAUUAUGGAGCUUCCAAAUCGACGAUCGGCUCCGUUACAUUUAAUCUAGUGUAUUUGAAGUAUCUAGAAAAUAAAUUGUUUGAUUUUUCAAUAUUAUUUACCUAGCGAUCGAAAGGAUUCAAAAUCAAAGGCUGAAAAUAAAAAUCUCAAAAAAAAUGGUGAUAUAGCGCUAAAUUUUCGAUCAGAGAUAUUGAUCUUGCAGUAAAUAGUACAAAGAAUUUUCUAUCAAAAUUUUAUCUGAUUUGAAUACUUCUACAUCGUUAAACUUGCAAAUGGUAUAUAUCAACCGUAAAAAAGUAUUGAUUUUGAACCCUUUUGAUCGCUAGGUAGAUGAUAUCGAAAAAUCGCAAAAUUUAUUUUCUAGAUAUUUCAAAUACGCUAGAUUAAGUCUAACGAAGCCGAUCGUCAAUUCGAAAACUCCAUCAUCAUAGGAGCACGGAGGGGUCCGUGCUCCUAAUAGCACACAAGACCUACUCUCUCUCUCUCUCUCUCUAUAUAUAUAUAUAGUCCGGCUGCUAUGUUAUUAAUAGUACCAAACAUUUGGUGCUAUCAAGUUUUCUGCCGUUAGAUUAACCUCUUUAAUUAUUUUUACCCGUUAAAUUAUACUAUUCAACCAACUACCCACUCAACCCUUGGGGACCCACAUCAUCAUAACCGCAUAUUUCUUAAUCCAAUGGCUAAAAAAUUAAUAGCACUAAUAACUUGGUGCUAUUGAUAGUAUUCCAGUCUAGUUCUAUAUAUAUAUAUAUAGGCCGUGGCUACUAUACUAUUAUGAGUAUUGGAGUCAUCGUACUCAUAAGUUGUUUUCAAUGAUGAAGCUUCCGAAUCGACGAUCCACGCCGUUGAAUAUGAUCUAGAGUAUUUGAAAAUUUUAGAAAAUAAAUUUCGUAAAUUUUCGAAAUCAUAAUAAAGUCCAUCAAGUGGGCAUAAAAUGAACAGUCAAAAUCGAACGACGUCCUUAAAAAGGAUGAUCGGAUCCUUCAAUUCAAGAUCAGAGUUAUUGAUCUUUAUCUAUAUAGUGAAUAUAAUUUUCUAUCAAAAAUUCAACAAAUUCCGAUUCUUUUACACCGUUAAACUAGCAAGUAUCCCAUACCGGCCGUUAAAAAUUGUCAAAUUUGUGACCUCUUGAUCGUAAGGUAAAUGAUGUCGAAAAAUUAUAAAAUUUGAUUUCUAGAAGUUUUAAAUGCUGUAAAUAAUGUUUAACGGUGUGGUUCGUCGAUUCGGAAGCUCUAUCAUCGAAAACAACUUAUGAGUACCAGGGCGAUCGUACUCAUAAUAGUAUAGUAGCCGAACCAUAUAUAUAUAUAUAUAUAUAUAUAUGAGUCUGGCUACUAUACUAUCGAUAGUACCAAGCCCUUGGUACUAUUGAGUUUUCUACCGUUAGAUCUACCUUUUAAUCAUUUCCACCCGUUAGAUUAUAUGAUUAAACCAACCACCCUCUCAACCCUAGGGGACCACUAUCAAUUUAACCGGGGACCACUAUCAUCCUAACCGCACAUCCUUUCAUCCAACGGUCGAAAACUCAAUAGUACUAAGGGCUUGGUACUAUUGAUAGUAUAGUAGCAUAAUUCUAUAUAUAUAUAUAUAUAUAAUUGAGCUCCUAUACUUUUAAAAGUACCAAGUCAUUGGUGCUUGUAAGUUUUUAGCCCUUGGAUUAAGGGAUGUGUGGUUAAGAUGAUGUGGGUCCCCUAGGGUUAAGUGGGUAGUUGGUUGAAUAGUAUAAUCUAAUGGGUGAAAAUAAUCAAAGGCGUAGAUCUAACGGUAAAAAAUUUACAAGUACUAAAUAUUUGGUACUUUUACAAGCACCAUAGUCGGACUCUAUAUAUAUAUAUAUAUAUAGAAUUAGGCUGGAAUACUAUUAAUAGUAAAACGCUCUUUUUGCUAUCAAGUUGAUGAUAUUAGUCGGUUAGAGUUGAGUGGUCCCUCUAGGGUUGAGUGUUCCCUACUGGGUUAUAGUAUUUAACUCAAUGGUUAGAAAUAAUGAAAAGAGUUGAUCCAAAGGCUAAAAAACUGGUAGCAACAAUGGGAUUUUGCUACUAAUGGUAGCCCAGUCCAACUCUCUCUCUCUCUCUCUCUCUCUCUCUCUCUCUCUCUCUCUAUAUAUAUAUAUAUAUAUAUAUAUAUAUAUAUAUAUAUAUAUAUGUGCGGCUACUAUACUCUUAUGAGUAUAAACCCCUUUAUACUUAUAAAUUUUCGGCCGUUAGAUCUAAUCCUUUGAUCAUUUUCUUCUGUUAAAUCAUACUAUUCAACCAACCACCUACUCAAUCCUAGGGGACCACUAUCAUCCUAAUCGAAGAUCGCUAUCAUCCUAACCACACAUUUCUUCAUCCAUCGGCUGAAAAUUUAUAAGUACGAAAGGGUCUAUACUCAUAAGAGUAUAGUAACCCUAGCCUAUAUAUAUAUGAUAUAGAUUUUCGAGAUCUUACCUAUUAAAUUUUGAUUUAAUGGUUGAAAUUUUAUAUGUAAAUAAACUUUUUUAGAAUUGAGUUGGGCUUAAUAUUUAGGUUGGACUAAAAAUCAAAUAACAAAAAUCUAUAUUAUGUAUAUAUAAUUAUUUAUUUAUAUAUAUAAAUAUAAAAUAUAUAUAUUCAAGCUGUUAUCGAGCAGAACACGAGCGAGUUAACCCUAGCUCGUGUUCGACUCGUUUACUAAACGAGCGAUUCGAUCUCGAAUUCAUUUCGAGCUGAACAUAAGCUGGCUCGCGAACAACGAGCUGGAUCGCCACCCCUACGUGUGUGUAUGUGCAAGACAAGUGGGUUUGUUUGAUUUGGGGAUUUGAUAUGGAGAGAUGUGAUUUAUUACUAUUAUUAUUAUUAUUUUUGAGAGAUAGAUAGCAUGCUACCCGCUUCAUUUAUUUCAUUUAGAAAUAAACUUAGCUGGAAAUGUGAGUCAAUUAGGAUUCAAACUUGGGAUCUCGGGUAUCAACUACCAAGUUCUUUGCCACUUGUGCUAGAGACGGUCAGUAUUAUUUUAUUAUUAUUAUUAUUAUAACACAUAAAAUGAGAAGAACCUAGGGCUUUCUCCUAGAAAAUUAUUUUUUAAAAAAAAUAGAUAAAAUAUUUAUUUUGGUUAUUAUCUAUAACUAUUAUACAUUCUUUUUUAUUUUUAAUGCAAAAAUAAUCAUGCUCAUCGGUACAAUAUGAGAUGGUUAUUAUGUGUCAAUUAUGUAGCUCAUGUUGAUAAAUCCGUACCAUCUAUGUUGUUCGUGUCGACAAAUAAAAUAUAAUGUGCAAGAUCAUUCAAAUUGAAGUAUGGUUAUCCAUCUAAUCCUCUAAAUUUUAUAUGUGUACAAGAUUAUUAUAAAGCAGGCAUAAAGAACUUUCUAUAUUUAAUAACUAUACAAAGGAAUUAAUGAAUGUUUACGCUCUCAUAAAAAUUUUUGAAGAAUAAUUCGCGGAAAAGAAUAUCAAGUUUUCAAUAGGCAAAAAAAAAAAAAUUAUGGGCAAUUGUGUUUGCUUAAAUGGUGCAAAAUGGCGCGCGAAAUGAUUACUUAGUUAAUUUUCUAUAUUGUUUAGGGUAUGUAUAGAUUCAUGUAGAACUACAAAAAAUAGUUUUCUGACGAAAAAAAUUUUCAGAUGAAAAUAAGCUUUUGUUUGGGUGGCAAAAAAAUGUUGGUGGGAAUUAUUGGUUGCUAAUUUUUGUUUUCCUUUAAUUACAUUUUUAUAAUAUAAUAUAUAUCAUUCUUAUUAAUCCAUAAAGGCUUAAUUAUACGCUACUAUAUUAUACAUUAUACAUACAUGUUUUCUCACUCGCUACACUAUAUCUUUUUUUAAAAAAAGUCAUAGCGCAACCAUCCCUUUUUAUUGGUCCCUCGGGUAGUAGUAGAGCAUAUAUUUGGCUCAAUUUGACACAAAAAUAAUAAAAUAUAUAAAAAUAACAAAAAAUUAUUAAAAAUAAUUUGAAAGAAAUUUUUAAUGAGUUUAUCAUGAAAAUUUAUUUGGUAUUUUUUCUACUAUUUAACGUGUGUCUUUUAAUAAAAAUGAUAUAUUUUGCAUAAAAUAAUAGAUUUAUUAACACUAAUAUAGAAAUUAGUAAGGAAAAAAAUAAUUCAAUGAUAUUUAUGAGAAAAAGUAGAGCAAGAUAAAAAUAUAAAUAAAUCUAAAAUACACUGUCAAUAUAAUUAUAUAAUAGUGUUUUUGAAAGAACAUAGUGUAAUAUAAUAAAUAAAAAUUGCACAAAAAUACAGUGUAGUAGGGUGUAGUUAAGUUAUCUAUAAUAUACAAUAGUAUAUAUGUUAUAAAUAAAAUUAUAAUAUAAUAUAUAUUGUUAUAGAUAAUUUAUAUUAUCAUAUAUGGUACUGGAGUCCGGCUACAAUGUUAUCAAUAGCGCCAAUCACUUGGUGCUAUCAAAUUUUAUGCCGUUAGAUCAACCCCUUUGAUCAUUUUUAUCCGUUAGAUCAUACUAUUCAACUAACCAUCCACGUAAUCAUGGUGGACUACUAUCAUUCUAACCAUACAUCGCUUCAUCCAAAGGCCGAAAACUUAAUAGCACUAAUGACUUGGUACUAUUAAUAAUAUUUUAGGCUAGUUCUAUAGUAUUGUAAUAUUAUAUUAUCUUAUACAUAAUGAAUAGGCUAAAUUACAGAAAACCCCCUUGUAAUAACCCGCUUUUUCACUUUCCUUUCCUGACAUUUAAAAACCUACACUUUGCCCCUCUGUAAAAUAAAAAAUGUGCACUUCACCCCCUACCGUUAGGGUUCCGUUAAAAAAUAUAUUUUUAUGCCGAAAAUACCCCUCCGCCAUCUCCCUGUUGCUUCGCCUCCCUCCGGCUCGCACCUCGCUGCCGCCUCGCCGCCUAGCCGCCUCGCCGUCCUCCACUACCGCGCCCUCACCUACAUCCCCUUCGCCGUCCUCCGCCGCCUCGCCUUCGCCUUCUUUGCCCUUCUCCUACUGUCGCCCACCUCGGUUUUCUCCUACUGUCGCCGAAAUCGAGAGCGGUUUUCUCCUACUGUCGCCGAAAUCGAGGGCGGCAAGGGUGCAGGAGGAGAAGGGGAGCAGGUGGAGAAGGAAAUGGAGAGAAAUCACAGCCGAUUGAGGUAGGAAUCGCGGCCGAACGAAGGGGCGGCUGAGGAAGAUAGGGAAGAAGACGACAAUGGCGAGGGACAAAAUGGUCAUUUUACACACCGUAACCCCCCUGUGAACAUUUUUCAUUUUACAGGGAGGUAAAGUGUAGGUUUUUAAAUGUCAGGGGGGAAAAGUGAAAAAGCGGAUUAUUAUAGGGGGGUUUUCUGUAAUUUAGCCUAAUGAAUAUUAUGUAUAUUAAAAACUAGGGUAAACUUCAAAUACCUACCCUCUGGUUUCACACUUUCUUAUUUUAGUACCCUGUGGUUUAAAGUGUAUCAUGUUAGCCCCUAUAGUUUCGCACUUUCUCACUUUAGUACACCGUGAUUUAAAGUGUUUCAAGUUACUACCUUGUGGUUUCAUUUUUUUUUUUUUUAUUAUCCAUUUCACUAAUUUUUUCGUUAAAUCAGUGAUAAAGUUAAAAUUAAAGGGUACUAAAGUGAAUAUUCGAUAAACCUAGGUAGGGUAUCUGAAGUUUUUUUGUAUAUAAUUUAACGAAAUAUUAACGAAAGAAAAAAAAAAUCAGCGAUAAAGUUAAAACUAAAGGGUACUAAAGUAAAUAUUCGAUAAGCUUAGGUAGGGUAUCUAAAGUUUUUUGUAUAUAAUUUAACGAAAUAUUAACGAAAGAAAAAAAAUUAGCGAUAAAGUUAAAACUAAAGGGUACCAAAGUAAAUAUUCGAUAAACUUAGGUAGGGUAUCUGAAGUUUUUUGUAUAUAAUUUAACGAAAUAUUAACAGAGAAGCCGACGAAAAGAAUAAAAUGAAACCACUUGAUACUAAAUUGAUGCACUUUAAACCACAUGGUACUAAAAUGAGAAAGUGCGAAACCACAUGGUACUAAAUUGAUACACUUUAAAUAACAGAAUACUAAAGUGAAAAAGUGCGAAAUUACAGAGCUGAUAUUUGAAGUUUUGUCACGCCCCGGGGUCCCUUUUAGUUUAAAAGGUAGCGGAAAAGCGUCUGAAAAUUUUUUUUUUUUGAAAAUCUGACCCCAGAGUGUGCCAGAUCCGCCACAAAUACAGGAGCUCCACUGUUCACACGGACAGAGUCUCCCCUGUAUUUGCACGGCGUCGCACAAGUACAACAGAGUAUAAGUACACACACAACCACAACCAGAUGAACAACAAGAUAGAUAACAUUCAUCCAUUCCAUUCACACACACAGAUAUGAGACUUGAAUAUGAAUAACAUUCCACAUCUAUCAGUUAAAAAUGUUUCCUACCUGGAAACUGAUUUUGAAAUACUAAAUCCAUAAAUCCACAGAGAAAUCAACUUGAAAACUGAUCCCUACACGGGAACCAUUCUUUUUCAAGACCAGCUACCACGAGGGGUAGAAAACUGUUUUAUAUUCCAGAAAACUCCAAUCCUUACGUACCUUUUCAGAAACCGAAAUUGAAACCCAGAUAGUCAUAAUAAAAUAGAAAACUGAACCAUAAUAUUGUCUAAGUAUUAUUCAAGCAUGAAGGGUAAAAGGAAUAACCGCUCGGGAAGGAGCUCUAUCGCACGGCUAGACAGCUCCGUCACCAGCUGUCCACUCGGACCUGCUACGUCACCUGUAAUGGGGGCGGGUGAGAGAACAUGUAAACAAUGUCUCCCCUCCAAGUGGGUACGCCAAGUCGUAGAGGGCGAGGGGUACUCACUAGUCACGGGAAACUAGAUAGAUAUAAAUGUUGAUAAAGUAAAUUUAAUGCUGAAAGUAAGGACUGACAAGUAUAGAUGCAGGUAAGUAAAACAGUAGCUACAAUAAACAGAUAAGGAUUGCUGGAAAUAAACACUACAGCUACUGUAUGCAUGCGUCAUGACGAAAAGCUCAAAGUCCCCAAUCUCGCUGCCCUAUUGGUCGUAUGACCUCAGGCUCAUGCCACACUGCAACUGUAUCUGACCCUCGCAAUGAAGCCCUGGGUCAGAAGCAUAUACCCCUCGCAAUGAAGCCCUUGGCUCACGGUUGCAAUCCAACCACUUUUCCCGGAAAAGAAACACCCUCUUGCGGUGGAGUUCAGACCGCUGGUGUUCGUGAAAUGCGUACCUGUAGUGGCGAUCAUGUAGUGCUCAAAGAUCAUCCGUCGGCAACUAGCCGACAAUCCAGGCCCUCCAGGCACACCGGCCGUAUAGGCCAUCAGCAACUAAUCGGCUAGUAAGCCAAGAUGGAACUGUAGCAACUCGACCGAACAGGUCAUGAGGUAUCACAAUAGGGGGAACGCCCCAACCAAAUCACUGAUAGUGAAUAGAUAGAAAAAAUCAACUCUAGCUCUAAGCAUGUAGUCAACAUGAAAAUAACUGAGUAGAGAUGUAGAUAUAAAUACAGAUGCAAGGCUCAAUAUACUAUAAGAUAUGAGUAAACAGUAGGGGGAAGAAACGUCACCCGAGCGUGCACCACGUAACCGACUACGGGUCGAAGUACCCACUGUAUGUAUCUGACGAAGGUCUUCGACUGUGAAGACGGUGCAAACCGAACCUAACGAAAGGCUACGGGUUAAGGUCUAACCGCACUGACAUGAAAAGCUAACUCACAACCCCUGCUAACAAAACCACGACCGGUUUCCAAACGAUACCAAAUAAGCCGAGUCACGAAAACUGCACCGGAACUUUCUCGUCGCUCCUACCCGUCGUUUCGAACCCUCAAAACGACGGCGGGUGACCAGCCCAACCAGGCUCAGCGACGCCAUAAUCAUCUCACAGGAGGCACCGUCGGAUGAAAUCCGAACCGAAACGCGUUCUAUCGGCAGAUUUCGCCGAAAACGCCUCGGAAAUCACUUCCGAUUUCCGCAAAGGCUUGGGGCCUUGGACCGAUUCAGUCCAGAGGUUACCGCCUCAGCAUUACACGGCUGUCACGCAUCUACAACGAAGCAAAAGCUAAAAGCCGAUACCGAUACAUGAAAUGAUCAUUUCACUGUGAUCUAGCUUUCUGGACCGUGCACGCAAACCGAAGUCGAUUAUCCGACCGUCUACUGCUGACAGGUUUCAGCAUGUCGGAGCCGUGCUCACUUUGGAGCACUGCCGCCACUGCGGUGCGCGCACGAGCGACGCGAAGUACUGAAAAACUGCACGCAACAGCGCGCAAGAUCGGCGACUAACUACAACCAGGGCAUCUUCGCCGUUGUUGGAGGUGAGCAGAUGUUCAGCACGAGUUGUAAGAUCAUCAUGCCACUUCCGAGACUUAGAAGGCUUCUCGAUUCACCGAAAAGACGCGAAGCCUCGGAAAAACAGUGCUGGAACAUAAAAUGUCCUUACCCAGACCCGAGAGAGCUAGGGUUGGUCGCAGGCCGCCGGGAGGCGGGCGUCCGGCCGAGGAGGAGCACUCGUCCAGGAGGUCGGGAGGGUGCUUGGCCGGCGGCGGGAAGCAACCGUGGCGGCGGCGGCCGAGAUCCACCCUGCACACCUCCUCUCGCGUUGGGCUUCCCGGCGGCGUGGCGGGGCCUGAGGAGUCGCGGCGACUCUGUGCGGCGCCGGAGCACGAGGGGAGGACGUGCAGCACCUAAGUGGGCUGCGCAGCGCCUGAAACCAGAGCGGGCCCGACCUCGGCCGCACGUGACUGGCGGCCACAGAAAGCUCCAGCGGCGGCCGGCGGCUGCCGGGACGGCGGGGACGCGCGCGCCGGGUUGCCGAAGGUCGCCGGGGCCGACUGGGGGCCGCGGCCGAAACGAGCGAGGGCGCUGCUUCCCGGGGGAGCCGCUCGUCUGGGCUGACCCGAGCUGCUGCAGGGAGCGGGUGUGGCUCCGGCGGCGUCGAGCGGUGCCGGGGCCGGCGGGCGAGGACGCCGGAGGAGGGCUCGCAGGGAGGGGAAGCCGGCUUAGAUGCCCUCCGAGCACAAUACACGAAAUGUGGCAGUCAGGGGCUAGGGGAGAGCUAAGAGGUGGCCGGGUGACUUCUCCGGCGGCCGGAGCACCUGCCGGCCGGCCAGGGCCGAGCCACGGAGCUGGGCAAGGAGAAGGUAGGGUGGUUAGGGCAGGCUGGGAAAAAUUAGGGUUAGGGUUCCUUAGCCGAACCUAAAACUCAUUUAUAUCAACAUGACUAAUUGUCGAAACCCCUCCUAGUCCAAUACCCUUUUUACCAAGCCCCUGGCAACAUGUGGAAAAUCCGCAUAGUCCCUCGACAUUCGAAUUCGGCGCAAGAUCGCGCAUAAAAUAUUGGACUUUUCGCGAGAUUAAUCGUUUGCACUUGACCUCUUAGCGGACUUUUCACGGAUUCCCGAAGAUCCGUCCGUCGGAUUUCGAACGGAUUGCGCCAGGCGAUCAGCACGACUGGGCAUCGAAUCUAGCAUUCUGUUUCGUCUGAAAAGGCUCCGAUUUGCGACAAACCCACCCUCACUGGUUCAUCAAACCACAUAUAGGUAUAAUCAUAUGUAAAAACCAUUAAACCCCUUUUCUCGACACACCAUGCAUCAGAACCCAAUUCCGUCAGCGCCAAUGGUUCGCAGUAUAGUCGAGAGUUCGAAACAAGUAUUGGAAGCUAUAUCAGGUCGAUACGCGUCGAAAGUCCACUCUACUCCGCGGCCUCUCCGGAAAAUCGGAGUCUAUCAUCACUUAAGUGAACUUCCGGGUCGCCGUAACACUCUCCGUUUUAACUCGUUUUCUCCUGAAAUUUGACGAGUACACUUAUAAUUAUUUACACACAAGAACAUCGUCAAACAAAAGGGUUCAAUCAAUAAAUGAAAAUCUCAGUUAUUACAAGUUUGCCUUAAAAGACUAUACCAUGAAUACAUCUAUCUAUCUAUCUCUAACUACAUUAAAGGAGGGUUUGGGGACCACGGUGACACGUGUCCCCCAAACCCCCUUCUCUCUCCCCGCUAUAUAUAUAUAUAUAUAUAUAUAUAUAUAUAUAUAUAUAUAUAUAUAUAUAUAUAUAUAUAUUAAGUUUUAAAUUUUUAUAUCAAAUAUAAAAUUUUGAUACUUCCAAAUCUUUACAGUUUAAAUUUCUAAUUUUAUAUUUUUUAUUUAAAUUUUAAAUUUCAAUUUUUACUUAUAAUAUUUAUUUCUAAAUUUUAAGCUUUUUAAACUUCAAAAUUUUAAAGUUUUAAUUUUCUAAUUUUAUAUUUUAUAUUUAAAUUUUAAAUUUUAUUUUUUACUUAUAUUAUUUAUUUCUAAAUUUUAAGCUUCAAAGUUUAAAAUUUUAAAUCUCUAAACUCUAUGAAAUUAAUUAAUUAAUUAAAUUUAUUAAUAAUUAGUUUUAUACAAUAUAAUUAAUUAAUUUUAUUAAAAAUACACAUAAUAAAUCGCAUAAUAAAAUCUAAUUUGAUAGAUGAAAUUUAAAUCACAUAAAAUUUCAUUGUAUAAAAAAAAUACGGAAUUUAAGUUUCAGGAGUAAAAUUUUAAAAAUAUAGUGUAUGUGUGUAUAUAUAAUUAAUUUUAUUAAACAAAAUCUUUUACAAUUUUAUUUUCCUUCUAUUUAUUGGUUUUUUUAAAAUUAUUUUGGUAGAUUUAUCUCAAAUCCUUUUCAUAUAAUUUUUUAUAAAAUAAACUAUUGUAAAAAUUUACUUUGCGCAUAUACCAAUUUUAAUGACUUUUAUUUAAAUAGAUUUAACUAUUAAAUUAUUUUUAUAUAACUUUUAUUUAAUUAAUAAUUAGAUUUAUAAAACUAUAUAAAAAUAUUAAAAAAACUAAAAUUUAUGAUAAAAAUAUUUUUAUAUCCGCAGCAUCGCGCGGGUAUUUUACUAGUAUACAUGAACCCAGUGCACCCAUGGGUAAUUUCUCACACUUUCUUUAAUUUAAAAAUCCAAAUUUAAAAAUCCAAAAUUUGUUAUUGUGGACCAUGCCAUUUUUUCUUUUGGGUUGGGAAUUAUAAUUGAAAAAAGAAAAAACAAAAGAUGCAUAAGAAAAAAUGGGAGGUUAUGGAAUAUGGAGAAUAUAUGGAAAAAAAUUCAUAUUUUUCAAAAAACAUAGGCUUAUGAGAUUUUUAUAUUUUUCAAUAAGAGAGAUAAUAUUUUCUUAUUUUUCAUAAAAAUAAAGUAAUGUACAAUGUGAAGGUUCAGCUCUUCUUUUUCUCUUUCUAGCCCAUUCCACAUUUCCACCAACCUUUUGCUCUUCAGUGUUUUUCUUUGCUCUUAUCUUUUGACUACAUUUUGGCUCAGCAUCUGACCAAAAAUCGAUUAAUAAAUUUAGAGUUUUGUUUAAUUUUACUGAUCAUGUUCUACGAUACUAUCUUCUAUAUAUAAUUUUUUAAUACGUUCUACUCCACAAUCAUCUAGAUUUUUGUCUCUCACUUGCUCCGAUCUUUCGCUAUAUCUUUCGUGCUGUAGCUUGGUGGACUCGAAGAGAGAAAUGUUUUGCUGUGAGUUGAAGGACGAAAGUUAGAUUAGAUAUGCAGAGAUUGCUUUCAUCUAUAUUAUUCCCUAUAUUUUACUAUAGGGUUAAUUGUAUAUAGAUCCCCGCAAACAUAGUGAAUUGCAUAUAUAUUUCUGUAAAGUUCAACUUUUAUAAGUUAUUCCUAUAAAAAUCCUAAUGUUUUCAGAUAUGUUCCUCUGGUUUGUUACCAUUAGAUAACCAUUAGAAAACUGUUUAUAUUUUUAAUUUUGUCAUUACAAACAUAUCCCUCCAAAAAUUAUAACAGUAUAUUAUAAGAGGGGUAAAACUGUCAAAAAUUAGUAUUUAACCUAUGGUUAACUAAACUUUUCUAACGGAUUCUAACAGUAGGAACAUAUCUGAAAAUAUUAAAACUUUUAUAGAAAUAAGUUAUGAAAAUUGAACUUUACAUGAAUAUAACUGUAAUUUAUUAUAUUUUUUUGCAAAAAUUUGUAUGCAAUUGACUCUUUUUUCUAUAUUAUGAGCUUAAUUAAUUUCUAAGUCGAUGAUUGAGUUAGGGACCGAUUCACAUAUUUUUCUUUUUCCUCUGUUAUUUUUAUAUUUGCCUUUUCUUUAAUUUUGAGAAUUUUUACAUAUUUUUCUUUUUUUCUUGAUAUGGGAAUGUACUUAUUUUAUUCACAAAAUCCUAUAAUAUGAGGGGCAUUAUAGUCCAAAAAAAUUAUGUACUUUCCUUCCCAUCCUUGACGUGGCUUAAUUUUUUGAAAAUGAUAUGAUUAUCUUGAACCAUCCUCAAAAGUAAAAUUGUGUGGAGACCCUUCAACCUCAUGCAAAUUUGAAAUUGUCUCUCAACUUUUAUUUUUUCAUUGACAUCCCUUAACUUAUAAUAUUUUAAAAAUUAAGUAGUUUUAAUAAAUAAAAUUGCAAACACCAAAUUUAUUGAUAAUUUCAUCAAAUUUAAUAACUAUAUUAUUGUUUUAGCAAAUAAGUAACUAUGUACAAUGUCUUAUUUCGUCAAAAGGGGUGCCCAUCAACAAAUACGUUAUGUGGUUAUAGUGUCAAGUGCCAGACAAUCCUUAAUCAACAUUUUGGAGUCCCAGCAAAUUUUUAUCCCAAUCCCAAGGUGGUCAUUUAGGAUUGCCUCCCGAUAGGCACCGCAGCCACGUGGCGCUUAUCCAUACAUGCACCCACUAUUUCUCAUUAUUAAGAAAGCAGUGGGUACUAUUAGGUGAAUCAAAUGCGUGCAUCAUAUAAUAAAAAAAAUUUUAUUUAAUUUUGUAGAGUUUAGAUUAAGAAUUUAGGGUUUUAGAAUUAUGCUGUAAAAAAUUAAAAUAAAUUUUAAAAUUUUAAAUCCUAAAUCCUAAACCCUAGAAACUACAAGUCCAAAUCCUAAGCCCUGAAAUCUUUAAAACUUUAAAUGCCAAAACCCUGAAAAGUUAAAAUAAAAAUUUAUGAGUACACAGUGCACCCUUAGGCAAGUGCAUCGUGAUAAUUUCCAGUGUUUUUUUCAAUUAUAAGGAAAAAAAUAUUUCUUUGGGAGGCAACUUCAAGAUGUCCAUUUGGGUUAGGGAUACAAAUGGAUCCGGGUUGGUGGAGCUCUCGCCUUAAUCCUACUGAAUGGAGCGGUAAGUGGGAACAAAAAAUAUAAAAAAAAUAUAACCCAUUCCGAAACUGCCCCGAUCUGCCAAGUAAAUGGAGCGGGAGGUGGGAGGUCCUUUUCUUCCUUCAAUCUGUCCCGAUCCGUCAAAAAUCUACUAAAAAUUCGCUCCUACCCCGAUUCAUCUUAAAUAGGGCGAUAAGUGGGAGCCAAAAAUAAAAUAAAAAAUAACCCGCCCCAAAUCCGUCCUAUUCUGACAAGAAAUGGAGCGGAAGAUGGAGAACACUCCAGCCCUCGGAUCCGCCCCAUUUGCAUCCCUAAUUUGGAGUUGCCUCCUCAAUAGGCACCACAUGGCACUGCAGUGAUGCGACGUCCAUCUACGAAGUUGCAAUUAAGGUUUUGUAUAUAGUUUACUUAUUUGCUAAAAAAUAAAUAAAGUUAUUAAAUUUGACUAAAUCAUUAAUAACUUUUAUAUUUAUUUUAAGUUUUAUUCACUAAAAUAUGUAAUUUUUAAAACGUUAAAAGUUGAGGGAUGCCAAUGAAAAAACAAAAAUUGAGAAAGUUAAGGGAUGUCAAUUAAAAAAAUAAAAGUUGAGGGGCCAUCUGAAAUUAGCAUAUGGCUGAGAGGUGUCCACACAAUUUGUUUUCUAAAUAUUAGUCCCUGUCUAACUAUUUAAUAACUAGAGUAAAGAUAACAUCAACUAACAGUAGAGGCAUUUAUAAUAAUUUACUAUAAUAAUUACAGGGACAUACAUAAUAUUUUUUUAAAAAUAUAUAUUGUAUAUCCCAAAAAGCAUAUAGAUCUUACAUCCUCCAUCCUAGAAUUGACAAAAUUUUAAGUAAUUUUAAUAAAAAAAAAAAAAUUUGAUGUGAUAAGUAAAGUAUUAAUGACCAAGGUUUUAAGUGCCGUCCGUGCCGUAUGAUACGAGGGCGUGCCGUACCGUGCCCCCGAGAAAGCGGCAACGGUACCGGAGGGGUUUCGGACCCCCCUCUGUCUCGCGGCACGCAAAUAUGUGCCGCUCGAGACAAAGCAGCAUGCAGGUGCGGGUCGCCCUUUUUUUUUUUUUUUGGCUUUAUUUUUUUGCUUUUUCUUUUUUCUUUUGUUCUCCAGGGUAUUGAGUCCCUCCCGGGCCACUUAUAUUAUCUUCUUCUUUUUUUUUCACUUUGUUAUUUUUUUUUCAACUUUUUUUCAUUUUUUGACGGAUCCCUUUUUUUUAACUUCUUAUUUUCGGUCCAAGCCCUCAUAUUCCACCACAGACAUUCAUUUUUUCUUUACAAAAUAUUUUGUCAAAAUUUGUCACAUCGCGAAGUUUUCGGUGAAUCAAGGGAACAAAAAUCAAUCUCCUAAAUAAAUUUUGAUCAUAUAUUUUUAAAAAAAAAUAAAAGAACAAAAAAUAUAAAUGUAAUAUCGGGAAUAUAUGACCUUCUCACAAUAUCAGCAAUAUUUAUAUCAAUAUUGUCAAAUAAAUCUUGUAUCUACAUAUGACAAUAUGCCAUAUGAUCAAGCGCGACGAUUUAUGUCGAAUUAAGCAGUCAUCUUUAUAUAAAGAUGUAAAUAUAAAUAAUUAUUGUAUUUGUGAAUUUUGUUAUUGUAUUUUGAUUUCUAUUCUACAUUAGGUAUAGUUAUAUUUUUAUUUACAAAAACUUAAAUGUAUAUUAAUUGAUGAGUAUAUAAAUUAUUUAUUUAAAUAUUUUAAAAUAACAUUAUAGGAUUUUAUUUAAAUCAAAACAACUGAAAUAAGUUCGUGCCAAAGCGUGUUAACAGAAGGUUAUGCGUAUCUAUCGGUACACAAGCGUGCCACGUGUCGGCACGCAGGCGUGUUUGUGCAGUACUGUGCCAGGGACAUAAUGGUACGCCCCCAUGUCACGGCACUUUAAACCUUAUUAAUGACUUCGAAAUAAAGUAGGUAUAAAAUAUACACUUUAUUUUCAUGUGCCUGUAGCAUUGCUCGAAAAGAAAAAAAAGAAAUUUGUACAUCCAAUAUACAGGUAAACAUUUUACACCCAUUCAUCUAAUGGGCGAGAUUCUUUUACUUGCCAUAUAAUGUGAUAAGCAAAAAAAAUCCCAUCCAUUAAAUAGAAUAGUGUAAGUAAUUUAUUUUUAAAUGGCUUGUAUGAAUAGCAUCGUAAGAUAUUUUGGAGCGAAGGGCAAAUUAAAUGAUACUAGUUAAGGGACCCGCGCGAUGCUGCCGGUAGUUAUUUUAAAAUUUAAUUUUAAAAAUUGGUUAUAAAAUUAAUUUCAGAAUUUAAAUGGUACAAUAAGUAUAUCAAAAAAUUUUAGUAGGCAUAGUAGUCCCCCAUUAGUUAAUGAAAUAAUUUUAAUAGGUAUCGUAGUCCUCCAGUAAUUAGUGAAUGAGAAGAGAUAGUCUAAAUUAUUUAACGAGUCCAGCUAUGGUGCUUGUAAAAGCACCAAGCACUUGGUGUUUGUAAGUUUUUUACCGUUAGAUCUACUCUUCGGAUUAUUGUCAACUAUUAGAUUAUACUAUUCAACCAACCACCCACUCAACCCUAGGGGGCCCACAUCAUCCUAACCGCAUAUUUCUUAAUCCAAUGGCUAAAAAUCUACAAGCACCAAUAACUUAGUACUUUUAAAAGCAUAAGAGCUCAAUUCAUUAUUUAACAUUUAUUUUUAUAUAUUUUAUAUUUUACAAAAAUAAAUAUUAAAUUAUAUAAUAAAUUAUUAUAUAAUAAUAUAUCCAUAUAAAAAUAAAAUACUAUAUAUAAUAAAUAAAUAUAUAUUUAUAAAAUUAUAUAUAUAUAUAUAUAUAUGUAGUAUUAUAUAUAUUAUAUAUAAAGAAUGAGAGGCGGGUCCCCGUGGACCUCCUCUCAUGUGGUCCACGAGUCACUUCGGCCUCGUGGACCCAUGAUAGGACCCACCCCACGCCGCGCGGAGCCAGCCCAGCGCCGCGCUGGGCCCCACCCCACGCCGCCGCGCCCACCGGCCUAGCGCCAGCUGGGCCCUCGGGCUUCGUCCAAGCCAGGCACCGGAGCCGCCCGCGCCAGCGGGCACGGCUGCUCCGGCCCUCGGCUUGUACCUGGUUCAGCCAGCGAUCAUGGGCACGUGCCCGCGCGCUCCCGCCUCCGCCCUCGCUGCUCGGCCCGCGCCGCGCCGCGCCAACGCCCGUGCCCUCGGCGCCGCGCCCACUGUCACGGGUUAGCUUUUUUCGCCUCAAAAAUCCCCGCGCGCCCGCUCAAGUGUGCACACCCGAGCAGCCUUCUCGAGUCCCUUUACGCGGAUCAAGUCUCCAGAAUUAACAGCGGAAUAACCAAUCCAGCAUUUCUUGCCAAGCUUUCGCUCCUCCCACGGACUUACAGCCCGACCCUUCGCCUGUAAUCGAACCCUGCCCGAUUUCCUACUGGCUUACUCUUGUGGUAGUCGACGUUACCCAGACGAGAAAUCCCAAUUACGAGUGGCCACCAAGGCUAGGUCUCCCGCUUGCCAACGAUCUCUCUCAGAGGUGCCUCUUAACCGACAUGCCUUGCUGCCUUCGUCGCCAGGCCCAAGGGUAUUACAAGUUCUCCCAACUUGUACAAUGAGUAUACCAAGCGUCUCGCUUUUCCCACGCGUUCCGCCCCCCGCGACUCCAAUCCGCCGCCUCUAGCGUCGAGGUCCGGGCUUCGCGACAUCACAUGCCCACGAAUGGCACUCAUAACCAUAAUUCCUCACCACUCAUGUCUCAUGCGCCUGACAACGCCAGUGGCCAUACCGCACCCGCGGCGGUCGCUCGGCAUCCAAACUGCUUGGACCUCCGAAAAGCACCCAAGUGUGCGCCACAGCUCGCUUGCCCCCAAACAUCAGCACCUCAGCAUUAAACACCCCGGCCGUCCAUGCUUCGCACCUCCAUGCUUCGCGCUUCGACCGUGCGGCCCUCGUGUCCCAUCGGCUUCCUGAAUACGGAACAACACAAGUCCACACCGUCUUCUCGACCGUGCUUACGACCACUCCUUUUGCCCACGCGCGCUCCGCCUGCCCUCGAUCCCAUAGGUUCGUCUCAUAAGCCCCUACAAAGAACCGGCCUCACUCCGCAUCGCUAGCCACUGGCCCCCCUUCUUGCUCACCACGCCUGGCCGCUACACUACUGGUCCGAGUCUCUCAGGUUCCUAUACGGAUACCGAAUACCGCUUGCAUCCUUGGUUCCGCCGCCGUCUGAGUCUCGCGUGAGGGCGUACCACACCUUACGAUUCUCCUCGGGUGCCUCCCUUAGCGUUCCCUAUCUGAGUUUGCUUUCUUGGCGUUCGUGGGCGCCGCGCCCACGAAUCCCCGCUCAGGCACCACUUGCCUUCGCGAAGUCUUGUCCUUUACGGAGACGUCGCGUCGCAUAGGACAUUCCUCAUGCCGCCUCGUCGCUCUAACUAGCAAGAUCCAAGCCGGGCAGAAGGUAGCGAGCGAACCUAGGGAGGAAGCUCCCGGUAUUCCCGCUCCGUAAUGUCGUCGACCUCUCUCCGACAUUACCCUAGGCCCGUGUCCCUUCAACCGUCCAUUAACCGGCUACACGGAACGCUAGGCUUGGCUACUCCGCUAGCCAAGGGACGACCCAUGUCCUAUGGGUCGACGGGGGAGUCGGGGCCACUUACGAAGUGUCCACCCCUCCUCUAAUACCCUUACGAGGCAUCCACUCCUUUGGCACCCCGGGGGUACAAAGGUGCUCACCGAGGGGUACGUUUUCAAGCCCCGCAUGCGGCACCUAUUUCCAAGUCAUGGCAUGGGCCAUUGCUAGGGAAUUGCCUCCGUUGACUUGACAGCGACUCCUACCUGACGGAACACCUCAACUCCGCAACUCCAUAACUUCGUCAACCCAAAUGCCUACCAAGUAUGGCCCUCAAAGGUGUCACGGUCGAGACCCAACGAUCGACCCGUGACACCACGCCGCCCCCGCACCGCGCCCCGCGCCGCCCUCGCACCUCGCGCCUAGCGCCAGCGCCCGCUCCCACGCGUCGGCCUCCUCGUGACACGUGUGUAGUUAUUGAGGAAUAAUAUAUAUAUUAUAGAUUAUAUAGUAUCAAAUAUCCAUUAAAAUUUUUGUGGACUGUUGUGUAAAUAGAUCUUGCAAUGGGGGUCUAAAUGCAAUAAAAAAAAAAAAAAAAAAAAAACCCUCCAACCCUGACCGGUUCGGCUCGCCUCAACUCGGGCUCAACUCAGUCAACUCAAACCAAACCCGCAGGUCGUCUUCUUGUUCUUGUUCUUCUUCUUCUUCCUCUUCUUCUUCGUCGUGUUCUUUUCCCUUCUUCCACGUCUCGAGCCCCUCUUCCUCUUCUUCGCCCAACCCAUUCCCCGAUCGAUCCCUUGCCCCCCCCCCUUCCACUCCUCUCCUCGCCUCCGACCCUUCUCCGCUUCCGCAACCCCAUAUGGCGUCGGAGAUCGAGGUGGUGGAGGAGGCGGAGGAGGCCUCGGAGGCGGCGGCGGGGGCGGCGACGGCGGCGGCAGAGGUGGAGGAGGAGGCGCUGAAGAACGACGUGUACACGGCGGCGGCGUACGGCGAUCUCGAGAAGCUGCAGCGCCUCGUGGAGGCCGAGGGAUGCUCCGUCGCCGAGCCCGACGGCCUCGGCUACUACGCCCUCCAGUGGGCCGCCCUCAACAACCGCACCGCCGCCGCACAAUACAUCAUCGAGGUCUCUAUCUCUCUCUCUCCCUUCUCCUAGCAAUUUCCCUUCAUUUUCGGUGGAUUUUAAGAGGAUUUGUGCGACUGGGGAGGAGAAAUUGGGGUUUAGCGUGUGCUAUAAUGGAUUUUUUGGUGCAUUGGGGGUGAUCAUUGUGUGCUUGUGUGUGCUCGUUUGUUUGUGUUGUUUGCGCAGCACGGCGGAGACGUCAAUGCGGCCGAUCACACGGGGCAGACGGCGCUCCACUGGAGCGCCGUGCGCGGGCACAUCCAGGUCGCCGAGCUCCUGCUGAAAGAAGGCGCCCGUGUCGAUGCGGCGGAUUUUUAUGGAUAUCAGGUUUCAGAGUUCAAAAAUCCAAUUUUUAAUAAUCUGCCAUAUUAGCUGAUACUUUGCUCUGUUCCUUCCGUUUUCUGGUAGCUGGUUCUGAGAUAAUUAGGCUGUUUGUGAUGCUCGAGACUUACUAGUUAAUUGGUGAAAUUGGCUGUUCCUUCAAAUUUGCUGCACUUUUCUACCAUUAUUGUGCCUGAUUCACGUCGGGAAGUAACUAACCACCGUCUUCUUAGAAGGUUCCUUGUUGUGGGACAUCUAGAAGUUCGUUCGUUUUUGUCCUUUAAGCAUUUGUGAUGUACCCUACCCUAUAUAGUUGGAGAAAAAAGAAAAAAAAAACACUUGGAUGAUGAUGAUAACGGGAAUGCUGUACUCCUGGUUGUGUCUAUAUUAAUAAUUCAGCUUUGUCUUGUUUUACCAGCAAAACAUGUCUAUUCAGUACUAUGUCAUUGCAAGUUUUGCUGAAUCAUUUUCCACGGCUUCCAUUUAGUAUAGGUUCGAACUUCGUCUAUGUGUUAUGUCAAUUUGGGAAGGUUCAAUUACCCACUUAAUGGUGUGCAUGCUUAUGUGUAGGAGAAAAGCUAAGCUUUACUCACUAGAGACUAAUCAGGGACCGUAAGGUUACAUUUGACUAUGGUUGGUGAAAUAAAUCUGCUUGUUAACUAACCUUACUAAGAAGAGUAAAUGGGAAGACCGAAAAAGAGACUGUUCCACUAAAAAAUCACCAAAACGCGGAUUCGGAAUUUGCUAAUUGAGCAUCAUCAUAUACGCCAAAUAUGCUAGAAACUGAAGUUCUCUAGUUUUUAGUAAAGUUUACAUGUCAUCUCUCAUUCUGUUUAUGCCAAUUUUCUUGAUCAAUUUUUUUUCAUCUACCAUAAUUAUUCGUGGAAAAGUGUAAAUUGUAGCUUGAGCUAUGUUUUGGUCAUUUUUUUCCCUCUUGUUCAGUGCUCACCUUUUACAUAAGAUCAAGAAGAUUAUUGUGUUUUCGUUAUUCUUAGACAAUGUAUUUUCCCUCUCACUUUGAUUGCAGACCACCCAUGUUGCAGCCCAAUAUGGCCAGACAGCAUUUCUUUACCAUAUUGUGGCCAAAUGGAAUGCUGAUCCUGACGUCCCUGAUAAUGAUGGAAGAAGCCCUCUGCACUGGUACAAGUCCUUUUCAUUUUUUUCCCCCUUAAAUUAGUCUGUUUGAUGGUAUAUUUGAAGUUGGCUGUAUAUUUGAGGUGUUCAAAGUGCUGAACAACAAAUCUUUUACAUCACAUUAGACAUGCCUUUUUUUAAUAAUGUCAUAUGAAAUGAAUUCAAAUUGGUUAGUAUCCAGAAAUUUUAUGCACUGCCAUCCAAGAUAUAUCCUUUAUCUCAUUCAUUUUUUUCCUCCCUUAACAAAAAUAGAAUUGAAACUUUUUCUUUAGUCGGGGUACGUACUCUCCUCCAAGAUACUAGCUUGUUCUUUCUCCUUUGUAAUUUCUCUUCUUUAUAACAUAUUGGAGCUUGUAGGGCGGCUUAUAAGGGCUUCGCUGAUUGCAUACGUCUUCUUUUAUUUUUGGAUGCUUAUAGAGGACGACAAGAUAAAGAGGGUAUGUACUAGAUUAUUUCCUCGAUUUUUUUUUUUUUUGGUUGUUGUGGUUGUUGUUGUUAUUGUAUGUUACUAAAUCAUCUUAGCCAUUGCAGGCAUAUGUUUUUUAACUGUUCUUGCUUCUUAGUGCUCUUGUUUUUAUACUUCCAAUUAUAUUUUGGACUAAAACUUGUUGUCAUCAGGAUGCACUCCUCUUCAUUGGGCUGCUAUAAGGGGGAAUUUGGAGGCAUGUACUGUGCUAGUUCAAGCUGGGAAAAAGGAGGACUUGAUGGUGCAAGAUAAUACUGGUUUAACUCCUGCACAGCUUGCUUCUGAAAAGAAUCAUCGGCAAGUUGCUCUUUUUCUUGUAUGUACUCUGAAUCUGGGAUAGUUAUUAUUUGUUUCAUAUCUAGCAUAUGUAGAGCUCCUGUAUUACCUUUCUAUACUUAAAGUAAUAAGAUAAAGUUCUGAUAUUAUAUAACCGCAUCUUCUGUUUCUUUUUAGGUCUUAUUGUUAUAAAGGAUUGUUGUUUUCUUUUCAAGCCUCUUUUGGCGUCUUUUUCUUUCCGUCUACUUGAGUUGCUACACAUUGUCUAUACUUCACAGUUCAUACAUAUUUACUGUUGACCCUGAAUUUCGUUCAGAGAUUAUUAUAAAUUAGGUUUAGAUGAAUAGAAGCUUUUGACUUCUACAACCUAUGGAAGUAUGAGAUACACAUUGUCUUAAUAGUUCUCUAGCACCAAGUUUUACCUGGCACACUCUUUUAUUUGGUGAUCAGUGCUGGAAUAAAUAUGAAGAUUAUUAAAUAUUUCGUGAAACAUUAUAUCCAUGUAUGUUAAACUCAGAUAAAUGUAUGUAUAUUUGCUGUUUUCUAGCUGUUACUGUUCCAUCUCAUCUAGUGAUUUUUACGAUACUAAGGUAUCUCUGAAUUGAGUAUAUUAGCUUAAAAGAUUUGACUUCCAACUUACUGUUGCAUCAUGCAUUUCUUGAUGUCCAAUUAAGGCAAUUUUUACUGUAAAUAUUGAAAAUGAGUCAAUUGCAGCUAUUGUUCACCUUUGGAAAUGACACACUCCGAUUUGUGAUUGUGAUGAUUUCAUAAAGCAUAUUUCUACAGAUAUACUUCACAUGAUUGUCAACUUUAAGUUCAAGAGUUAAAGAAGCGUGAGACAUUUAAAGGCAGAUGAUUGGAGUGGCUUGUUAAUUGAAAAAUUUUAUCUUUUAUUUUUUGGUAUUUCUAUUUUAGUUGUUUCCCAGUUUUGCAUCAGAACCCUAUAAAUAGCAGUUUUUCUGCUUUGACUUCUCUGAAAGAAAUCCAAGGGAACAAGAAAAUUUUUAAUUGUAUGCUACAGAGUUGUAGUGUGAAUAUCCGAUCAAAUUUGCAACAAAGAAUAAUUCUUUUGGUUAAAGCAGCUUCUAAACCGUUACAAAAGUGCGUUUUAUUUGUUCCUUCCUAUUGGUAGUUUUGAAAAAUCAAACCCUUUUUCCUGCCGUAUUAAUCCUAUAUAAGUGUUAUUACAAGCUAUCAGGCCCUAAAUUAGACUUAUUUGGCAGGGGAAUGCUAGAAGCGUAUUUGACAGGCGCUGCGAUGGGACCAGUAGGCUUGGGAAGUUGUCAAAAUUAGGACUUGCACCUUUUCUCUGGUGUAUUAUAAUAACCUUGCUUGUAAUAUAUAUUCAUUCAGUCAUCUCAGGUACACUGUACUUCCAAUUCAAAGUUUGUUCACUAUAUGACGUAAAUUGUUUUGAUAACUUAUUCAACUUUCUUUUCCUUCUAUGCAGACUUGUAUCUUUUGAACCUGACAGCUGUAUUUGGGCUGUUUGCGUGGUUAGGGGUUUUCCUUGCAUCCGCCGGACUGGUCAUGUUUUAUAAAUGUAGCAGGUGUGGUUUUCUCAAUAUCAUUCAUCAGUGUGACUUUCAUGUAUAAGUAAUUAGCCUAAGGUAUACAAGUUAAUGUGAUUUUAUGCAUUCAUAAAUUGUUGUUGCUCAUUGUGAUUUGUGAGUGCUUUGACUGUUUAUCUUCUUCUAGAAUUUUCAAUGAUUUUAUAGUUACUUGCAAUAUUUUUGAGGUGUUAUGUAUGUGUAUUAUGUAUCUACGUAUCAACAUACAUAUGUACUUUUUUGUAUUGUGUACCCUUAUAUAUAUAAAAAAAAUUUCCGAUUUUUUGGAAACCGAAUUAGUUAAUUUAGGAAACUAACACAACAAGAAUGUAAUUUAGGAAACUAACACAACAGAGUUAUAAUUAACACCAAGAAAAGAUGUUGUUGAGCAGUGUAAAUAAGAAGUUCACAAUUAAUUUUUCUAGAUCAUGGCAUGUAUCUGUACCACUGCUAUGUCCUGUCUAUCGUGAAAUGGCAUAAAAAACUGGUAUAUAUACAUUCUUGCUAGUAAUUGCUUUCAAACAUGUCCAUAUUAAUCUUUUUAUUGAGAAGGGUCUUGCUUUCGAAAUUUCCAUUGCCUCUUAGUUUGGAGGAUUAUACACAUUCCACAAGCCUUGCUAUGUUUGGAGAAUUAAUAUUUCAUACUCCCAUUUUGUAGUUGUACUACUGCUUUAAGGUUGGAUCUUGAAAUUGCCAGUGUCUUGAAAAACAUUUUAUUAGGAGCAAUCAGUCCAUUUCUUACUUAUCUCCUUGCAGUAUAUUCAUAUGCCAAUAUGCCAUAUUUCACAUGUGCAUAUUUUCAUACUUUCUGCUUUAUCUGAUUGCCAUAUUUUUGUAUUUUGGUGCAGGAAAGAUCCUGGUUAUAUCAAAAUGAACAUACGGGAUUCACAAAAUCUUAGAGACGACGUGAGUUGCAAAAAAAUGUUGAUUUUGUUUUUUCUAGUUUUUAGAUCUUCUUCUCUUUUGUCAAUAAACUUUGAUGACAUUUCAGUGAUUAGUUUAUUUGUUUGUCCUGUUUCCUGAAAAUGUCAGUACAAAGUGCAAACUUCUGUAUUAGAAUUCUGUCGCUUCUUUUUCAUGUACACGGUGAUAAUAUUUUGGUUCUAUUACAUUUACAUAGUUGCACUAAGGUCUAUUUUCAUGCUGCCUUUUUUUUACAGACAAAUCUUGCUUCUUGUUUCUUAUAGCAUAGAUAUCUCCUUGUUGGACCACUUUCGAACUUACAUAUGUACCAACUUAUUGAUUGGAUGCGGCAAACUAUAGGAGCGGGAUGUGUUGCCUCUUCAAGAGGCAAAUACUACAAACAUAGUCUAGAUUUAUAGGAACAGAUGAAUUUAGCAUUGUUAUUGAUCUAUUAGGUUCUUCAUUUAACCUUAUUGAAGGACCUAUUGGUUCAAUUUACUAUUUGGUAGUUGAUUUAUUAAUGCCAUUUCUUGGCAAUUGAAUUUACUUAAAGUUGUGUCUCAUUUCGCACCAUCCAUUAUCAAACAGGAAUUCUAUUUGCAUACUCCUUUUCCAUUAUUGGCUAUUUCUUAGCAUAUAACCUUUCGGCAUUAUGUCUCCAGCGUUUAAGGGUUGUUUGGUAAAUAUUUCAUUCUAGACUAAUAGCCAAUUUGUUACAUGUGGAAAUUUGUAGGAACCUUUGCUAAAGAUUGAACUGGACGAUCCAGCUCUGCUGGCUGGAAAUUGGUCCCAGCUAUGUGCUACGUGCAAGGUGUGUUUUGCUCUUUAUAUUUUUAUUUUCUUUCCAUUAUUAAGAUUCAUCUUCCAUGGUCUUGAAAAUCUUAUUUGGUUACCAUUUAUAAAAUUCUUAGAUAGUGAGGCCUCUGCGCUCAAAGCAUUGUUCCACAUGUGAUCGCUGUGUUGAGCAGUUUGACCAUCACUGUCCCUGGGUCUCUAAUUGCAUUGGCAAGGUACUUUAUUCUGGAGGCCUGUAAUCUUAUUUCUGAAGUAUUUAUGUAUCUAACCCUGCAAAUUUAUCUAUCUGUCUAUCUGUAUAUGUAUCAAUCUAUCUAUGUAUUAACAUCCUUGAAUAACUCAAUUUCUUACCUAUACAUCCUUGCACUUAAAUAAUAAUAAUAAUAAUAAUAAAAUAAAAAAUUCUCCCUGUAGACAACUUUUUGAAAACAAAUUCCACUUCCUCCAUGAUUUGGAUGACUUCCCUCCUUUAAAUAAUGGUAUUUUUGCGAAAAAGAAAUCGAUUCUUCAACAAGUAUAAAUGGAAAUUCAGAUUUUGAGAGGGUAUAUAAGUUGUUACAAGUAACCCUGUUUCUUUCCAUGUAACUAUCGUUUUCUACCGGCAUGGCCAAUAUUUUUUCAUGUAUUCUGGUCUUCUAUCAUUUUUUUUUCUUUCUGACCAUAGAUGAUGGCUUGCAUCUGCAGAAAAACAAGUGGGAGUUCUUUAUGUUUCUUGUUCUAGAAGUUUCGGCAAUGAUUGUUACUGGUGCAAUAACCAUUAUAAGUACGUUUCCUGAAGCCUAUUCUCAUGAAUCUUUUCCUUUGCGAGUUGGUUAUCAACAUUUAUAUUUGAACUCAUGAUUACUGCUCUGUUUUGUAGGAAUUGUGAAAGACCCAUCUGCGCCAUCGUCUUUCGGUGCAUGGCUCAACUAUUCUGCUACUCAUUAUCCUGGGGCCGUAUCAUUCUUGAUAAUGGACUUUUUCCUUUUCUUUGGUGUUGCAGUUCUAACUGUUGUGCAAGCAUCACAGGUAAAGAAGGAAGUUAUAAAAAUGGAAUUCUUUCACCUCAGUUUAAUAAUAUUAACGUGUCAAUUGUUUGCUCUAUCUCUUUCUCUUCUUUUAAGUACGUAAUUGAUAUAUUACCUGGUAUUCUCUGACCUCACUUCUCAGUUUGAACUGUGAUCCUAUUUAUGACUGCAAACACCUUUCCUGUUAAGAACUGCAGUCUGUUGAUUGUUGAUUCAUUACUUCUGUGCCCCUGAUUAAGUCCAAGGUUGUGCUAAGACUGAUCAACAAAGUUUAUGAAUGCUUUCAACGUACGUAGAUGAGUGAAAAGUAAUAAAUUUCAAGGUACAGAAAUUUAUUGAAGUUAAUUUAGAGGUUCUAAUGUUACCACAGGAUUGAUUUGACCCCAGUAUUUGAUUGAUUCUACAUCAUAGGAUGUUUGAGCCUCGGCAAACAUUCACCUCCAAGCCUGAGUAUUAUGAUUGAAGAAUGGAAGUUGCUCAUAUAUUAUUCACCACUAUUCUCUUCUUUGCUUCUUAUCGACUCUGCUUCUGCCUGCAUGAUAUUGUUGUCUUUGAAUAAUUGCUAUUCUAAUCUCAAUCAUUUUUCUAAAGCUAUUUUCAUUCCUUAGAUCUCGAAGAAUAUAACGACGAAUGAAAUGGCGAAUGCGAUGAGAUACAACUAUCUCAGAGGGCCAGGAGGCCGGUUUAGAAAUCCGUACGAUCAUGGUGUCCGAAGGAAUUGUUCCGACUUCUUGAUAAAUGGCUACAAUGAGGACGUGGAGCGUCCGGACCAACCUUUGCCAUCCGAUGAGGAAAUGGGAAUGAUCCAGAUGAUGACGAGAAGUGCAGUCCAGCACAACGGGGAGAGCCAUUCUAAUUAUGGUAAUGGCGAUGGCUCUUAUCAUGCCGUCGAUUCACACCAUAAAGAUUCAAAAUCUCACUGUUGUCAUGUGAAUUCUUCACAGUGCAAUCAUAACAAGAGCAAGACCGAAGGUACCCCUCUCGGCUUGGGUUUAGGGCUUGGACGAAACAAUGCUCAGCAUACACAGUCGGUUCUUUACUUGUGAUUCAAUUUUGCCCUUUGGCGAUCAUUGUGGAAUGCAUUGGACAGUCUGUCUAUUUAGUUUUGUGCAGCAUGCUAGUUGAACGCCAAUCUUUUGACUCGAUAAAAGUCAAAAAAAGAUGGAAAUUCUUUAGGGUUUUGGGAGAUUCUUAUAUGUAUUUAUUAGUUGAAGUUGGUUCCAAUAUCAAAGGGCUCCUAUUGAGACAAUGUCGCGAGGAAAUUUGAGUAUUUUUGUGGCACGAAAGGGGGGGAAAUCGUAGGAGACAUAUGCUCAGCUUGUGAACUCGAUCUGAUUGCUGUGUACAUGAGUGUAUUCCAUCAAGUUUAUCUGAAACGUAUCGUACGCGUAAAAUCUGAAUAUGGUUUACUAUAAUUGCUAUACUGUAAAGUUGGUAGCAUUUAUACUUUCUUAUUCCCUCAAUUUAUGUUUUUCUUUUGUUCAAGUCGAAAGUGUGUGUGGGAUCUUUUGCAUUAGGUGAACACAUAACGGUCCGUCAGGUCCGUCAGUUGUGAGGCAAACUGCGGUUUCUCUUCCGUUUAUGAGUAUGCGAUUUUUCGAUGUGCUCGUAAAUGAUGAAGAGAUCAACUCUCGAACAUUUUCGUCGGUCGUAGGAGUGCUGAACUGAGAUAUAAAAUUUGCUGGUGAAUUCUUAGUCUAUCUGAUUCUUUGUGAUGCAAGUGGUAGAAGUCCUCUUUUGGUGAAUCUAUAUGCAAGUGAAAGUGUUAUUUAUGAAAAGGUGCUGUAAAAUUAACAAAUUGAAAUUUAAUGGUCAUGUCCUAUUUUUUGCUGUUACAUGAUUACACAGUAUAUUUGAGAAGUGAUGCAAUGUUCUACUAGUAGUGGAAUGAGGAAUUACAGGGUUGCAUCACAAAAGCUCCUAUUUAUUUCUCAAUUGAGUAGGAUUGUUUAGAUUUUAUGUUUGGUUUUUUAUGCGGAAAAAAAGAUUAAAUGAGGAGGACCUCGUUCUCCUUUAUCGGGGCCUUUUCUUAAAUCCAUCAUUCAAAGCCGUGUUGAGAUUUGGACAGAAUUUUUAGAUUGAAACCAGUUUUUAAGAUCCGAACGCAAGAUGAAUCACACAGCUUAUCAUAUAGUAUCAACAAUUAUCAGAUAGUAUCAACCAGCUCUCGUAAAGGAACUCCUUGACAAAGUUGCGCUUAUGAUUUGGCCUUUACUAAAAACAAGAAUUACAAUAAAAUCACAAAAUCAACAAGAAUUACAAUAAAAUCACAAAAUCUUAACACCAUGGAUAAUUAAACUCUAUACUGAAGUUGAAAUCAAAUGCCGUUCCUCCGUUGAGCCACGUGGCCUUUCUUUUAUAACAAAUGCCAUUCCUUCGUCGAGCACGUGGCCUUUCUUUUAUAUGGGUUUCCUCUCUCUCCCUCACAUGUUCUCUCUCCCUCACACGGACUCACAUGGGCUAUGUUCAAGGGGCAUGCAUGUGCUUCUUUUGCACCUUCUCUCUACAACUCUCUCUCUAUUGUUUUUCCUAACCGAACACACACACACAAAAAUACUUUUUCACUUAUUUAAUUGCACCUAGAGUGGUUUGCUAAUUAUUUCUUCUUCUUUUUUUUGACAAAUCAUAAAAAAACAUCGUUCCGUCAUUAAGUCACGUCGCAUGUUUCAUUAAAUCUGGAGUUUUUAGUUACUGUAACCUCCAUGUACCCUGUGUUUGGGGAGGAUGCAUGUAUUCUAAUGAUAAGAAAGAAAACAAAAGGAGAAGGAAUAUUCUAUGUACUAUGAAAAAUUUUGUUUCAUGCACCCUGUGUAUCAUGUUAAACAAUAUUGAUUUGAAAGUCAAGCUCAAUUAAAAUCAACCAGAAGAACGUCAUCUGGCUUUUUCAGUUUCUAACCUUUUUUUGUCGCCGAAAGGUCUACAAACUAAAAUUUUUAUCAAAUUGCUGUUAUGUUCCGUCCUCACUUUUCGAGUGUCAGGAUGACAAGAAAUUUUAAAUCUAGCCUAAGAAAAAAUAAUUCCAACAUAUAUUCAAAGUUUAAAACUUUUUUUACACUUUCUAUUUUCUUCUAAAAAAAACUAUAUUCCUUAUAGAAAAUUCUAAAUCUCCUGUUUUCAUUCCAAUUCCACUAUGAAUUAUUUGCAAAUUGUCUUUUAUUCUCUCUCUAUUGUUUUUCCUAACCGAACACACACACACAAAAAUACUUUCUCACUUAUUUAAUUUCAUCUACAGUAGUUUGCGAAUUAUUUCAUUUUUUUAAAACAAAUUAUUUAAAAAACUGGAGUUUUUAGUUACUGUAACAUCCAUGUGCUAUAUAUAUAUAUAUAUAAAGUUGGGGAGGAUACAUGCAUUCUAAUGAUAAGAAAGAAAGCAAAAGGAUAAGGAAUAUUCUAUGUACUAUGAAAAAUUUUGCUUCAUGCACCCUGUGUAUCAUGUUAAACAAUAUUGAUUUGAAAGGCAAGCUCAGUUAAAAUCAACCAGAAGAACGUCAUCUUAAUUUUUCAGUUUUGAACCUUUUUUUGUUGCCGAAAGGUCUACCAAGUAAAAUCUUUAUCAGAUUGCUGUUAUAUUCCGCCCUCACUUUUCGAGUGUUAGAAUAACACGAAAUUUUAAAUCUAGUCUAAGAAAAAUAAUUCAGACAUGUAUUCAAAGUUUAAUAUUUUUUUAACACUCUGUAUUUUCUUCUAAAAAAAAUCUAUAUUCUUUACAGAAAAUUCUAAAUCUCCUGUUUUCAAUCCAAUUUCACCAUGAAUUAUUUGUAAAUUGUCUUUUACUUUUCUAAGUCCAAUAAAAAUAGUAUCUCACGCACAAGAUAAACUUUUUUCUUACAAAAUUUUUCAUACUACAUAAAAUAUUCCUUGUCCUUUUGCUUUCUUUCUUAUAAUUCCGAUGCAUGCAUCCUACCCAAUUUUUUUUUAUAUAUACCAAUAUUGUUUAACAUCAAACACAGGGCGCAUGAAACAAAAUAUUCCAUAGUACAUAGAAUAUUUCCCUGUCCUUUUGCUUUCUUUCUUAUCAUUAGAAUGCAUGCAUCCUCCCCCCAACUUUUUCUAUAUAUAGUAUUGCUGUUUACCAUCAAACAUGUGCAUGAAUGUUUAGGUUUGUCUCUACUUAUUUGUCUUUCAACAUCAACGAUUAUAUAGAAUAUUCUCCAACUUGCUAUAUAUAGAAACUUACAACUUCUACUAGAAUUAUUAGGGCUCAUUUACUUUACGAAGGAGGGGUAAUUUCCUUUGGCUCUAUCUAUAGAUCCAGCCAGUUAUAUAUAUCCAUGUGUUUGUUCUAGAAUAAUUUGGGAUACAUAUCUUCUACUUUCGUAAGGUAAGGUAAAACUAUAUUGAUGUAUACUCUUAUAGAGUGUACUUCUUGAUAGUAUAAAAAUAUAAAAAAAAAGAAUAUUUCAAACUAAACAAAUAUGUUUUUUUGUAUGCUAGAACAAUAAACUUACAUAAAUCAAAAAAUAAAUGUGUAACUAAAUAAUUAUUUUUUUUUUCUCUUCUUGCUUGACUCGCUUAACUAAAAUUAAUUAAUUAGCAGUUAACAAAUUUUUUUGUUGCAUUUUCUGAAUUUAAUCUUCCUUUCAAUUUUACUGGCUUCAUAGGUGAAUUUUUAAAACAAUGUAAUAAUAUAACUAAUUAAUUACAGCCUUUUCGUCUCUGUAUGUUAGAUGCAUUCUAUUUUUCUUUACUCCCUUAAUUAAAAUAAAUUAGUAAUUGUUUACGAAAAUUACGUUUCCUCUAAAGUUUUUUGUUUUUGCUUUAUGUUUCUAUUUCGAUGGCUUGGUCUAAAACGAUAAGAAAAUGUCUUACUAUUUUUAUCAAGAUAUAUUUAACGUGGAAAAAAAAAGUCCAACACUUUAAUGUAUUUGGAAUUAGGAUUUUCAUGACUCUUUUCCUUUCUUUCCGAUCUCUAACUUUUUUGGAGGGUGUAUACAAAUAGGUUCUUAACUAGCUAAUUAAUUACAUUCUUUGAGCUUCUUCAUUUUAAUGAACUAAAUUAAAGAUCAAUUAUAACAAUUUCAUACUAAGUUUCUUUAACUUUCUGUGCUUUUUAUAUUUCGCCAAUUCCCUAUGGAAUGAUAACAGAAUUUGUAAGAAAGUAAAUAAAUGGUUUAUUUGUUUGAAGGAUAUGUUGGUACUUUUGGGUUCCUUAUGUUUUUAUUAACGGUGUACAUAUAGAUAGAUUUGUCUCAAUUCUUUACUUUUUGAUCGAAGAAGAUUGAGAAAUGCAUGCAAAGAUGUUAGGAAGCUUCUCUAGGGAAUAACAUUGGAGGGUCAGAAUUAAAAAUUUAAUGCAUUAAAUAUUCUAGGUUCAAAACACAUGUCUUAAUUUUUGUCAUAUCUAUAGAUAUAUAUAAUCCUGAGUUCUACUGUGUUUGUACGGCGAGCUCUCCGGGUUUUGCGGGGGCCUCGCGCGCGCGAGAGAGAAAGAGAGAGAAAGAGAGAAAUAUUAAUUAUUUUGCAUUUGGUCAUUCUAUGCCUUAACUUAACAGUGGCUUUCUCGUCUUCUUCAUUUCAUUCUUUAAAGUUUAAAGGACAAUGGCGGCCCUACCAGUAUCAUAUAAGCAAUUGUUUAUCAAGAUACUUGAGGUCCUUGGCCUUCCUCUUCGUAAUUACGGCGCAAUGUUCGGUUCUGACGGAUUGUAUGUGGGAUGUGUUGAAAUAAAAGUUGAAAAUCUUGAUAGAACUGAAGAGGUUUUUAAGUGGUUUGGUCAGAAAUAUAUUAAUGCUGAGUUAACAGAGUAAAAGGCCGCUCAUCAAGCAAUUAUAUGCUUGAAGAAAGCUCUUAAUUUUGAUGUUGCUGAUAUCAACUAUGAUGACUUAAUGGUUUAUAAAGCUUUAUACGAACAGUUAUAUGCCAACAACAACCAGCUCCAGUGUGACUACUAUUUCCUAAAGAAUGUUACAAUUAUGCUCUCAACGAGGUUGGACGCCUUCAAAAUGAGAAUACGUGGAUGAGGCAACAAGUCGACCACGUUGCAGAGUUGCUGUGCCCCACUACAAUUAACAAUCAUCAUCAUGGCAAUAUGCCAGACGAUGGGAGCUCGCGUGUUUAAGAUUACUGAUAAUCUUCGAAGUCUCAUAGCCUGUCUGUUUAAUAUUAUGUCAUGGUCUUUGUUGCUUUAUACACAGAUAAAGGUAAGUCCAAAGUAGGUACUUGGGGGGUUUGGGACUAGUACUAGGGUUCUCAAUUAUCGAUCUGGUUUAAAUUUGAGGUUCAUGUCUCAAACUUUGUGUUUCUUUAUAUACAUAUUUGGAAGCUCGGGUUUAAGUUUAGGAUAGAACAAAAAAUUUUAAUUAUGAGUUUGAUCCAAUUCCAUCUAGUUUUAAAAUUGUUUAAUAGAAGAAGGGCUCGUUUGGUAUUGAAAUCCAUCUAAUGCUAAUAUAUAAAAUAGAGUUAGAAAAAAAAAAAAGAAUACACUUCUAUAUUUUCUAAUGGGACCACAGAAAUUUAUCAUAUCUGAUUUAUUACGAUAUACAGAACACGAUAUUAUAUAUGGUAACCACUAUGGCAAUUCUAUCUCUCUGCAGUUCUAAAUAAAGCCUAACAUAUCUAUAGAGUUGGAGGAUUAGGGUUUUGUAGUUAGUUUUUCAAAUACUAACUAUAAAGUCCGUGGUUCGAGCCCCGCAUGAGCUUAAAUUUACAACAAUAUCUUUGGCUUCAAAUAAACUAUAUAUAAGUAAGGGUAUUGUGUUAGUAUAAUCACCCCCUAAACUUUUAGACUUUGUCAAAUACACUUUUAAAGUUUUAAUUUUGGUAACUAGACCCCCAACCCAUAUACUUCAACCCUUUCUACUUUCGUAAUUUGGAGUGAAAAAAAAUUUACUACUUAGCACGAGUUUUAAAGAAGUUAUUUUAAUGUAGAAGCGUGAAAGUGGUUGAAACAGAAAAAAAAAAAAAAGUUUAAUCAAAUAUAAGAGAAAGUUUUGAAUACUUAACUGAAAAUUUUAUUUCAUUAAUAUUUAAUUGAAAAAAACUUACUAACUAAACACAAAAAAAAGUUUGUAAAGCUUCAAAAUACAUUUUUUUUUUGUUUUCACGAAAAAAAAAAAGUAAAGCACAAGAAGUGAAGUAUAUGCUAAAUCCAUCUUUAUUUUUUAUUACUUUCUAAGUGUUUUGAAGCUUGAUAAGAUCACACGCAAAACAUUUUCCAGAAUGUGUGCUUAAUUAACAAGUUUUGGGAUCUAAUUGUUAAAAUUAAUUAGUAGUAUUUUGUCAAAUCUUCAAAGUUUAGGGGGUUGUUUGCAUUUUUUUUUUUUUUUUUUUUGCCCUUUUAGUAGAAAACAGAAGCCCUGUUUUUUUCUUAAACCCUACAAACCCUCGCCCGUCUCCUCCGAAACCCUAAUAAUCCAGAUCGGAAGGAGCCCCGAAACCCUUUACAUGGGGAUCUUCGAGCCGUAUAGGGCCCUCGGCUACAUCACCGGCCCCGUGCCCUUCUCCGUGCAGAGGCUCGGCACCGAGACCUUCGUCACCGUCAGCGUCGGAAAAGCUUUUCAGAUCUACGACGUGAGCCCUCUUUCCCCUUCUUUUGAUUCUCUUUGGGCGUUUUUCUAUGAGUUUUGUGGUAAAUAAUGCUUAUUUUUGGGCUGGGGAUAGUGUGACAAGCGUAAACCCUAGGUUUCUUUUUGUGGAAAGUAGAGAGGAGUUGAUUGCAGGGUCUAUUUAUAGAAUUUGGAUGUUUUGUGUGUAGUUAUGUUGUUAUUUUUCAUGUUUCUAGUCGUCUGUGAGGUGUGUGAUGUUAAUUGUGGUUGAGUAUCUGAGAAAGAUGGGAUUUUUAGACUUUUGAACAACUUAUAGAUUACAUGUUGUUCGGAGUUUUUCGUUUCAGAUGUUUUAGAAGUAUGUAUUAUGUUAAAAUCCUGGUAACAGAUUCUCUAUAAAGUAAAGGUAGAAGUGCCAAAUGGGAGCUUUUGGUUUUGGGCCUCAAAAUCUCAUUUUUGAUUCCCACUACAACAGAAGUGCUGGACUUUUCUGUUUGCGAAAUGCUUUGCUAUAGGUGUCUGCUGCUGAAAGUAGAAGCAGACCCAAACAGACACUAAAGCUACUAGGUAGCUAUGUUCUGUUUAGAGCAAUUUCAUUGUUGUGAAUAUAUUGUAUGCUUUGGACAAGAAAUUUGAUGGAAAUUUCAACAAGAGCCUCAGCCUGGUUUUACUGGUAUCUUUGUAAUUCAUGGUGACACCUAAAAUUUUGAGGUCUUAGUUUUUAAAGGAAUUGGGGGAAUGGUUGGGGGGAUGGAAGAGAUGGGUAUGACUUCUCCCAUAGUAGCAACCUUACUACAUAAAGUAGAGAUGGUACAUUUUGAAUAUAAUUACAGUAUUAGCACGAAAAACCAGUGCGACAUUAUUAAUGGUAUUUGUUUGUUGCACUUCUUGCUUCUCUGAAGGUUGCAAAGUGACCAAUUGCUAGAUACCAGUCCAAAUCUAUAGUUGAUUCAAGAAGAAAGCUAUCCAUGAGAUCCUGUCAAACGAAAUUCUUGUGUGGAAGAUUCAUCUGCCAUUUAGUUCAGAUCUGAACACGUUGAAAUUGGCAUUUGUCAGGGUGAAAUUUGCUUCCUGUUUGAUUUCGCUGUAGGAUUUGUUGCCCAAGGGGGCACACAAUUGUUGCUAUCAAAUCAAUGGAAAGAAAUAAUAUUGUGAUCUUAAUAGAAAUUAUAGAAUGGUGUGCCAACAAGUGUCUCAAUUCAAAAAUUCAGCCCCAAAUUGGAUGCUUCAGCAAUCAGCAUCAUUACAAAAUAUUGUAAUAGACUGUGGAUAUGUCAGGGGCUUUCAAGUCAAUGUAUCAUAGGAGAUUCCAAACAUGUUUUUCUAUGUCGUCCUUUUAUGUAUGUGGCUUGCAUAGAUAAAUUGUCGUUAUCUUUUUGUCUCUAUGCUCAUGCUAUAACCUUAAGGUACCGUUUGGUUCGGGUAUAAGCAAGAACUAGCUAUUACAGGGAUAGGUACAAGUAUGGGGAUAAGAAAAAUAGUGUUUGGAUGAAAAUUGGGUUGUUCCCGAGGAUAGGAACAAUUUUAGGUAGUUUUAUAUAGAAAAUGGAGGUGUUGGUGGGGAUAACCGAGAACUACUAUUCUCGGGUAAAAAAUUAGUGUUUAGGUAUAAAGGGGGGAUAAGGGCCUAUUCCUAUCCCUAUCCCCUAACCAAACGCUGCCUUUUUUUAAGAAUAUUAAUGCAUAUUCACUCUUGCUUUCAGUAAUUUGGGACUCAUUAGCUUUAUUUUUCUUGCAGUGUGCUAAGCUGACUUUGGUUCUUUCCGGUAAGGUUUAAUAUCUUGUUAGUAUUUAUUUUCAUCGAUUGCUUGGUCAUGCUUGAAACCUUGUUUUUUAUUUAUUUGAAAAUCUCUGUUCAAGUAGACUUGUUGUUUAUUCUUUCAGUUUUUUGACUGGCAACCUUGUUAAUUCUUUUUGUAUGUCAAAAUCUGUAAUGUAUUUCUUUCUAUUUUCUCUUUGGAGAAUAAAUCAAAUGUACAUCAAAUUAACCUGAUGAAGAAAUAAGAUAACAACAAGAAUCCAGGGAAUGAGAGAGUUCAUUUGCCAUAUUAUAAUUUAUCUUAGUUCUAAACAAAGUCUAUCUCGUUAACACAUGAAAAUCCUCUCUCCAUUUCAGUUUCUUUAGAUGUACUAACAUCUUCUAAGGGCUGGACUUAUAAUUGUUAUUAGCACUUUCUCUCUUCGGAUUGCUACAACAAUUUGGUGUAGGUUUUUAUUUUUUUUUUUCUUUUUGGGUAAUGCAACCUCCGUCAAAAGGCUCUUAAAUUUUCUUCUGGGUAAUCAUGUGCAAGCAUUUGAUUCAAUAGUAGCCCAUUAAUUUCAGCUAAAUUAUUCAGAACGAUAUAAGAUUUCAGCUUUUUAGUAAAGGCCUUCGUGUUCCCCUUCUUACGUAGGACAGAUUAUUAUAGUGAACUAGGAGGAAAGGUGAAAAGAAAUUUCCAUGUGAGUUUAAAUGAUUAAAUAAUGAUAUUACACAUGGUUUUAAACUAAUAUCAACUUCAUGAGUAUCUAGACUAAUUAGUUUGAGACAUGGAUGGACUGUGCCGCACUUGUGCUAGCUAUAGUGUUUAUUGGCUAUUCGUUGAUGUGUGUGUAUAUUAGGUACAUCCAUGCCGCUUAGCAGAAGUCAAGUUCUUUUUUUCUUUUUUCUUUUUAAUUUAAUGUUGAGCGAGCUUGCCAUGCUUCCAUUUAAUGGAGGAAUUCAUCCUUUAUGAAACAAAUAACUCAAAUUGUUUAUUAGCUUAAUUCUAAGAUACAGCCCAAAUAAUCAAUGAAAAAUAGUGAGUUCUGUAUGGUUAUGCCAUCCUUUUUUAUAAAAGGGAAGUUAGUAUUGAAGUUUGAUAAGCAGAACUAAAUAAGUUCUACUUUGAUAACAAAGAUUUUACUUUUUCCUUAGGCCUUUUCACUUAUGACAAGCAUCUCUGGACAUUGCGUAGCUAUAAAUUGAUUUAUCAAACUAACCAUGGUUGCAUGCUAUUAGUGCUUCCUUGCUGUUUCUCAGUUCUCUUUUAUUCUACUUAUAAUGUGUGUGAAAUAUUUCAAAAGGACCUCAACUGCCAAAAAAGAUCCGUGCUCUUGCAUCCUGCAAAGAUUAUACUUUUGCUGCGUACGGAAGCGAUAUUGGAGUGUUCAAACGUGCUCAGCAGGUUAACAAGAGGAAUAUUUUUUUGCAUUACUAUUUUAUGUUGUUUUGAAGUAAGAUGAGUAGUUCUGACUCUCCUUCCUGCUGCUUCUACCAAUGGGUGUUGAAGCCUUCAUAUUUGUUGUUUUUUCAUUUUUUUGGAGCUGGAAUGUUUUCUGGUGCUUGUAUACUAAAAUGACAUCUAAUAGAAGUUUUACCCAGGAUUCAUAGUUGUCUGAUGUACUUUAUGCACAACUUGUGGCUUUAUAAGGAUAUUAUUUCAGUUGAAGCCUGCUUGUAUGGUAUAUUGUACCCUUUUAUAGUUGGCUAUAUUUUUUGAGGAAGUUGCCAAUCCUAGAGCUGUUGCUAGUAUUUAAUUAUAGCUUCAGACCACUGCUAUAUUUAGCACUUUGGACAGAACUUGUUGCAUUAUGAUGCUUGUCUGAACAUCUAUUAGCACAGCAUAUUUCUUAACCUUUGGUUCUUAACUUCUCUUUUUUUUUUCUUUUUGAUAAUUGUUUCCUUAAUAUUUCAUGUUUUCAAUUAUUCUGUAUUCUCACAAUGUACACCGGGCAUGUUUUCAUUGCUGAACAUGAUCUGAUCUGUGUUUGUUAAGGCUUUUUAUCAACUAUUUCUUUUCCCUCCAUAACUUACUGUUGUUAUUCAACUUCCAAUCAGGUAGCCACAUGGAGCAAACACAAAGAAAAAGUCAAGUUAUUAUUCUUGUUUGGAGAACAUAUCUUGAGCCUAGAUAUUAGGGGUAACAUAUUUAUUUGGUCAUUUAAAGGAAGGGAGCCUAACCUUGAACCAGUUGGGCAUAUACUUUUAGAAGGCAAAUUCUCUCCAAGCUGCAUAACGCAUCCAGAUACUUAUCUAAAUAAGGUAGAUGCAGGGUCAUUUUUUAAUUCCCAGAGUUUAUACUGAGGCCUCAUCAAGACUUGAACUCUAUUCAUGAAUUCACAGUAUAUUACUCAGUUGGAAAUUCAGACUUAAAUUAAUUCUGAAUCAGGUCAUCAUUGGUAGUCAAGAAGGUCCACUGCAACUAUGGAAUGUCAGCACGAAGAAGAAACUUUACGAAUUUAAAGGCUGGAAUUCAUCUGUAUGUUGUUGUGUUGCAUCACCUGCAUUGGAUGUGGUUGCUGUUGGCUGUUCUGAUGGAACUAUCCAUGUACACAAUAUGCGGUAUGAUGAAGAGUUAGUUUCAUUUCCGCAUUCUGUUCGUGGUUCUGUGACUGCAUUGUCAUUUAGAACAGGUAAUACGCUCAUCUAGUGUUUUGUUGAAAGUAUCAAAUUAUUCUAUGCGGCACACCUUUGAAUUUGACCUAUACAGAAUGCUUCAUGUUUUGGUCUCGCUUCAACUGUGUUUAUUCAACUAUUGUGGAUAUUGUAGUUUCUUGGCGUAACAUACUAGUUUACGACAUUUUACGUUUCUGCAAAUUUGAAUCUUGGACUAGGAAUAUUCUCAGUGUGCUAUGCAGGAAUGUAUGAUUCACAACAAAUUUAGUGCAUGAUGUAAGAAAUCUUAAUGAUUACCUUGAUUUUAUGUGAAGUUUCUCUAAUGUGCAAACUAGGUUGAUUUCUUAAAUUUAGGGAAUGCAAAAGGUUGGUAUGUUAAGAUUUCAUUCUCUAUGUCAUUAUUACAAACAGUUCUCUUCCUUUUUAUCUGUACAACCAGAUGGACAACCACUUCUAGCUUCUGGAGGUUCAUCAGGUCUGAUUAGCAUAUGGAAUCUUGAGAAGAAAAGGCUUCAGUCUGUCAUUAGGGAAGCUCAUGAUGCCUCAAUAGUGUCACUGCAUUUUUUUGCCAAUGAGCCUGUUCUUAUGAGCUCUGCAGCAGAUAAUUCAAUAAAAGUAAGGGCUCACCUUUAAUACUUUUGCCAUAUAUAAAUGAUUCCAUUCUAUGAAUGAUUUCAAGAGUGAUACUACUAGAAAGUGGAAACAUAUUGAAGUUUGGUUUUUAGCCUCACCCUAUGCAAAUUUUUGCGAGUUGCUGAGUGUUCACAGUGCUAUAAGUUAGAUUGGGAUACUCAAAUAUGCUUUUCUGUCAACUUGUGUAGAUUUCUUGGCUGCUUUCUAGAUCAGCUGAAAUAAUAUUUUGUUGACAAGUAUAUAUUAAUAUAAAAAAUUAAGUGUUGCUUAUUUUAUAUUAUAGUCACGACUUCUAUUACUACAACAAUGACUUUCUGGGUUUAAGUUGCAUUUAAUUUAGUAGCAUCUCAACCUUAAUUUAAUCUGAGUUGGCACUGACACUUCCUUUAAACAGUCUUGCUUAAUCUGCAUAAUCUACUUGUUUCUCUGUUCCAGAUGUGGAUUUUUGAUAACAAUGAUGGAGAUGCUCGCCUUUUACGUUUUCGAAGUGGCCAUAGUGCUCCACCUCUUUGUGUGAGGUAAAGAGUCCCAUCACUUUCUUUUUGCAAGCGUUUCUAGUCAACAUCCACUCAUCUUGGAUUUACUUUUUCAGAGAUAGUUUUUGAUUGAAAUUACUUUUUACAAUGGUUGGUGCAUUGUGCUGCAAAUCUAUUUCGACAAGUUGGUACUCUUGUGAGCUUCUCUAGUGUUAGUGCUUGUGGAGUUAUCAACAAUUUGUUACAGAGUUUGAUUCUUUAUUUUCAAAAUUCAUGACUUGAGGGUGAAUAUAUUGGAUCAGAACUUGCUACAGUGUUAUAUUAUAGGUCGGUACUGCCAGGUUGCUUGGCAUUAAACUACCCAGAUGGUAAAAUUUACCCAGUAGUUGGAUAAAUUUCUGCAUUCUUGUUGAAUGAUAAAGCUUUAUUAUUCAUAAUGGUUCGAUUAUAGGUUCUAUGGAAAUGGAAGAUUCCUCUUAUCUGCCGGGCAAGACCGUGCCUUCCGUCUCUUCUCUGUCAUCCAGGUAUUAUACACUUGUUCUCUUUAAUAUUAUUCUUCUUUUCUACUAACAUAACCUUAAUAGGACAAGACCCUCUUCUAAAGGAACUAAUAUCAUGUGUUCUGGGAUGCAUUGGUUUGAGCUUCUCCAAAAAUAUUUGUACGAAACCAAUUUACAUGUUUCAAAUGCUAAACUAUCCAAGUUGACUUCACUUUGUUUUUUUGUAGUUUGUUGACAAUAAUUGAAUUUGUCUAGUAAUGAAAUGUAGGUUGCAAUAGUUAUUCCAGAUAUAAGACACUAGAACUUCUGCUGAAAGAAUUGUAUGCUCGUCUGUUUAUGAAUUGUUGUCCCAAUCAGCUUAAUCCGAAUGGUAGGGAUUCUUUGGGAUUUUGCUUAAAGUAUUUGGAAUAUUCCAAGUGCAUAUGCAUAUGCCUUGUUUUAACUAGAAUGUGCUUAGAUCAUAAAAACAAAUAUUAAUGCCUAAAAGCUACUAAAUAUCAGAAUUGUUGUGCAGGACCAACAAAGCAGAGAGUUGUCUCAGCGCCAUGUGGCUAAAAGAGCUAAGAAACUUGGAAAGAAGGUAAUAUGGAGUAAUCUGCAUUCUCUCUUUUUUCUCUCUUUUUUUUUUUUCUCCCUUUGCUUGGGUAUCAUGGGAAAAACAAAUUUCAAUGAUCGGUUUCUCCUUUUGUCUUUGGUUCGCAGGAAGAAGAGAUCAAGCUAAGGCCUGUCAUUGCUUUUGAUUUUGGUAUGUAUUUUUGCUUCAAUUAAUAUCUCUCAAUGUCAUGCAUUUCCAUGAUGUUUCGGUAACCAGUGUACCUGCUUUCACUCAAAGAUAAGUCUCGUAUUUGAACAAUCAUGUGCGAGUAAUUGUGAUAUAAGAUCUCAUAAACAUGCUUUUCAGCUGCUGAAUUAUAUCUUUUUUUGUAUGCAUAAGAAGCUAGAGUAUCUAAAAAAUGAGUCCGGCUACUAUACUCUUAUGAGUUCGAUCGCCUUCGUACUCAUAAGUUGUUUUCGAUGAUAGAGCUUCCGAAUCGACGAUACAUACCGUUAAAUAUUAUCUAGAGCAUUUAAAACUUUUAGAAAUCAAAUUUUAUAAUUUUUCGAUAUUAUUUACCUUACGAUCAAAAGCUCACAAAAAUGACAAUUUUUAACGGCCGGUAUGAGAUAUUUGCUAAUUUAACGGUGAAAAAGAAUCGGAAUAGGUUGACUUUUUGAUAGAAAAUUCUAUUCACUACCUAAAUAAAGAUCAAUAACUCCGAUCUUAAGUUGAAGGAUCUGAUCAUCCAUUUUUAGGAUGUCGUUCAAUUUUAACCGUUCAUUUUAUACCCGCUUGAUGGACUUUAUAAUGAUUUCGAAAAAUUACGAAAUUUAUUUUCUAGAAGUUUCAAAUACUCUAGAUCAUAUUUAAUGGUGUGGAUCGUCGAUUCGAAAAUCCCAACAUUGAAAACAACUUAUGAGUACGAAGGGCUCUAUACUCAUAAGAGUAUAGUAGCCCUACUCCUAAAAUACAAAGAUUUAAAAUUGCUCUACAUGGCUGUAUUUUGCCAUAAACACAGCUAGUUUUGUGAAACCUAUUUGUCGACUUUCCUGUCUGCCGGAUAGUGGUCAUUUUAUUAUUUCCAGCUGCCUUGUUUUCUGCAUAAUACUUUAUUAUGAUUCCAUUAUAGUUGUUAUGCUGUAGUGUAGUUGCUGGGAAUUGGAUGCAGCUGUAUUAUCAGUUAGUUUUGCUAAUUUUACAACUAUGAGAUUAUAGCUAUAUGAAACAGAAGUAGAAGAACGAAUCGAUGCUCGUAAAAAUGCCAGAACUUGUUUAUAAAUUGAAGUGUCUCCAUUUAAGAACCAAGCAGAUUUUUGCUUCUAGGUUAAAUUUAUACAUCAGUUGAUAGAUUACAAGAAGUUGUUGAAAAGCAAAAAUUCAGAAUGGAUGGAAGGUGGAAAAGUUUCUCCAAAUGCGUUUAGUUAUAAUCUAAUGUUACUUUGUCAGUCUCUCUUAUUCUUGCUGGCGAUAUAUUAUGUAUUCAUCUUUCUGAUAGUUCUUUUGCAAAUGCAUUCUCUUAAUUAUAGAUAUUGUGGUUAGUGAAAUAUUUUCAACUAUUAUGCUUGUCUGUUACUUGAGACUAAAAUAAUGAUUGUAGCUGAGAUACGUGAGCGUGAUUGGUGCAAUGUUGUGACGUGUCACAUGGAUACUCCACGGGCAUACGUAUGGCGGCUUCAGAACUUUGUUCUUGGUGAGCAUAUUCUGACACCAUCUGCAGACAUUGAAUCACCUGUUAAGGUACACCAGUCCUUUAACUUUGUUGGUUUUAUUGUUUUGAUUUCAAAACAACAAAGAUAACAGUUUUCUCUGGUCCUAAAACUUGGUGGAGAAAAUAUUGUCAUUUUAUUCAAAACUCUCUAAUGAUAUGGAUUAAAUGGUUCCGUCAAAUUUAUCGCCUGUAUUUUAUGUUGUGCGGCAGACUUGUACAAUAAGUGCAUGUGGUAAUUUUGCUGUCUUGGGAACUGAGGGUGGUUGGAUUGAAAGAUUUAACCUGCAAUCGGGAAUCAGCCGAGGCAGCUACAUUGAUACUCUUGAACCUAGACAAUGUGCACAUGAUGGAGAAGUAGUCGGAAUUGCUUGUGAUGCUACAAACAGUUCAUUAAUAAGUGCAGGGUAUCAUGGUGAUAUCAAGGUCCCUUUUUUUUUUUCUAAAUAUGCAGCUCAGUUUUUUCUGUUUAAACUCUCCUUUUGUAACAUCAAACAUAGAAAUGAUUUUGGAGCGAAUCUGUUAGAAUGUAAAAAGAUAUUCAGAUUUUGUUAUAUUAUAUAUUUUUUGAGAGAGAAAGGUAGUAAGCUCUCCACUUUGUUCAUUUUUUGGAAAUGAGCUUAGCUAGAAAUGUAGAGCAACUAGGCUUCGAGCUUAAGAACUCGUGUACCAACCAUCGUGCCCUUAGCAAACUGCGCUAGAUACAAUCUAUAAUUUUGGUAUUAUUAAUUUAUAGAAUAGGACAUCACGAGUACAUCACGAGUACAUCAUGAUAAUAAGAGUGCAUCCGCGCUUAAAGUAAUAUAUGUAGUUUGACAUAAUACGUACAUCAUGAUAAUAGGAGUGCAUCCACGUUCAAACUAUUGUAUGUGCACAAUGUACAGACUCGUACUAGAUUGCUGAUAUAUUUCUCUUGGUUAGCAUUGUAUUCAAUUCUCCGCAAAGAACCUUUUCAGAGUCUUUAAUGCGGUUGAAUUUGGCAUGACACAAAGAGCAAUUUUAAUGCUUAGUUAAUUCAUAACAAGGACUAUUUAACUGUGAAUUGUUAUCUAUUCUCCACAUGAAAAUGUGCACUUCUUUGUUUUUCUGAUCUCUGAAGUGCCAUCCAUGAUCAUGCAUAUUAUUCAAGCUACAAUAAAUAACUUAUUAUCUGUUUCAGGUGUGGGAUUUCAAAAGUCGUGGACUAACAGCUCGACAGGAAGUUGGACGUUCUCUUGUGAAGUUUGUAUAUCACAGAGUAAAUGGUAUGGUCCAAUCUCCAAUAUCUUCAUUCUAUCCAGAAGAGAAUAUAAUUGAUUAAUCUCAUUAUUUUGUUUUCAGGACUUCUUGCAACUGUGGCAGAUGACAUGGUUCUUCGCCUGUUUGAUGUUGUGGCACUGCGAAUGGUUCGUAACUUUGAGGGUCAUACGGAUCGAGUUACCGAUUUGUGCUUUAGUGAGGAUGGAAAGUGGCUUUUGUCUUCUGGUAUGGAUGGAACUCUCAGAAUAUGGGAUAUCAUAUUGGCCAGACAGAUAGAUGCAAUAUGCGUCGAUGCGUCCAUAACUGCACUAUCUCUGUCACCUUCUAUGGAUGUAUUGGCAACUACUCAUGUUGAUCAGAAUGGUGUCUAUCUUUGGUGAGCUUACAUUUCAUUUAUUUGCUGAUUGCAUCAGUUUUAGCUAGCAUGCACGUUCUGUAACUGAAAACAGAAGUUUAAGACUCAUUCAUGUAAUAUUAUGUCAAGAACAGGCACUGUAGACAACUUAUAUAGGUCCAAAAGAUUUGUAUUAUAGACUAAUAAAAGGAGAUCUAAAAUUGCUUUUUCUUUUUCGCAUUGUAAGUCCACUUCUCCUUUUUUUUUUUUUUUUUUUUUUUUUUUUCUUUUUGAUUAGCAAUAAUAGGAUACUUUAUUGGUUUUUCAUGCUUCUUUAUUUGAACUAUCUUACUUUGGUUAGGAUUACAAGCUAUAAUGAUUUCUAUUUGUGCUUUUCUUUUGCUGUGUAGACUCAGAACUUUCGUCUUUUGAAUUUUCAGGGUUAAUCAGGCUAUGUUCUCGGGGUCCACCAAUAUAGAUAAUUAUGCAAGUGGGAAGCAUGUACGAAAUGUUCAAAUGCCAUCUGUCUCUGCGAAAGAAGGAUCCGAAGAAGAAUCAAUUCAAGCUUCAGGCAACCAGUCCCAAAUGAAAAAUUCUUCGUUUGCACAUAUUGAUCACCAAAUACCUAAUCUAAUCACACUCUCCUUGCUUCCGAGGAGCCAGUGGCAACAUUUGACUAAUUUAGACAUUAUAAAGGUUAGUUUGGCUAUUUAAGUCAAUAUAUAGGCUCUUUCACAUGGAUAUGAGUUAAAUAUAAUUCUAUUUCAAAUUAUGCAUGUAUUACUUUUGAUUUAUUAUGCUAUUUCAUGUCUUAUUACGUGGCUUUAUUUGUCCUUGUCUCAUCUACUGUAAUUUCUACUUCCGGUGCAUUCAGGUUCGUAACAAGCCAGUUGAGCCACCGAAAAAGCCGGAAAAGGCACCCUUUUUCUUGCCCUCUACUCCGUCUCUUUCCGGAGAAAUAGUAUUUAAACCUAAUUCUGAUGCCAAUAGUGAAGAAAAAGAUCGAAAAAAUAUUGGCCUGAAGCAUCAUAACAAAACUGCUGAUAUAACCUCGCGAUUCAUUCUGCUGUUACAGUCCUGUGGAGAUACAAAAAACUGUAAGCAUUUCGAGUGACCUAUUUGCAAUUAUACUAUUAUUAUGUAAUAUAUAGGAGAAUCAUGUAAAACAAGUAAUAGGCUUAUUGUUUCUUCCGCCAUCUUUGUUAAAUAAAAUUUCAAAGCCACCCAUCAUCAUCAUCUUUUUCUCAUCUAUUUUGAUUAAACCUUUUGUUUUAUUUCUCAAGGUUUACUUGCUGAUUUCAGAAUUUACACUCUUGAGCUGCAGUUUCAGAGUUUACGGAGUACAUUAAAAGUUUAUCUCCCUCAUCUCUGGAUAUGGAACUGCGAUUGCUCCAGAUAGUAGAUGACGGCAAUCUAGAAAAUCUGGACCAGCGGCCUGAAUUAGGUUCUAUCGCACUUCUGUUGGAUUAUUUCAUUCAUGAGCUUUCCGCCAGGAAUAACUUCGAGUUUAUUCAAGCUGUUAUUAGGUUGUUUCUUAAGGUAUGUAUUGGUUAUUUAGUGUUUCAUUGCUUUUUUACGCGUGCUUUUAAUUAAGCCUUAAGAUGUGAACUGUAAAGAUUAAUGUUAUUUCAUCAAAUGAAGCUUAUUUUGGCCUUGUGAAGUACGGCAAAGUAAUUUAUGUUCGCAGCUACACUUAAGUGGUUCUUUCCAGGGUAAGCGAAUCUCAGAAAUUGAACAUGGAAAAUUAGCCUUGUUUGGCCUCUAAAUUACUUAAAUUGGAACCGUAACACCUGUUGCUUGAGAAUCUUCUGUAACUUCUUUUUUCUGUUUUAUGUUAUAGGAAAAGUAUGAUUUUAAUGCAUUGUUUUUUUAUACUAUUAUUUAGGUGUAAGAAAAUUAUUGGCUUCCUACUAACAUAAACUCUACCGAAUCUUGGAAACAGAUACACGGUGAAACUGUGCGGCACCAUUCAAUUUUACAGGCGAAGGCGAAGAAGCUUCUAGAAGUUCAAAGCUCGGUUUGGCAACGGAUAGACAAAAUGUUUCAAAGUGCAAGAUGCAUGGCCACAUUUCUUAGCAAUUCACAGUUCUAGCAAAGGGUUCCUUCUCUGAUUGCAUACACAAGGGUAGUUUCUCCUUGCAGUUAAUUUCAUGCCAAGCCUAUGCUUUGCUGCCUUAGGUAUUUGAUGCUCAUUUUAGAGUGUUUUUUUUUUCCAAACAAAAUUUCAAGACAUGACAGAAUUACAAUAUAAUCCAGGAAAAAGUUGGCAUUGCCUCCUAGCUUUUCUAGUAAAUUUAGAUUCCUGCUUUUAUUUCAUAUAUUGUUGGUUGAAAAUGAAAGUGUAUUGAGUUCUUAGCAGCAAGUGUGACCAAAGAGUGGGUAGCACUCCAAUUUAACUUGAGUUAUAGCCUUCAUUACACUAGAUGCAAGUCAAUCUCAUAAAAGAAGCCCCUUACUAAUUCAAUCUAUGCUGCCUUGUUAUCUAAAACCCUUCUGUCAAUUAUAUUAUUUAUUCCUAACAUAGAUAAUUAAGUUUUCAUGCAUCAAUUGUUGGAGAGAAUUGGAAAAUAAUGAAUGAUAUGCAUUUAGUUUGACAGGGAACUUACCCAAGACAAAGUUGACGUUAAAAAAAAAAAUGGAGUCACAUACCUGAUCCACAUAAUUGGCUAAAGAUUUGUUUCUUCUGCCGAUGAUAUAUACAACGUGAACAUAUGUUAUAUCUCGCAAAGUGUAAAGGUGCGAACAUGUUAGUGAUGUGACAAUAAUAGAUAAGGUAUUUCAAGAGUACUAGUUGAAACAUGUAUUCUCGACAAUUGAGAAUUUUCAAGAUUGGAGCUAAUGAAAGUUUCAAGAGAAUCACCUCAUUGAUUAAAUCUGGUUCCUGGAUAAUGAGAAUAUAAGUUAUACUUCACAAUAACUUAAAGUUGAAUUCCUACCCUAAAAUCAUUAGUUUUCUGACAGCUGUACUGACUUUCUUGUUACUUGUCAUCUUAUACUUUUGGUCUUUCACCUUUUUGGCCUUUUUUUUUUUUAAAUUUUAAAUCUUUGCUAACAAUUGAGUAUCUCACUAAACUUUGCAGCUAAUUAGGAGGUACAAUCUCUAUUUCCAGCUACAGCUCCGUAUUGCUUCUGCGCUUCCCUUUAUCUAAAGAGAGACUCGCAGCUCAUCAGCACUUCUUGAUAGCUUCUUCUUUUUGUCAACUGAGAUCCGCUUCGGAGAUUUACAGUGAACUGAACUUCAUCUGCCCAGAAACCAUUCAUAGUCUCGACGGCGAUAGAGACGAAGAUCUCUACAGACAUGUUGAGGAGUCGUCGAACAACACAAACCAUGCAAAAUUUUGGGCGCCAAUCGCGUAUUUUGUAGGUAUUACCAGUAUCUAUUGCUGCGUGGUGAAAAUCUCACCAUGAAUCGAAUUUCCGAUCUUGAUUAAUGUAUAAUUUCUUGAUAUCUAAACAAGUAUGUUGCGGCGUGAAAUUUUGUUAGAAGUUGUAUUUAUGGUCAUUAUAUUUGUAAUCUAAUUAUAAUGGCAAAAUUUCUGAGUUAUGUAUCAAAUUUUCAUGUUAAAUCGAGAGAGUUGAAUAUAUUCCAAGGUCUUAAAUAUUCAGAGAGAAAGAUUUCGUUCUUACUUAUCUUAUCACUCUGGGGGGUGUUUGGUUUGCUGGAAAUCAUUCGAGAAAGCAGGUUUCAGUUGGAAAAGUAUUUUUCGUCCGUUUGGUUUGUGAAAAAAACAUAGUUUUACAGAAAAAGGUUUUUGAUGUAGAAUUUUAUUUUUCGGUAAAAAUGAAUGUAACUUAUCGGGACUAAGGAUCAUGGACUAUUUUCAAUCAUCUAUCUAAUUUUUUAGAAUUUUGAUUUUACUAUCUAAUUUUUUAAUUUGUUCGUGAUAUUAAAAGUAAAGCAAAUUUUUGAGUCAGUAUUUUUCUCUUUCAAUGUUGGUACUAAGCUAAGCAUGAUGAUCGAAGAAUAUUUUGAAUCGAACGUCAUUUUUUAGCGCCUACUUUACAUUACAAAAUACAAAAAAUAAAUUUUUGGUGUUUUGAAGUUUUAUAAAACUAUAUGGAAUACAUACGAUUAAAAUAAUUAUACAUUGUAUAAUUAAUAAAUUUAAUCGAAGAGAAUGGUCUAUUGCACUACUUGAUAAAAUUUAAAGAGUUUUAUUGCCCAAAUUAAAAGUUCAGGCACUUAUCUACAAAAGAUUUGAAGUUCAGGGGUCUUUGUACAUUUUUUUUGGCUUUAUCCUUUUGUUAGAAAAAAAAGAAAAAAAUGUAUAGAAAUUAUCUGAACUAUAAACCAUUUUGAUUUAGUUAUUCAACUUUUCAAAAUUUAAAUUUUACUAUCCAAUAUUUUAAUUUGUUUUAUUUAAGUCAAAGGCAGCUGGACUUCAAAAUUUGAAUGCGUCAUUUAUAUCUAUAAAUUUAGUUUGCAUACUUUAUCUUGUAACUAUAAAUUUAUUAAAAUAAGCUAUUUGCAUAAACUUUAAAGUUUAUAUAUAUAUAGAGAGAGAGAGUAGAAUAAUCCAAAUUAUAUGAAAAUUUAAUAAAAAAUUAUAUUUAAUAUUAAUAGUAAGUUCAAUAUUUCUGAUUUGAAAUUUAAGUCUUUUAUCACUAAUUUUUAUAAAAUUUUUAUUUUCAAUCAUUCAUUUUUAGAUUACUCGUUUGCUAGACAAAUAAAGUUAAUAAAUUAUAAAAUUUGGCAUCUAAAUAGUUUCAAUAGCGUAAAUUAUAUUUAACGAAACCGAUCGCCAAGUUAGAUGUCCAUUAUUGAAAACAAUUUACCAGUACGGAAGACCUCCGUAAUUUCAAAAGCAUAGGAGCCUAGCGCGCGCGCGCUCUCUCUCUCUCUCUGCAUAUAUAUAUAUAUAUAUAUAUAUAUAUAUAUAUAUAUAUAUAGAGCUAGGCUACUAUACUAUCUAUAGUACCGAGCUCCGGUACUAUAGUGUUGAUUUUCGAUCUUAGGGCGUUCAAAUCAACGAUCCACACCAUUAAAACUGAUCUAGGGUAUUUAAAGUUUAUAGAAAUAAAAUUUCAUAUUUUUUCGACAUAGUUUACUUUAUGAUCAAACUAUUUCAAAAUUGUCAAUUUUCAAUGGCUAUUAUGACGAGUUUGGAGUUUAACGGUGUAGAAGAAUCUAAAUUUCUUCAAAUUUUGAUAGAAAAUACUUUAAACUAUAUAGAUUAAGGUUAACAUUCUUGAUCUUGAAUUUAAAAGUCCUAUACUCAAAUUUUAAAGAUUAUUCAAUUUUCACCGUCCAUUUUGAUAUAAUUUAUUUAUUAAGUAAACGAUAUCGAAAAAAACUAAAAUUUUAUUCCUAAGAAAUUCAUAUAUCCUAGAUCAUAUUUAACGGUGUGGUUUGUUGAUUUGAAUGCCCAAAGAUCGAAAACAAACACUAUAGUACCGGAGCUCGGUACUAUAGAUAGUAUAGUAGCCUAAUUCUAUAUAUAUAUAUAUAUAUAUAUCGUUCACUGAUUGAAAUCAAAUAAAUUAAUAAGGUUGGAUGGUAAAAUCAAAAGUCGUAAAUGAUUUACCGCUUUCAGAAAGCGAUUAAUCAAUCAUCGCUUUUGCCAAGCUUAUAUUUUUUUACAUCUAAAUUUCUAAAAAUGUAUAACAUUAAAUAGUAAAAAUAAUUUUAACGUUUUGAAAAAAUAGUAAAUAAUUUAUCAAAUUUAAAAAACGAUAAAUCAUUUAGACUGGUUUUAUAAAUAAAUUUUUUAAAGGACUAUUUUGACAAUUAUAAUGUAUUUUAGGGGAAAUUCUUAUAAAAGUUUUAAAUUUUCUUAUUUAUCCACUUAGAAGGAUAAUAUAUAUAAAAAAACCUUUUUAUAAAUACUUUCAAAUAUAUCAAUAGAGAUAAAUUCUGUAACUAGUAAAUUGUUAUGAACAAUCGAUAUCGAUGUAAAAUUAUUAUUUUGCUCUUUCAAAUAUAUAUUUUUUUAUCGCCACUAAUUUUUUUUAUUUGCUUUUAAAUUAAGAGAAAAAAAAUAUUUUGAUUUGUGUGUCGCCGCUAUCAAUAGAGUUGAAUGAUUCACUGUCUUAUCUGUGUUUAAUUUCAAGACUUAAACAAAUUUUAAUAAAUUUAGAGUAUUUCGCACUAAAGGCGGUAGCAUAUAUAUUAUGAAGGCGGUGAAUCAAGUGAAUGAUUCACCGCCUUUAUUAUAUAUAUGUGAAGGCGGUGAAUGAUUCACCGUAUUUAUAGCAAAAAUCUGAUUGGCGCCUACGUAGCGAAAGGAGGUUAUUUUUCCAAAUAAACUUUUGACAGGGUUAUUUCCUCAAUUUUAAAAUUUUUGAGGGGCAUUUUAUAAAAAAGCCCGAGGAGGAUGCGGAGGUGAUCGAACUCCUCUCCUCUCCCUCUCGCCUCCUCGAUGGGAUUCGCGAGACCCUUCGUCUCCCUCCUCCUCUUCCUCCUCGUCCUCUCCCCCUCCAAUCCCUUCCUCAUCGUCGCCGUUUCCGCCGAUCAGAUCUUCACAUCGUCUUCGGGUAAUCCCCCUUUUCCCACCUGUUUUUUCCGCCCCCUUUUUUCGUGCGUUUUUUCGUAAUUUCUGAAUGAUUAUCUCCAAUUUGAUCUCAAUUUGUGCCGUAGAAUGUUGUAUCUGUUGAAAAUAUGAUCUGGGUUUUGUUCAAGCUCGGAUUUUUUUAAGAUUUUGGGCUUGCGAUUUAAUGCUCAAUAAAUGGUGGCUUAGGUAUCUGAAGUUUGGAUUUUUACUACGCUGUGCGCAUGUGAACACCAAUUUGCAAUUUGGUAUUCGUCCAAAAAUAUUGAUGUUGAAAUGGAACAAAUAUUUUAUUGGAUGUUUGUGAUGGAAGUGUUUUAUGUAGCUAUUGUUAUAUUGCCUCAAAUAAGUUGAGAAUUAUUACUUGCUUGCUCUGAAGUAGCCGAUCUUAUGUGUUUAUUUACUAAUAAUAGCAUUGCAUUCAUGGGUGUAGAUUAUUGGUUUCUUGUAUAUUUAUCUUAAUUUAGAGAGCGAACUCAAUUGUGCAAAAUGUUGGGGAAGGCCAUGUUUAUGUCUCUGUGGGAAUUGAACCUUUUGGCUAUAUUCUGUGUUUUUCUCUUUUGUCCUAGUAAUUUUUCUUAAUUUUGACUCUCAGGUGUGGCAUUUGGGCGGAGUUCUCGUGAACCAAAAUAUGAUAUAGAAUUUCAUUCGACAGAUUCACCCUUUCAUCCCGUAAGUGGAUUUAUUCUUUUCAUUGUUUUCUCUUAUUCGUUUUGUAUUUAAAUCUUCGCUUGCAAAUAGGCUACUAUUCUUAUAAGAUCUUGACACAUCUUCGCUAUCAGAGAUCACAUUUAUCAAAUCAAUCGCAAGUACUACUUAAACUCUCAAAUGCUCUGGUCUCAUUUUGAUAUCCUGCAGGUGGAGAUUAGGACGAAGAGGAAAUAAAUAGGGAAAAGACAUACGAAGUGAAGACCUACGAAUUCAAAUCUAUAUUCUAUUUACUAAAUCAUGCCUUACAAUUCCGAGCUUUGAUGAACCAUUUACCCUUUUCAUUUACUAAAUCAUGCUAUACCUUUUCUAACAGCCUAAUUUCUUUUCACACCUCUAUUCCACAAUCAAUCACAUAGUAAGAACUAAUCCGUUAGGCAAGUGGAGAUGAACGUCAUGCAAAUUUCAUUUGUUUUGGGCGAUUGGAAAAGAGAAGAAAGAGACUUAACAUUUUGAUUUUCUGUUUGUAAUUUUGUUUGAAAGCGAGCCUAUUGAUCAAUGCUUGAAAGAAAAUGUAUUAACUGGCCUCAGUGUUGUCGAUCGAACAACAUAGUAAGUUUAAACACUAUCCAGUAUGCUUUAAUCGAGCUGAUUUACAGCCUAGUUGACACACUUAAUAAUGUUUGAGAUGAGCAAGAAAAUUGAUUUUGAAGUGCCAUUGAAAAGUAGGAUAUAGAUCGCAUUAAAAAUCUCAUGUAUUUGUCAGAAAUCUCCACCCUAUUUGAGAGCAUCAUUCCUUCUUUCUGGUAAACACUCCGAAGGUUGCUUAUUUAUUUGGGAGUACAUAUUUUUAUAUGUAUUCAACAAGAUGGUCUCUGUCAAUUUACUGACCAUUAUACAUUUAUACUGUUAGGAGUUACGGUAAUUUUUCUUUUGGAAGCUGUAAAACCAUAUUACUGGAACAGUUUUUCCCUCUGCCCAACCUUGCCAGUUUUGUGAUUCUAGUUACUGAGCUUAUAGUUUUCCGCCUUUAUGCCUAGUUUAAUAGUGUACUUGAUUUAAGUGUAUGUUAUAAUUUUGAGUUGCUAGCAUGACAAUAGAAAUUGCAGGAGAAUGGCCAGGAAUCCGUGGUAAUGACUAAUAAAGAGGGCCAAAAUUACAUGUGUUUCUUACCAAAGGAAGAGGAAACCAAAACGGUAAGGUCUAUUAUCCAACAGAAUUCAAGCAAUGUUAUUGUAGAAAGUGACCGAAGGAUCAAGUUGAAGACACCAGAUGAAUUGCUUGAUGUUCUGAAGGAUCAAUGCUUCUAUAGAGUAAGAGGGUUUCAUUUCUUUUUCGUUUUCUUCUUCUUUGUGGCAGUUUCUUGUAACUGCUUUUUUCUUUUUGUCUGUCAUGUAGCACGAAGGUUGGUGGUCUUAUGAAUUCUGUUAUCACCGAAAAAUAAGGCAAAUUCAUUUGGAGGAUAAUGAGGUCAGUUACUUCCUCUUUUUGCCGUUAUUGUUGUGUUGAUAGAUUUGUCGUUUUUGUCAUGAUUUCACACAAAAAGAUUUAGUAUAAAUCAACUCCUUGAUUUGGUAGGCAGAGGAUGGCUAGAGAAAAAAAAAAAAAGGUUGGUGGUAGGUUUUGAUAGCAUUGUUGGAUUCUUGUUGAGUUCGUCCCAAUCGUCCUUCUCUAGAUGCUUAAGUGGUCAUUUGGUCUAGUAGGAGCUUCUGAAAAAAUGCUAUUUGAGUAGAGUUAUUCUUUGGUUUAGUUUGGAAAUGCAUUCUCUAAAAGCAACCAUCUUGAGGCUAUAAAGCCGACAAAACAAAUCCGAAUGUGCUUUGAAGCUCCACUCCUCCGAUGCUAAACAAUGGCGGUAGGACCUGAAGAGUGGAGCCCAAAGUUCUAUAGUUAUUCAAUCCAUAAUAUGCUAUCGAUCAGGUGCGGUCUGUACAUUUUUGCCUUAUUGUAUUGCGACUUAACAAUUCCCAGACCCAUUCUAUGCUAGUGAUAUUUGUAAGUUCCACCGUGUUUUCUUUCCAAUUCUAUGCCCUCUGCCUUAUUAGCUACAGAUCGUAUAGCCAAUGAUUAUGUUGUCAUUACAUCAUAUUUGGAUACUUUUUGAUACUUUCAGUAAUUUUUAUUCUAUUUUUCUCUGCUAUCAUCAGCUAUCUAUUACACGCGAUUACCCAAUACCUAACUUAAAUAAUUUGAAAAUCUGUUACUGUUGAAGGUUGUUCAAGAAUUCGUGUUGGGCGAAUUCGACCCUGAUGGAACAGCUGCUCACAACCAGAAAGAUUCUGAUGCCUUUAUGCUUAAAGAUCCUCGCUCCAGAGAUGCCUCUCAAAGGUAGAAACAUCCCCUUAAAAAACAACCGAAGUAUGUAAAGAUCACGUGUUUCUUUUAAAAUCAAUUAGAGCAAUCAUGCUGAAAAAAAUAAAACUGAUUUUGGCAGGUAUCAUGCACAUCAGUAUACAAAUGGAACCACUUGUGACCUCACAGAUCAACCUAGGGAAACUGAGGUAGAAGAAUUACUAACUGUACCACUCGUUGUGUAGUUCUUAUGCGUGAUUUCUUAUGUAUCUUCUCUUUCCUACAGGUUAGAUUUGUUUGCGCGGAAUCCCCUGUAAUAAUUAGUUCAAUUAAGGAGAUUUCUUCUUGCAAAUAUGUCGUCACAGUGCAAAGCCCGAUGCUCUGCAAGCACCCGUAAGUCCUAAAUUGAUCAGUUCAGAAUUUCGUAAAGUCCUUGUGAUGAUACCGUGGAAACUUAACUUCUUCGCUAUCAAUCCAUUACUGUAAAUUACGAUGCACGUGACAAUUUUGGAUUAUACAUCAAGUAGGCUUUUUUUUAAAACUGCUGCAUUAAUCAUUCAAAAGCGGGCACCGACUGUUCAAAGCUAUGAAUUGUUGUGUAUAAGGAGGGGCGGGUCGGUCCUGAAGUUAAAAAGCUAGAGUUGCAGAAACAAAAAGAAGUGUCACUUUUCUGCAAAAACGAAAAAAAAGGAUUUACAAUUCGGUUUUUUCGCUCUAACUUUAUAUUCUCUGUUGACAGAAUGUAUCAGCAAGAAAGGCCGACGAGGCUCAUUCACUGCAACCAGUUGCCUGCGGACGCUAAAGACUCGGUCGAGAACAGCCCUAAAGUAACCCAAAUUACACUAGCUACCGAGGAAUCUGAAAGCUAUGCUACAUGAUUUCAAACUUUUCUGUUUUUCUCCUUCGAUGACCAAAUGCUUAGAUACAAUCACAUAGAUAGUAACUAUAGAUAUAAAAUCAAUGUUGUAUCUAACAAUUUUCACCAGUAUAUUAAACUUACCUUUGAUUGAUCAUUCCUGCCUGACGAAGGGAUCAUGCUGCGUCGUCUUUGAUAAUUAGAUGAGAAUGUGUUUAGGCUUAAAAAAGGGUGUUAGGAGAUUCAUUUAGCUGCUUUUUCUAUUCUUUUUUCUUUUUCUUUUUCUUUUUUUCCACUGAGAGAGAUUUACCAUGUAUUCAAUUUAUCUUAAUGCUUUUGUUAGUAUUUUCAGAUCCAGUUAUGAGAAAAUUGAAAAAGUUGGGGGUUUGUUUUCAACCUCAGAACCCCAUCUUAGAACAGCUACUGUGCUUUUCGACCCAGGAAAUUGGGGGGUUUGAGCUACACGGAUGGACUGUUUGGCUGUGUCACUGACUAUGAAGUCAACUAAUGUCAAAUCAUGUCACGUAUAAAUACGUAUGUCACUGACAAUGAAGUUAACUAAUGUCAAAUCAUGUCAUGUAAGGAUACGAGUAUCAUCGACUAUGAAGUCAACUAAAGUCAAGAUCAUCUACUAUAAACAUGUUAUGGAUGAGUCAAUCAUCAAGAAUAUCGCUCUACUAUAAGAUCAUGACCAUAUGAAAUAGAAGUAUCCGUAGAGCAACGAACUAUGAAGUCAAGUGGUAUACAAAAGCUCAACCAACAUUAAGUAAAUGAAAAAAGAUAAAAAUGGUAGAAAUCACCGAGCAGGCACCACUUUACCGACUUCGGAUCGAAGUAUCUACCUGUAUGAAUAACGCACCUGUCUCCGGACUGUGGAAGAUCAUCAAUCGGACCUACGGAGGAUCCACCGGGUUAGUAUAUAUAUCUAACCUUCAUAUAGGGAACACUAAAUCCACAACCCCACAAUAAUCCCACGGGGAUUGGUUUUCCAAAAUCGAUUAUUGUAACUCAUCGGGAGUUCCAAAAAUCGCUCCGGGACUCCACUGAGACCCACGAAGUGUCCCGAAACUUACAGACUCAUGCCACAAGUCACCCGCUGCCACGAAACACCAUAUUAAAGGUGUUCUGGCAGCAUACACGAAGGCUCACAUCGAAAUGAUUAUCGACGGAUAACCGUUUAGAUCCGGAUUUCCAAAAGUGUCGAUUUCGGCACUGAAACCCACCGUCACUCACCCAAUCAUCUCCGAACCUCCGAAACGAUGUGAGUGACCAGCCAACCAGGCUCAACGACAAAGUAUAGUAUACUCUAGCAUCAUCGAAAGAAAUCCGAAUGGAAACCGCAUUCUGUCUGCGAAUUUCGCGAAAAACACACCGAAAAUCGAUAUUCGAUUUCUGCGAAAGGCCUCAAACCCUGCACAAUCAGUCCAGAGAUCACCUGCCACCCACACAUACUGCCCACAGCACCCAUGGAGUGCACAAUUACACAAAAGCCCUUACUAUUCCAUAUAAUCACAUUAUUUUAUGUGAUUUACCGAGUUUUAUAGGUCGUUACAGCAAAUCGAGGGCUUUCGAGGUCGGCCAAGACAUGUACUAAUAGGUCUCGACGUGCCGGAGGCCGUGCUCACAAUCCGGAGCACAACGGUCCACUGUGGAGAGUGCGGGAGCGACUCGAAAAUCUGCAAACCCUGCGCACUGAAACUAAAAUGCAUCUAAUUCACCAAUCUGGGGCUCAUUGACCCCAAAUGAGGUGAUCACGAUGAUCGGCAUUGAUCCAGGAUCAUCGUGCUCACAUCUAAAAGCAUCGGGGUGCCCUUGGAUCGUCGGAAUAGCGAUCGCAAACUAAAAUAGUGCACAAACAGCUUAUAAAACUUACUGGGCAAGGGGAAGCUAGGGCACGGACCGCGGCGGGCGCGCCUGUGGCAGGCAGGUGCGGGUGACAUAGGGAGGUCAGGGCGCACGUCGGCCGGCGACCGCCGGCGGCAGCGGGCAAUGAUGAGCUAGCCGCAUGGGUAAAGGGAGGGUUUGGCUUUGGUCCAGCUGGCAGGGAACUCCGACGACGGAGGCGUCGGCGACAGCCAAGUGCAGCCGACCAGGGGGAGCCGGCACUCUUACUAACCAGCGGCAGGAGGCAGCGGUGGCGGCGUGGGAAGCAAAUCUGAAACCGCAUGAGCUCGGCUCGGGUUCAGGGGCUCAUGACGAUCACGGCUAUGGUCAAGGAGCUACGGGGCGACGGGGAUGGGUCGCCAGAGGCCGGAGGGAAGGUACCAAGGUGGCCCAAGGCGGCGAUAGCGCGAGGGGAAGGCCGCGGCAUCAUCUUGGCCUGAACUCGCCCAGGGUGGCCGCAGGGAUGUUGCAACCGUGGCAGCGGCGACAGUCGGCGGGGAGGGUCACCGGAGGCCCGGGGGAGGCACUGGUGAGGAGUUGGAGGGAGAUGGACCCUCAACUUGUGCUCGGCAAGAAUGGAGAGCCAAGGGAAGCAAUAUGCGGAUGAGGGAGAGAGAAUGUGGCUUUUCCGGCGGCCGGAGGUGCACGCGCACGGCCGAGGGGCGUGCGGCAAGGGUAGGGGAGGGUGGUGAGGCGACUAGGGCUUAGCUCAGGGCGACAAAAGUUCUAGGGUUAGGGUUUGGGUCAACAAAACCCUAAUUGCCACAAUAUAUAUAAUUGUAUUUUUGCAUAAGUCCUCCGAUGCUCAGUAUUUUGUACCGAGUCCCUCACAACGUGAGUAAAUCACACGGAUAUAUCUCCACAUUAGAUUUCACGCAAAACGAUACAUAAAAUAAAGGGUAUUUUGUGGAUUUUUCGUUUUGCCAAUUUCGACCCCUUUGCGAGCAUUUUAAAUUUUCGCGAUAUCCGUCCAUCGGAUUUGCGAACGGACUGUGCCAGCACGUUCAGCACGAUCGGGGCAUUGAGCUCACGAUUCUGUUUUGUUCGAAUUGGUCGCCGAUUUGUGACAAAAGCCAUCCUCUCUCCAAUUUUCAAAAACCAAAUAUAUAUAUAUAUAUAUAUAUAUAUAUAUAUAAUAUACGAGUUGAGCUGGCUACUAUUAGUAGCAAAAUCCCAUUGUUCUACCAGUUUUUUAGCCUUCGAAUCAACUCUUCAUUAUUUCUAACCAUUGGAUUAAAUAUUAUAACCCAGUGGGGACACUCAACCCUAGGGGGACCAUUCAAUUCAAACCGACUAAUAUCAUCCUGACUUACAAUUUUUCAUCCAAGGGUUAAAAAUUUGAUAGCAAAAAGAGCGUUUUACUAUUAAUAGUAUUCCAGCCUAAUUCUAUAUAUAUAUAUAUAUAUAUAUUAUAUAUAUAUAAUAUAUAUAUAUAUAUAUAAUAUAUAUAUAUAGCACGAAACACUUAGUGCUACCAAGUUUUCCCGCGUUAGAUCCAUCCUUUUGAUUUAUUUCACCCGUUAGAUCAUACUAUUCAACCAACCACCCACUCAACCCUAAGGGGCCCACAUCAUCCUAACCACAUAUCUCUUAAUCCAAUGCCAAAAACUUUGUAGCACCAAUGACUUGGUGCUAUUAAUAGCAUAGUACCUAGUUCUUAUAUAUAUAUAUAUAUAUAUAUAUACACACCCCCCAACGAUAGCAUAGUAGAGCUACUAUGCUAUCGAAGCAUAAAAGUGGUUGAUGGGGAUCACUCACCCUAAGAGGACCGCUAUCAUCCCAACCGUAGAAUUUUUUAUCAAAGGGCUAAAAAAUCGAAAGCAUCAAAUACUUUAUACUUCAGAUAUAUAUAUAUAUAUAUAUAUAUUAUAUAUAUAUAUAUAUAUAAUAUAAUAUUAUAAAGAGAGAGAGAGAGAGAGAGAGAGAGAGAGAGAGAGAGAGUUGGACUGGGCUACUAUUAGUAGCAAAAUUCCAUUGUUGCUACCAGUUUUUUAGCCUUUGGAUCUACUCUUUUCAUUAUUUCUAACCAUUGGAUUAAAUACUAUAACCCAGUGGGAGACACUCAACCCUAGGGAGACCACUCAACUCUAACCGACUAAUAUCAUCCUGACCUACAUUUUUUAUCCAAUGGUUAAAACGUUGAUAGCAAAAGAGCGUUUUACUAUUAAUAGUAUUCUAGCCUAAUUCUCUCUCUCUCUCUCUCUCCCCCCCCCCCUCUUCCCUCUCUCUCCUCUCUCUCUCUCUAUAUAUAUAUAAAUAUAUAUAUAUAUAUAUAUAGUACGGCUACUAUACUCUUAUGAGUAGUGGUCUCUAGUACUCAUAAGUUGUUUUCGAUGAUGAAGCUUCCGAAAAUGGACAUCGCACUCCGUUAAAUAUGAUCUAGAGUAUUUGAAACUUCUAGAAAAUAAAUUUUGUAAUUUUUCGAAAUCAUAAUAAAGUCCAUCAAGCGGGCAUAAAAUGAACGGUCAAAAUUAAACAACGUCCUAAAAAUGGAUGAUCGGAUCCUUCAAUUUAAAAUCAGAGUUAUUGAUCUUUAUCUAGGUAGUGAAUAGAAUUUUCUAUCAAAAAUUCAACCUAUUCCGAUUCUUUUCUACCGUUAAACUAGCAACAAGAAUCCCAUACCGGCCGUUAAAAAUUGUCAAUUUUGUGAGCUUUUGAUCGUAAAGUAAAUGAUGUUGAAAAAUUAUGAAAUUUGAUUUCUAGAAGUUUUAAAUGCUCUAGAUAACGUUUAACGGUGUGGAUCGUCGAUUCGGAAGUUCUAUCAUCGAAAAUAACUUAUGAGUACGAGGGCGAUCGUACUCAUAAGAGUAUAGUAGCCGAACUAUAUAUAUAUAUAUAUUGCUCCUAUGUUUUUAAAAAUACCAAGUCAUUGGUGCUUGUAAGUUUUUCGCCCUUGGAUUAAGGGUUGUGCUGUUAGGAUGAUGUAGGCCCCCUAGGGUUGAGUGGGUGGUUGGUUGAAUAGUAUGAUCUAACGGGUGAAAAUGAUUAAAAACGUAAAUUUAACGGUAAAAAAUUUACAAGCACUAAGUGCUUGGUGCUUUUAUAAGCAUCAUAGCCGGACUCUAUAUAUAUAUAUAUAUAUAUAUAUAUAUAUAGUGUAGAGCUAUUAUGCUNNNNNNNNNNNNNNNNNNNCUCUCUCUCUCUAUAUAUAUAUAGAGUCCAGCUAUGGUGCUUGUAAAAGCACCAAGCACUUGGUGCUUGUAAGGUUUUACCGUUAGAUUUACUUCUCGGAUCAUUUUCAACCAUUAGAUUAUACUAUUCAACCAACCACCCACUCAACCCUAGGGGGCCCACAUCAUCCUAACCGCGUAUCUCUUAAUCCAAUGGCUAAAAAUCUACAAGUACCAAUAACUUGGUACUUUUAAAAGCAUAUGAGCUCAAUUAUAUAUAUAUAUAUAUAUAUAGUAGGGCUACUGUGCUAUUAGGAGCACAACAGUCCUUGUGCUCUUAACUUUCUAACCAUCCAUCAAGUUUGAUGAGUGGUUAGAAUGAGAGGUGGAAGAGAAAUUGGAGAGAAAUUGGGUGUCUCAAUUUUUCUUCUCCUUGAAUUUCUCUUCAAUAUCUCUUCCACUUUUUAUUCUAAUCACCCAUCAAAUUUGAUGGGUGGCUAGAAAGUUAGGAGCAUAAGGGCUGCUGUGCUCCUAAUAGCACAGUAGCCCUGCUCUAUAUAUAUGUAUGUUAAACCUCAAAUUCAAAUUCGAAUUUGAAUUCCCUCACUGGUAGGUACCUGAAAUCCUCUACCCUACUCCAGGACACAAGCACGGAGUACGAGAAGUUUUACAACGCAAGAACAGCAAAGAACAAAACCCUCUUUGCGAUAAAAUCUCUUUUUCUUGAAAAUCGUGAAUUAAAACCUAAAUCCGUCAAUGUUAUUGGGUUCAGAAUAGUUGAACCGUUGAAAACGAGCUAUUGGAUCAUUAUUAACGGAGUCCAGUACACAGCGGAAGCUAUCUCCACUCAUUGGCCUCUCCGAAAACUCCAAGUUACUAUUCACUUUAAGUGAUUAGUAAGGUCGCGUAACUUCUUCAUCCUAACUCGUUUUCUCCAGAAACUUGACGAGUGUUUAUGUAAUUAAAUUACACACAAAAAUAUCGUCAACAAAUAGUUUAGUUACACUGCAAAAUUCUCAGUCCUCACAAAUUAAGCUCAUAACAACUUUUUCUUAUUUAUUUUUAUUAAACUCUUUAGUCAAAAUCUUUAUUAGCUCUACUCUUGUCACAUGACAAUGUCUUGCCGCAUGACAGAAUCUAUCCAAUUGAAAGAGAAUUCAGAAACUAAUUCAAACAAACAGCAAAGAUUAGGGAUUAUUUAGAAAAUGAGACCAUGUAAACAAAUUAUUACUUCAACCAAUUGUAAGAUUUUAAAAAUGCAAAAUAAGAUUGGACCUUAAAAUUUUGAAUGUUGAAAAUUGUAUUAUUUAGUUCUAAAAAAAUCAACAAUAUGUAAAAUAAUAUUAUCUAUUCGAUAAUUAUAUAGUAUUCAAAAUCUAUGAUUUUGUUGUCUCUUCCUUUUAAUAUCAUAAAAUAUAUAUUCAACUUGUUAGAUUUUGGCAUCGAUGCAUUAAUUGCUUGUGGGAUUUUAGUAAUACAUGCCUCAUAUGGUGGUAAUAGUUUCUCCAAAUAGCCUUGAUAAGUACAUAUAUAUAUUUAAUCGCUUCAAAUUUCUCAAUUAAGUAAUUUAGCUGACACAAUAAAAUUUUCAAUUAAUUAAUUUUUUUAAGUUAAAUAGUUCAGUUAUCUUUGUUUAAUUCUCCCUAAUUGUUCAAAUUUAGAGGAUAGCAGAUGCCAUUCAAAUCCACAAACGUUAGUAUUAUACAUUAUUUCUUCUAUGCAAUUUUUUUUAUGAAGUUGUAAUAAAUUAUGACCUCAAAUUUCUAAUACGUAAAAUAAAUAUUUUUAUAAAGUUGUUAUAAAUUAUGGCCUCAAAAUUGUAAUACGUAAAAUUAUAUAUAUAUAUAUAUAUAUAGAGAGAGAGAGAGAGAUAAGUAGCUCGCUACUCGCUUCAAAUAAACUUAGCUGCAAAUAUGAAUCAACUAGGAUUCGAACUUGAGACCUCGGGUACCAACCACCAAACUUUUUGCCAAUUGCUCUAGGGACGAUCAAUUAAAAUAAAAAUAGUUAGUCUUUGUUUUGUAUCAUUUCUCUUUUUUUACGUUUAAUCUCAUACAACUCUCUAUAAACAUAUCAAAUAGCAAAUAUAUCCUUACAACGUUCAACUUUUAUUUUUAUCCAUAUAAAAGUCCAGUGAUAUUCAUAUUUACCCUCUUAAUUUGUUACCCUUAUAGCACUAUUUAUUUUUUAACAGCAGAUAAGUAAAAUGAUAUUUUUGCCCUCACAAAUAUAUCUUCCAAAAGCCCAAAUUAUUAAAAUUAUAUAGAAAUAUUCUCACAAGAAAGUAUCUUGCCCAAUAAUAUAAGAGGAGAAGAAAGGUUAAUUUAACUUAUUCACUAAUCAGGAUUAAGUAUUUUACUUUUGGUUAACUAUAUAUUUCUAACAGAUCCUAACAGUAGAGCUAUUAUUUAAAAGCGUUAAGACUUUUGCAGAGAUAAAAAUAAAAAGUUGAACUUUGUAGGGAUAUAUCUGUUAUUCGAUAUAUUUACAUGGAGUUGUAUACAAUCAACCUUUUUUUAAUAU